rnacentral:lncRNA from 1 species
GGCCUGACCCUGACAUCGUUGGCGACGCGGUGCUGGAGACCUUGGGGCAGGUGACGUAUUUCUCCGGCCAGGGGUUGGUCCGCCCAUACCUGCCCGACGUCCCGACGGAUCGGCUCAAGCGCUCCUGUUCCCUCGUUGAGCCUGGCCUGCGCCUCGCGGACUUGCUCGAGUUGUGGGUCGUAACCCCCCGCCGGAGCGGGGACCACAGCUAGCUCCCGUGGGAUGUCGGCGCGAGGCACCGGCCUAGGAAGAUCACCGUCCUCCGGCAUGCCGAGACGGUUGCCUUCGGGGGGAUCCCCUAGCUCGAUGUGGAAACAUUCGCGGCUUGGGCCGCAGCUCUCGUCGCCAAGGCUGCGGCUUCCGUCGGAACAGUCGGAUAGGCAGUAGUCACAUGCGGUCAUGAAGUCCCGCAUGGCACUGGGGUUGCCAAGUCCGGAGAAAUCCCAAUAGACGCUGGGGUCGUCAUCUUCCUCGGACCCAGAGGGCCCAUAGGUCGAGACGUCCGUCAGCCGGUCCCAAGGUGACCGUAUACGAAACCCCAGUGGGGUUGCACUCGCCUCAAUGAGAGCGCCCGCCAAAGCGAGGUCGUUUGGCGGGUUGAGGCCGAGUCGAAAUGACGUAAGAUGGGAGUUAGUCGGUACCUUUUGGUCGACGAGGAGCGACGUAGUCGCAUCGGGGACUGGUUGAACCGUCAUCUCAGGUACGAGGGCGACGUCCUGCAGGCUUUCCGCGAGCGCGCCGGGGGCGUCGAUUCGCUCGACGGCCAACGAAGCGCGGCCUCCCGCUUGGCCUUGACGGCCCCGCCUCCUCCUCCGUUGGCGGGGGAGAGAACGGAGCGAGCUCGAAUGUUGUUCUUCCACCACGCGGGGAAGGUGUCGUCGAUUCCGCCGCCGGCGAGCGGGUUGUCGGCCGCCAUUGUCGUUGUCGCGCGGCGGUGGAAGAAGUAUCAUGUCGUAGCUGCCGUCGAAGGACAUGAACUCAAGAGUCCCGAAACGAAGCACCGCCCCGGGCCGGAGAGGUUGCUGGAGAUUGCCCAUCUGGAGCUUGACGGGGAGCUGUUCGUCAGCACGCAGCAGGCCCCUACCUGGCGCGCCAACUGUCGGCGUUUCGAGACAGGGGGGUCCUAAAGCCGACGAGUGAGUGUGCUGCGUGUCCCAGCCCAGAUGGGUCGAGCGCGUGGGCGAGCGCGAAGGGGGGAGAGGCGAGGUGGCCGGAGUCGAGCGUGAGAGAGGUGGAAGUCCCGCGGCCUUCGUGUUCGUCCCGCGCCCAGGUCGGGUGCGCUUGCAGUAGGGGGGUUACAAGCGUCCACGCGGGUGAGGGAAGCGAGCGGCCCCAAGAGAGCGCCUGUCCCGUCCUCGGUCCCGCGUGGCCAACCUCCUCUAAGAAGGCCCUGGUCCUCCCUUUUAUAGUCGUAAGGAGAGGAUCCAGGUGUACAAUGGGGGGUGUAGCAGAGUGCUACGUGUCUAGCGGAGAGAGAGCUAGCGCCCUAGGUACAUGCCAAUGUGGCAGCCGGAGAGGUCUUGGCACCUUGCUGGCGUGAUGUCGUGGCUGUCGGAGGUGCGACGGAGCCUGGCGGAGGGACAGCUGUUGGAGCGGUCGAGUCCUUGCUGAUGUCGCCCUGCUUCCGUAAGAGAGCUGGGGGCCGCCGUCGUCACAGAGCUUGUGGAGCGCCAUCAUUGCCCAUCCGGCGGAGCUGGCCGGAUGGGACGCCGGUCUUGUUCUCCGUGACCCGAGUCGAUUCGGGGUAGGACGAUGAUGACGCUUCCUGUUGACGUGGCCGGUCUGUGCCCUAGGCGGGGUGACGUGGGGGCUCCUCCGAAGCCGAGGUUGAGUCUGUCUUCUGUUGCCGAGGCUGAGUCCGAGCCCUGGGGUCGGGCGAGGCGGAGGUCGUUUGGCCGAGGCCAGGGUGGAGUCCGAGCCCUGGGGUCGGGCGAGGCGGAGUUUCGUCGUCUUCCGGGUCUUAGCCCGAGUCCGAGCCCUGGGGUCGGGCGGAGCGGAGUUCGCCGUCUUCCGGGUCUUAGCCCGAGUCCGAGCCCUGGGGUCGGGCGGAGCGGAGUUCGCCGUCUUCCGGGUCUUAGCCCGAGUCCGAGCCCUGGGGUCGGGCGGAGCGGAGUUCGCCGUCUUCCGGGUCUUAGCCCGAGUCCGAGCCCUGGGGUCGGGCGGAGCGGAGUUCGCCGUCUUCUGGGUCUUAGCCCGAGUCCGAGCCCUGGGGUCGGGCGGAGCGGAGUUUCGUCGUCUUCCGGGUCUUAGCCCGAGUCCGAGCCCUGGGGUCGGGCGGAGCGGAGUUUCGUCGUCUUCCGGGUCUUAGCCCGAGUCCGAGCCCUGGGGUCGAGCGGAGCGGAGUUCGCCGUGGCGCCUUUGGCAAGGCCUGACUGUCUGUCUGACUCACUCUUUGCGUUAAAUGCUCCUGCAACUCGGUCAGUCGGUGUGGCGAUUUAGUCAGGGUUGCUUCUGAGCGAAGUCAAGGCCUCGGGCGAGCCGGUGAUGUGUCUGCCGUAAAAAGGGGGGCCUCGGGUGAGAAGGAAGUCUCUCGAGGUCGGCUGCCCUUGGCCGAGGCUAGGCUCGGGUGAAGCGUGAUCGAGUCACUCGUGUGGACUGAUCCCUGACUUAAUCGUACCCAUCAGGCCUUUGCAGCUUUAUGCUGAUGGGGGUUACCAGCUGAGAAUUAGGCGUCUUGAGGGUACCCCUAAUUAUGGUCCCCGACAAUAACCGAUAAACAUAGGGUCUCUUAUGCAAACAUACACAGCGAAAGGGUAUCACCGGUUCUCGGACGUCCGAUCUAACACUAACACCCUCAAUUAAAUCGAAGGCCGCUCAACACCCCCGCCACCCGAUUAGGAUCCAAGAGUCCGAAUUGUCCCAGCGGUACAUCCGUUCUACGAUUGAUCCAGGUCGUUCCCUUGCAAUCUACGCCUAGGAUUUAAAACACUCAAGACCGCAUCUGCACCAAUUGUGAUCAAUCCAGUGGCCCAGAUUACUUCUACAUCGUGUCAUGCUCUGGACCAUCGAUCUAUCCAUCAACCGCCCACAAACCCGUCUUCCUUCCCCGACCAACUCCCCAAAACAGAAGACAACGAUGUAUACCACCGCCGGCGAGGCAAAUCCUUGACCCAGGUGCACCAAACUUCAAUUCAAUGGCUCUACACAUUGCGGUAAUCAAGGCGAACAUGAGUGAGGUUUCCAUACUGGGAAUCGCGCGUGCAGGCAUGUUGUCCACGGGGCGGAGCGGCUUCACGGUGGAAGGCAGGGCCCGACGAGCAAUUCCCAGCUACCAGGUGGUCGAUUCCGCCCGCAAACGGCACGGACAGCUUCCUGAUGGCUCGCGCAAGCCCACAACCCAGCCCAAGAUUCCAGCCAAUGGCGAGAAAUAGAUUGGCGGCGGCAGAUAUUACUUGACGUAGGGGUGUGGUUCUCUCUCCCUCUCCUUCUCGGCUCGGGCUCUAACACAUUCGCGAGACGACACUCCUAGGAGCGGCACAUGCGCUUAUAUGCAGAGAGGGCUUCGAUCUCGCAACGACCUCCCGAGUUCGUGGCAGACGGUGGUCGCACGGAAGUCGGCGCAGCAAGCGGGUUCUCGUGUGAUGGCGACAGAGAAUGACUUGCGGGCCCCGUGACGCAGCGACCACACGCGCCCGCGGAGUUCUCGGAUCGCCGUUUCGCUCUCGGACCCACGCGCUAGUGAAUCUCCCCCACUCACCCGACUAUGCGGAGCUGACCAACCGGGUCCACCAGCUAGCGACCCGCAGCGCACGCAGCGCACUUGUCUGGGCCACACGAAGGAAGGAUAGGUGGGCUGAGGGAGGUUUGGGCCCAUUUAGGUUUUCCAUUUUAUUUCUUUCUUUUCUUUUCUGGUUUCUUUUUCUCAAAUUUUAGAAUUCAAACUCAAAUUUGGUUGGGAAUUUUUUAUUCCUAAAUUAAUGUACAAUUCCAAGACCUCAGUAUGGACAGGGACAUCUACUUAUAUAAUUUUCUUUCACAUUAUAAUUAAGAUUUUUCUUUUUACUCUUUUCUUGGGUUACUUCCCAUUUCUAAAUAUUCAAAUUAGGUCUUAACUCACCUUUUGAAAUCCACAUUAAUGUGAUCAUUAUCAUUAUUAAAUGCACACACAAUUAAACUCCAACAUGAUGCAUGAUUUAUUUUAUAGGUUAUUGGCUAAUUACUCACUUAAAAUGUGUUUGUUCACAUGUGCUAAUGAGUGGAGGCGACACACAUAAAGAGAUCAAUCUCUAUUUUCAUUAUUUACAAUUUCGACAUUAGAUGAAGCUUUAGACGGAUAAUAGAAGCACAAGCGCUAAGAGCUGAAGCCUUAGCACGGGUAGCCCUUCCAGCAAAGAAAGACGAAGCCCUCUCGGAAGAAGAGAAGUCUGUUAGGUAUCAAUAGAGACUGGAUUGGGUUUAACUCAACUAAUCGUCUCUUUAAUCGAGUCUUUGGUUGGGAUUCCCCAUGCUAACCUCGGUUGGAGCCUCGGGUACACGACACUAUAAAAGGAUUAAGGGGUCGCAGGAAAGCCAACGCAAGUACCUCGCCCCAAAACCCUAAUCUCCACAGAAGUCCCAUCACCUAAGCGUCAAAGUGUCUAGAAGCGCGACAACCCAUAGCAGCUCAGAUCUUGAUGCAUGUUGUUCCUUUACAGGGUAACGGAGGUGACGCCGACGACAGCGAACUCUCCAACAACAACAACGAAGGUAUGUUUCCCUAUUUCUCUCAGAACAGAUCUACUCGUCAUCGAGGUUUUCCAAUUACAGGUUGGUAUUCUAGAGGCUUAGGAAUCGAUCCUAUGCACCAUAGAAGCUAACAAAGUCAUGCACGACAUAUUAAAGCCAUCUCCAGUAGGUCGUGUAAAUGGACAUGCAAAGUAUUGUUUGUUCUUUAUAUUACACUGUUUAUAUAGUGAAGUUUGAAAUAGAGAGUGUGAUAGGGAGUCUGGUGAAGAUAGUAUAAGGAUAUGGAAUGACGAAAUUGUACCUCUGAUGUUCCGUGUAAUUGUUAUGUAAUUGAGAGGAAAAUUUUGUAAAUUUAUAAGAUGUACAACAUCGACCUGACCAUAUAAAUAUAUGAACUUACCACAACAACGGGAUCGGCCAUUUGAUCUCGUGCCUAUAACAUCUCUCAAGAGAGCCUCCAAAGUUAUAACAACAAAAAAACAAAGUUAUAUUAGUGGUGCAUUCAUAUCAGAGUUGUCAAGGGUAUUCUUUAUGUUGCAGAAAAUAGUGUGUUAUAUAUAUAGAAUUGUUAAGUGAUUAUUUACCUUCGUCUAAUAUAAUAUCAAGUUUCACAUGUGUUCAUCUUCAACUUAUUAUGUCAAUAUUGAGUUGCAAAGCUUCAUUCAUCCUUUCUUGCCCUUCUAUCCGGUGAAACCAUUGGAGAGGGGAGAAGUCAAAGGGAAAUGGCAUCAACAUUUCCUACAAUCGAUUUUGGUGUUUGAUGUCCAUCACAAACUAUAUGGACUAACUAGUUUGCCUAGUGAAUGUUUUUAUUAGGUGCAUAAAGUUCACAUAAACAAACAAAUAAAAUGAUCGAGGGAAUUCUACAAAGUUUGGAGCAUACAAGUUUUGGUGCAGUCAGUGGUGCACCGGACACUGUCCGGUGUGCACCGGCUAGAGCACCUCACGAACUGGCCGCUCUCGAGUUUUCUCAAAGCUCGUCCACUAAAAUUCAUUGGACAGUCCAGUGCACCACCGGACUGUCCGGUGAGCCAACGAGCAACAGUCAACUUCGCCCAACGGUCAACUGCGCGCGCAGUCUGCAGUACCAGAAGUCAGAAGACGGCCUACAACGUCAGGUUGCACCAGACUAUCCCGUGUGCCAAUAGACUGUCCGGUUCCGUAAGAAGACAGAAGACUUCAAUGGUAAACAUCUCCAAACCCCAACGGUCAGCUGACGUGGCACUCACCAGACAAUGGAUAAUGCAGUGUCCGGUGUGCCCAUCGACAUCAAAGUCAGUCAAUGACUAGAAAGUGGUUGGAGGCUAUAAAUACCCCCCAACCACCUCCAUUCAAGCCAUCCAAGCUUCUCACUAUUCUCAUUCAAUACAAGAGCAAAAGACUAGACUCUAAAGACAUAACCAAAGCAUCAAAUCCUCUCCAAGCUCUAAAUCAAGUCAAGUGAUCAAAAGUGUUUAGUGACUUGAUAGAGGGUGAUUUGUGUUUCUUUUGUUUCUCUUGUUGCUUGGUUGCUUUCUUCUUCUCACUCUAAUCUUUCCAAGUGUUUUGUAAAGCUAGCAAGAGACACCUAAUUGUGUGGUGAUCCUUGCAGGGUCUUAGUGACCCGUGUGAUUAAGAAGAAGCACUCGACCGGUCUAAUUGAUCGAUUGAGAGAGGGAAAGGAUUGGAAUAGACUUGGCCUUUGUGGCCUCCUUAACGGGGAGUGGGUUCUUUGGAACUGAACCUCGGGGAACAAAUCACCGUGUUCAUUUGUAUUAAUCUUCAUCACUCGAUUUGUUUCUUCCCUCUCCUCUCUCUAAAGUUCCCUUGCUCAUAUUGUUUUGAGUUGGCUCCCAAAGUUAUCCGUAUUGAUUAACUCAUAGCAAGAGCAACUAUCUUCCGCACUCCUAACUCAUUAUUAUUUAUUUCUAAUCCUAACCCUGGGUGAAGUAUGUGUUCAAAGUUCAUAAUUUUCAAGUUUCACCUAUUCAUCCCCCUCUAGGCGACUUUCAAGAAGGAUAUAAGAUAAUUUUGUUGCCCUGUUGUGUUUCUUUCAUGAAUAUCGAUAGAUCCCCAACAUCAGCCUAUAUAUGUUUUUCCAUCCUAUUCAUAGUUUUUUUCUCUAUUUGCACUUGCACAAACCAACAUAUGCUCUUAAAUACUACGACGACAUCAAGGUCAUAUAAACCUGCAACAUGUUCCUCAUGUCAGUGGUAAAGCUUAAAGUGAAAUCUAGGAUGGAGUAAUUGUGUGCCUCAUAACCAUUAUUUACUUCAAAUGGAUAUCAAAGAGUAGGAAGAUCAUAGUCAUCUUAGUUAGUUUUAAUAUAUUAGUAUUAAUAUGAAUGUGUGGUUUAGAAACAUCUAUGCGUGCAUAAACUAUGGUUAUCUAGAUAUUUUUUGUAAUAGUAGUUGUUGGUAAUUUAGAAGUAGAUGUUGGCAAUUUAGAUGUAGAUAUAAGGGUAUAUUCUAGUUCUUUUUCAUAAUGACAAAAAGUGGUGAUUUAGUACAAUUCAAGGAGUUGCUAGAUUACACUCCCUCUAUCCGAAAUUAGUAUUUGUUUUAGCUCUUGGUUUUAAAUGGAUGAUGAAGAAUCUAGACACAUAUAUAAAAACACAUACAUUAAAUAUUGUAUGAAUCCAUUAACAUCCCAAAAUGAAUUUUAAUUUGGGACAGAGGGAGUAUAUCAAGUUAUGAUUUAUAAUUCCAAAUUGAUGUUGUCUUUCAUAGUAAUUUUAAAAUAUAAUAGAUCUUAUAGUUGUUAUUAAUAAUGGUGAAUAAAGUCUACUAAAUUGAUGGUUUGAUGUUUAUAACAAUUUAUAUUUGUCGGGGAUAAGAUCCCUAGUCCCUGGAGUUCAUCGGUCAACAAGCACAUCCGAGGAAAGCCACAAACAACUGAGGCUCGUCGGUCAGCUGGAGGAGACAGGUAGCGCCUGCUCUGCAGGAACCCACCCCCAGACGAACCCCACGGCACCAAUCCUAGGGUCAUACGUGGAUGAGUCUAAAGGGGGGGGACGGGCGUACCAAACGGAAACCACUUGAGUGGAUCCCUCGUCAGGCCUGAGACUAAUCCAUCAUAUGUAACCAGCUACAAGCCCCUUGGACGACAGAGCACUCAUGACCCACGAACCCCUUGGAUUGUGGCGCAUUUAUGGCUCGCGCACCCAUGACCUACGACGCACUCAUGACCUACUAGGACUAGGCCUGAGUGCGCAGACCUCUGGUAGGGCACAACAUGGCGAACCACGUCGAGCCUUAUGCUACGAAGGCCAGGGGUCAACAUAGCCCGAAUGAUAGCGCUCAGGCCACACGCCGCCCACCAUAAAGAGUAUGAGACAACCAAACAACCACGAGCACGCUUGGCUUUACCCCAUGGUAGAACGCUCGGUUUUACGGUUGCCCGGUGGCUCCUUGAGGAAGCCAUCGCUAGCCAGUCCCCUCCCUGGCCUAUAAAAGGAGGAGGCCGACCCAAGGCUCUAGGUUGGACGGGCAUGACCUGGAUCCCUCUAGCUAGGAUUCAGGCCCCCAGACACACGAUGGACGCAAGGAUGGGCCCCAGACGAGAAGACACCUAGAAGGACAGAUGGAUAGGAGGAGGACCCAGAGGCCGGAGCCCCGCCGCCAAGCCAAUACUAAGAUAGGACUCCACUUUGUAACCAACAACGCCACGAAUAAGAGACUUGGGAGCCUCUCUUUUGUCUCUCACCCACUUGUAACCCCUACUACGAGUUCUGGUCAUCAAUUGUGCUGGUAGCGCAAGGCACCGAUGACUAGAAGUAGGGACGUUCUCCCGAACUAGUAUAAAUCUUGUGUCCACCGCGCACACCAUUCGGAGCUGGAACACGCACAACAAAUUUACUUGUUAGAUCGAGGAUCAAAACACCGACAAUUGGCAUGCCAUGUAGGGACUACGUGUCCCGACGAAGUUCUUUAAGCUCCGAAUGGCAAGCCACGACGUUAAUCGGUCUCCUAGAAUGAUGAUCCAUAUCAGGAGCCUCGACUUCUCCCUCAACGACGAAGGCGAAGUGGUCAGGGCCUCAGAAGCCCGACCCCCUCUGCCGAGGAAUCACGACACGACCGCGAGGGCCAGCAGAGGCCCCCGCUUCGACUACACCCCCAAAGUGCCCAUCCGCUUUGGGAACCUUGAUUUCAUCAUCAACCAGGGGGUGAUAGGGCCAGACCAGUGCUCGUGCGACCUCCUCCGCUCGAGAGGUCUGACAUAGUCUCGGAGGCCCUUGGCGGCCUCAGCCUCACCCCACGCGGGCGGUGUGAGAGGCAUAGGCUGGCCCCGCCUUCCAAGGCAACCAAAAUAAGGCGACAGAUCGUGAUCCAUAUGGGACCAAAGCCCUCAUAUUACGAUCUGUCGGCUUUCUUCGCAUCCUAUGCAGAGCUUUCUGCGUCAUAUUACGCUGUCAGCAAAAUGAGAUGCCACGCAUGGUAGGACACAGAGAGAUCAUGGGACGUAAUGCUUCGAAUGAGAGCCCAUGGUAGAUGCCCGACCAGAGAAGAUCCAUGUCGUGCUUGUAAAACCAUCGAAAGGUUAUGAAUAAAGCAUGGUUUUGGAACUACACUCGAUGCCAAAACACAGUAAAUAAGGGGAGAACCUCGGUUAAAGCCCUAGACCUUUCUCUCCUCCCCCCUCUCUCUCCCUUUCUCGUUUCCCCUUAGCAACUUUCAGGAUAGGAAGUGUACCAAGAGCCGAACGGGGCAUGAUGAACAACGACGAUCUCGACAGAGUAACGAGCGGGAACCCCAUCACAAAACUAGCUAUGUUACUUUAUCUCUUCUGAACUCAUGUGCUUUGAGUUUUUCUUGCCUUUUGUUGGAAGGGUCUUUGGUGAAACAAGACACCAUACCACUCUUUAUCUCUCGGGGCACCCUCGAUGGGCAGGGGGCCUCAGGACAAAGUAACUAGAUACCCCCGUCAUUGAACCCUAGGAAAGGCAUUGAGUGGGGUGGCCCUGUAUCAGUUUUUGCUAGAAACAGACCUAUGAGACGGAUAACGUGAGUGGAAGGACCCACCGGGGAAGCUGGUCCUAACUACGAACACCUAUGCCUUGAAGGCUACGAGAAUGGUCAGCAGUGGAACAUAUGGUCCGAGUGGGUGGUCCAUAUGGGCCACGGUACACCCUAAGAUCAGAUAAAAGUAGUUAGUAUAGUGGUGUAAGUGUUAUUUCUUGGACUAGCAGUCAAGGUUCGAGUCUUGCUAUCCCUAUUUUUUGUUUCUUUUCUUGAUAUUUUUUUGACACACCCUAAGCAUAGCUGCUGGGUCCGCCACUGUCCAAAACCCAUCUCUACGGAACGACCGCUAGCAAAGACGAACCACAAGACACGACGCAAAAAACCCUGAUGGCGUUUAUUAAACAUAUCUCUGCUUGUACAAUUUUUCUAUAAAAAAUUAAUCCUCUGCCUUUUCUCUUUAGGAAACAUGAAAAAGCGAGCAAUCACAGGACGGGCGCCGCGUGAUGGGUCCUGUCAACGCUCUCAGGUCUCCGAAGCUCACCAUGUCGCCGACGACUAGAACAUCUCGGGCGAGCUCAACUUCGCUUGAUCGAGUCCUCACCAAGGGGCCGAGCGGCGAUUAAGGCGUGGUGGACCCCGAGCUGGAACGCGACGCCCUCCAGUUCAGGAAUGUGGCCAGAGAUGAGUGUCAUUCGGGGAGUCAGGGCAGACAUUUUCCUCAACUACGAUGACCGCAUACGAGGUCAAUGGUCAUAGCCACACUAGAGCGCUCGGUGUGAAGAGCCCGAAGGCGCUCCACCGCACGAGAAAGCUACUCUAUCACCAUCGUAGGCGAAAAACAGGAAAUCCCAUGAGAAAACUACUAGGUCUAGGAGGGCUAAAAAUUGAGGAUGAAAGAGCAUGAGCCUCACCUUCUAUCAAGAACCCAGAUGAAUGUCCUUCAACAUCACGCACCAGCGACCGUGCUUCGGUAAGACCCAGCUGGGCCCUCAAAGAGCCCUCCCUCGCUUCAAUCGUAGGGAGCUCAGGCCUCGCCAUCUUACCAAGCUCGGACCCCGCCACCACAACUCCCUCAGCAGCCGUACCUUGAGGGGACCAUCUCCCUAGACUGGGAGUUAGAGUGAUGGCACAAGCUCGCCCCCAUAGGCUGCCCUUAGGGCAGGGGAUCUUCGAUUGGGAAAGGCUGCAUGAACAAUAAAAUAAACUCCUCAUGAUAGCAAGAUAGGAAAAGAGACAUGUGGGAUGGCACAAGAGGCUUAUGAACUCGAUGAAGCCUAGGUCAGGGCACAUGGGAGGACACUCGGGGAUAGAACGCAAGGACGAUCGUAACGCCCCAUAUGCCUACUUCUGAACCUCUAGGGCCUGGCUAAGCCAUCAUGCGAUGUCCGAGUCGCUUGGGAGGAUCCUAGUGCCUAGGGAGAAGAGAUCCUUCCCCAUAUGAUCUAGAGGCACAAGUCGGGCCUUUAGAGGAGCCACCCCUUGUUGAAGAUAGACAUUGAUAGUGCCCACUCCUGUAACUCCUUUCUCUCAGAGGAUAAGCACCCCUUCCAGAUUUUUUGGAUUCAAAAUUUCUCUUUAGGUGUAACAUCGCGACUACAAUUAAAGGGAGCCUAUGACGGGAUGCUCCGGUCGAUGCCAAGAAGCUACAGCCCAGGCAAGGGCCCUUGACUGACGUCUCGUGGGUAAAACCAUCACAUGUGCCAACCCUUAUUACAUAAGGAAAGGGGAAUCAUGAUAUACUCAUGCGACCUCCCGCUGCGAAGGCAGAUACUAGGGCACCCGACCGCCCAUGCUUCCAUUGUUCUUUGCUCUUUCUUCUUCCGUAACAGUUCGACACAAAAGAAGUAUCGCCAUAAGGUGAGAUUGGGCUCGACACUUAGAUGCCUUUCGCACAAAGCGAUAAAAGCAGCUAUGUGCUAAAUCCCAUUCAAAUUCAAAUAUUGAAGUUGCAGCUGCAAAUACUUGAAGAGGGUCACGAUGAAAGUGAAAGGGAAAUGUGCCUUUGGGCCAUUUCUAUAAGUGUUUUGGUGAUUAGAUGCCCAACACAUAUUGAUUGAGUUCUCAUGUGCUAAAUGAGUGAGAAGUGCAAAUCAAAGAACAAGGUAUGUUUCUAAACUUAGUGAAUUGUUUUUGAAUACUAACGUGUUUAUAUAAGUGCUAGAAACAGUGCCAAGAAAAGAGUUUGAGAAGAUAUGGCUCAGUGCAGCAAAAACCAGCUCCAGCCGAGCACACCGGACUGUCCGAUGGUGCACCGGACAGUGACCGGUGCCCCAGGCUAGGCCGGCUGUGAACUGGCCACUCUCGAGAAUCGGCCGAGCAACUUGGAUAAAAAUCACCGGACUGUCCGGUGGUGCACCGGACAGUCUGGUGAGUCUUUAGCGCCCGCGCCCAAGUCUUCAGCGACGAACUCGUCGUUCUCGGGAAAUGGAAAAGGCACCACAGCUAUAAUUCACCGAACUGUCGGGUGGUUCACCAGACUGUCCAGUGAGCCAACGGCGCUUGCAGCCAACGGUCGACCGCACAAUCAGCGGGCGACGUGUGGCCCGCGCCAACGGUCAGUUGGGCUCACUGGACUGUCCGGUGUGCACCGCACAGUGUCUGGUGCGCCAACGGGACCGUUGGCUCAACGGUAGGAUGCGCCAGAUAAAGAAGGAGAUCGCGCACCGGAGAGCUAUAGGACCUGUCUGGUGCACCACUCGAAAGUUGAUCUUCAACGGCUCCUAGCUGCCUUGGGGCUAUAAAAGGGACCCCUAGGCGCAUGAAUGUAAUAUCCACUUUGUAAGAAAAGUCUAAAAAGAGAAAUUUCAUUCCUUUAUAUAUUUGUGAGUCAUCUAUGUGCAUCAUCUCAUGUGGACACCCUACUUAACAAGAAUAAAUGGGUAACAAAAGACACUCAAAUAACUUGUGCAUCCUUUGGAGUUUUGUUUGCUUGUGCAUUAAAAUAAUAACAAUGAUAAUUCUAGAAAAAAAAUAACAAUGACUUGAAAUGAAGUUUGAACCCUAAAUUGGAAUUAGGGUUUUGAAAAUAAGAAGAAGGAAGAUGAUAUAAAAAUAAUACAAUUAUAUUUCUAAAAUAGGUACCCUUAAUUUCAGAAAAAUAGUAGAGAAUAAAUUUGGCAUAAAUUCGAAUUUAAAUUCGAAUUCAAAUUAAACUUAGAAAAACAGAAAAGAAAAUAAAAAGGAAACGAAACUCAUUUGGGCUGCCGUACCUCAAUUGGGCCCAUUAAGUCUUUCCCUCCACGCAGCCCAGCUCCCACCGCGGCGCCGACAGGCGGGACCGCCUUGUCAGCCGCACGACCCAAGCCCAGUUUCUUCUCGCCGUGCUCUGGCUGACACGCGGGCCCAGGAAACCAGCCGAUUGACACAAGCGUCGCGCGGCCCACUCUAUCACUUCCGCGUGGGACCCGCUGGUCUGCGCGAGCUCCACCUCCGCGCGUCCAUGGCGCUGACCGCAACCACCUACGCGGAAUUCUGGGUCGGCCAAGCUCGGACUCCGCCGCUAUGCUAUAAAACUGAGGCCGAUCCCCCUAGCAACAGCUCCCAUGGUUGCGCUGGUGGACAAGCGCCUGUCACCCAGGAAUUUCUCAACCGAAACCCACGACCACCGUCGACCGCACGCAGCCGUGGUCCGCCCGCCUGUGCGCAUAAUCCUCGGUAUGGUUCCCUCAAUCGCGUUCGCUUUUGUUCCCGCAUCGUGUAAAGCCAUUUGGAUUAGAGGAAUAGAGUUGUUAGGGAGGGGGGAUUUGUUGCCGGACUUGUGCUCCCGCUGCUCGUCGUGGGUGUGCGUCGGUGUUGCGCGAAUUCCGGUGAUGGUUGGACCAGCGCGUUCGGGUGGGUUUGGGCAUCGCGUAUAAGUCAUGGGGGCCCGGGAUUGUAACUAGGGCGCCGGAUUCACUCGCGCCGGCGAGCUCACCACCGCCUGGGUGGGUGGCGCCACCGUCGGGCCGCGCUGGGAGGAAGACAGACCUAGGCCAUCAGAUCCGAAUCGUGAGGAUGGGAUUAGAUCCAGUAGGGGCGGGUGUAUGGCCGUUGGAUUAGGAUUGUGUGGAUCAGGGCGCAUGCCAGUAGGGUGAUGUGGUCUUCUGAUCUGAACCGUAGAUCUAGAUCCGAGGGCCACGGAUGGAUAUCGGCUUCAUUAAAUCCUUACCCUUGAUCUUAGAUCCAGUGGCCGUAAUCGCAUACCUCUUCAUUUAUUGGCGAUCUGAUCCGGACCGUCAGAUCUGGAUCGUGCGGCCCUAGAUCCCCGAUACCCAUUCGCCGUGUACAUUUAUUAAAGAGUCCCUCUGUUUUCGGAAAACCAACCCGCGGUCCUCGGGAACUAUUCUCUGUGUCUGGAGAUUCUUACCCCGAGCCCCCUGUGCUUCACAGAAAUUGAGGCCCAGUCCAGAGAUCGUUUAAAUUGAAUAAAUGAAAUAGAAAAUAGUUUUUUAAUAGGAAAAUAAUUGCUAUAACUUCGAUAAUUCAUAGAAAAUGCAUAUGAACUCCAAAUUACUUCAUUCUAGUUCCUAAAAUUUUGUAAUUUUAUUCUCUAGCACUUAGUGUCUCUGUUUUAUCAUGACAACAGUAAGAAAAUUAAUCCCACACUUAAUCCUAUUUUAAACACAUAAAACCUUUGUAAAUUCAUAUCUUAAAAUCUAUAGCUCCAAAAAUUUCUAUUCCUAGGAUUUUAUUUUAAUAUGUAGAUUAUUACUGUGCAUCUUGUUUAUAUGUUUGGUGUGAUGUUAAUUUCUCUAUAUACACUGUGCUUGUUUGUAUUGUGGCGAGUAGAAGAGCCCGUUACUGAGGAUCCUGGUGAGCAGCAGGUUGAAGUAGCUGAGCAGGAGCUCAUUAAAGGCAAGUUGUGCCCUUGACCACUUUUUACCUAAUAAUGUUCCUUAAUAUCACUUACUCAUGCAUAGGUUAAUUUUGAUGGGACCCAAUAGGUUACCCUAGAUUGUUUAUCUCAUUACCUUGUUUACCCCUGAAUCACUUGGGUAGUUUGCUAUUGCUUUACAUGAAUUUGGGUAUAAUUAUUUAUCAUAUCUUUGUUCCAGUUAUUUUGUUAUUCUAUUUAUGUUCAUGUCAAGAUCAUUAAUGUUAAUUGGAACAUAGAGCUUAACUUGAGAAACACGUGCCACCACAAGGGUUUAUGGACGCCCUUGGCUGAUUAAUUAGGAAAGCUAGUGGAGGACUACCUUACCCGAAAGGGGCAAGGGCAGUAGGGGAGUGGUCAGUGUAGGGAGGUCCUUGGUUGAUUUUGCUGCGAUGGCGGUCAGACAAGAACCCUGCAUUGGAGCUUCCUAUAAACUGUAGCGGGUUUUCUGAAGCUAGUGGAACUUUGUAAAGGCCUCGUAGUGUUACCCUGCCUCGCCUCCUCGGUAGAGGUGUAUGGGAAGUCGCGAUCCCUUGGCAGAUGGGUAACAUGACUUGUGGGUAAAGGGUACCACCUCUGCAGAGUGUAAAACUGGUAUACUAGUCGAGCUCACGGUCAUGAGCAGCUCAGGACUCUCUGAUGAUUAACUUAUGGAACUAAAUUCAAUUUGUCAUAUGCAUUGCAUCGCAGGUGAUGUUGUUACUUUUGUUCUACUACUUAAUUGGGUUGGUAUUUACUUAUACUUAGUAAUUGCUAAUAAAAUUUUGACCAACUUUAAAAGCAAUGCUCAGCUCUAACCAUCCUCUUUGGUAAGCCUUACACUUCACGUGAGCUCCCACCUUUGGCGAGUUCAUGCACAUUAUUCCCCACAACUUGUUGAGCGAUGAACGUAUGUGAGCUCACUCUUGCUGUCUCACACCCCCCCACAGGUCAAGAACAGGUACCGCAGGAUGAGGCACAAGGAGGAUGCUGCGAUGAGUUCGUGAGAGAUCUAGGUCGUCGUCUCCCAGUCAACUUUGGGUUGCUGGACCGUUGUCUCCUUAUAUGUAAUUAUUUAUUUUGUAUAGAACUCCUAUUAUAUAGUAAAAUUGUGACAUUCGAUCCUGUGCCAUGAUUCAUCAUAUGUGUGAGACUUGGUCCCAGCACACCUGGUGAUUAUGUUCGCGCCCGGGCUUUGGGCCCCUAAAACCCGGGUGUGACAGAAGUGGUAUCAGAGGAAUGUUGACUGUAGGACGAAACCUAGAUAGAACUGGACAACCCUUAUGUACUUACCUCUGCUACUCUGAUUCUUUUCUAAACUUAUCUUAAUCUUUUCUCAUCUAAUUCCGCUUACUCUGAUUAUUCUUAUCUUUUCUUUCUAAAGACAAAUGUGGAUUUCACACUUUGAAAUCCUGUACCUAAAGUGACCUUUAGGAAUAGGAGACCUACUCCUAGAAACAAAAACAAAAGUAUUUUCUUUGUAUCUAUACGCUUGAGUGUUUGUUCUUAUGAUAAUUGUCUGAUUUGGACCUUUGAUUGAGUGUGAAUAGUUUUGGAAUAAUGUCCACAAUUACAUCUGUAUAUACAUAUAGGCAUAAAUAUAAAUAAAUAAAAUUCAUGAGAUAACUAAACAACUUAGAUUAUCCAACAUUAAAGUGUAUCUAUUUUAUAUAGAUCCCUCUUAUCUCAAAAGAAUCACUCUUACUAUAUUGGAUCCCUCUUAACCUAAAGGAAUCUAUCUUAUCUUAAAUGAUCCGUCUUAUCUUAAAAGAUUCUCUCAUAUCUUAAUUGACCUAUCUCAUCUUAAAAGAUUCUUUCUUACCUUAAUUGAUUUGUCUUAUCUCAAAAAGAUUUUGUCUUAUUCUUAGAGACUUAUCUUGUCCUAAUAAUCAUACUUAUCCUAACCACUUUGCUUAUAUCAUAAUAGUGUAGCACACAUGAUCUAUUCCAAAAUAAAUUAAGUGGAUCUUAUCCAGUCUAAUCUAGUUAUAUCCAAUCUAACCUAUACCCUACCUCAUCUGAAGAUCUGUUUCUACUAAAUGAAGCCCAACAAGAAGGUUAACCUCGAAAAUGAAGGAUACAAGUAAAAAAAUAUCUUCGGAUGAAUCAUGAUCCACUAUCCAGAAUAAAUGUUUCUGUUACCUAACUUUUCCCCAAGUCCUCUUUAUACUCACCUAGCAUCAAACAAUAUUUUGACCUACAUCAUGUAGUCAUGUAGUCCAUCUCAUCCAUAACUAUCUUAACCAUAUUCCCCAACUCCGAUAAAACACACACCUCAAAUCAGUGAGACCAAGACUGGAGAAGAAAAGAUCGACACCGGCAAGGAAGGACAUUAUAAUCAAAGCGAAUCUCAAGAUGACUCAAGACUUAAACAGUUCGGAUGAAGUAUUUUCCUUACCAUAACCUUUCUUACCUCAACCUGUUCGGCUUACAUCCUACAUAAUAAGUAGCUGGAUACCUAUGGUCUCCACAUCACCUAGUAUUGACUAUAAAAAAAGGAAUAAUAAAGUCUAAUUGACCCAUGUGUUGCUAAUAAAUUAUGCAUCAUGCUGAGAUUUUUGUUUGUGCACAUGUGUUGAUACAAUAUGAGUAUACACCCUUUCCUUACAAAAUCUCGAGGACGAGAUUUCUGUUAAGGGGGGUAGGAUUUGUAAUAUCCACUUUGUAAGAAAAGUCUAAAAAGAGAAAUUUCAUUCCUUUAUAUAUUUGUGAGUCAUCUAUGUGCAUCAUCUCAUGUGGACACCCUACUUAACAAGAAUAAAUGGGUAACAAAAGACACUCAAAUAACUUGUGCAUCCUUUGGAGUUUUGUUUGCUUGUGCAUUAAAAUAAUAACAAUGAUAAUUCUGGAAAAAAAUAAUAACAAUGACUUGAAAUGAAGUUUGAACCCUAAAUUGGAAUUAGGGUUUUGAAAAUAAGAAGAAGGAAGAUGAUAUAAAAAUAAUACAAUUAUAUUUCUAAAAUAGGUACCCUUAAUUUCACAAAAAUAAUAGAUAAUAAAUUUGGCACAAAUUCGAAUUUAAUUCGAAUUCAAAUUAAACUUAGAAAAACAGAAAAGAAAAUAAAAAGGAAAAGAAACUCAUUUGGGCUGCUGUACCUCAAUUGGGCCCAUUAAGCCUUUCCCUCCAUGCAGCCCAGCUCCCACCGCGGCGCCGACAGGCAGGACCGCCUUGUCAGUCGCACGACCCAAGCCCAGUUUCUUCUCACGGUGCUCUGGCUGACACGUGGGCCCAGGAAACCAGCCGAUUGACAUAAGCGCCGCGUGGCCCACUCUGUCACUUCCGCGUGGGACUCGCUGGUCUGCGCGAGCUCCACCUCCGCGCGUCCAUGGCGCUGACCGCAACCACCUACGCGGAAUUCCGGGUCGGCCAAGCUCGGACUCCGCCGCUAUGCUAUAAAACUGAGGCCGAUCCCCCUAGCAACAGCUCCCAUGGUUGCGCUGGUGGAGAAGCGCCUGUCACCCAGGAAUUUCUCAACCGAAACCCACGACCACCGUCGACCGCACGCAGUCGUGGUCCGCCCGCUUGUGCGCAUAAUCCUCGGUAUGUUUCCCUCAAUCGCGUUCGCUUUUGUUCCCGCAUCGUGUAAAGCCAUUUGGAUUAGAGGAAUAGAGUUGUUAGGGAGGGGGGAUUUGUCGCCGGACUUGUGCUCCCGCUGCUCGCCGUGGGUGUGCGUCGGUGUUGCGCGAAUUCCGGUGAUGGUUGGACCAGCGCGUUCGGGUGGGUUUGGGCAUCGCGUAUAAGUCACGGGGGCCCGGGAUUGUAACUAGGGCGCUGGAUUCACUCGCGCCGGCGAGCUCACCACCGCCUGGGUGGGUGGCGCCACCGUCGGGCCGCGCUGGGAGGAAGACAGACCUGGGCCAUCAGAUCCGAAUCGUGAGGAUGGGAUUAGAUCCAGUAGGGGCGGGUGUAUGACCGUUAGAUUAGGAUCGUGUGGAUCAGGGCGCAUGCCAGUAGGGUGAUGUGGUCUUCUGAUCUGAACCGUAGAUCUAGAUCCGAGGGCCACGGAUGGAUAUCGGCUUCAUUAAAUCCUUACCCUUGAUCUUAGAUCCAGUGGCCGUAAUCGCAUACCUCUUCAUUUAUUGGCGAUCUAAUCCGGACCGCCAGAUCUGGAUCGUGCGGCCCUAGAUCCCCGAUACCCCUUCAUCGUGUACAUUUAUUAAAGAGUCCCUCUGUUUUCGGAAAACCAACCCGCGGUCCUCGGGAACUAUUCUCUGUGUCUGGAGAUUCUUACCCCGAGCCCCCUGUGCUUCACAGAAAUUGAGGCCCAGUCCAGAGAUCGUUUAAAUUGAAUAAAUGAAAUAGAAAAUAGAUUUUUAAUAGGAAAAUAAUUGCUAUAACUUCAAUAAUUCAUAGAAAAUGCAUAUGAACUCCAAAUUACUUCAUUCCAGUUCCUAAAAUUUUGUAAUUUUAUUCUCUAGCACUUAGUGCCUCUGUUUUAUCAUGACAACAGUAAGAAAAUUAAUCCCACACUUAAUCCUAUUUUAAACACAUAAAACCUUUGUAAAUUCAUAUCUUAAAAUCUAUAGCUCCAAAAAUUUCUAUUCCUAGGAUUUUAUUUUAAUAUGUAGAUUAUUACUGUGUAUCUUGUUUAUAUGUUUGGUGUGAUGUUAAUUUCUCUAUAUACACUGUGCUUGUUUGUAUUGUGGCGAGUAGAAGAGCCCGUUACUGAGGAUCCUGGUGAGCAGCAGGUUGAAGUAGCUGAGCAGGAGCUCAUUAAAAGCAAGUUGUGCCCUUGACCACUUUUUACCUAAUAAUGUUCCUUAAUAUCACUUACUCAUGCAUAGGUUAAUUUUGAUGGGACCCAAUAGGUUACCCUAGAUUGUUUAUCUCAUUACCUUGUUUACCCCUGAAUCACUUGGGUAGUUUGCUAUUGCUUUACAUGGAUUUGGGUAUAAUUAUUUAUCAUAUCUAUGUUCCAGUUAUUUUGUUAUUCUAUUUAUGUUCAUGUCAAGAUCAUUAAUGUUAAUUGGAACAUAGAGCUUAACUUGAGAAACAUGUGCCACCACAAGGGUUUAUGGACGCCCUUGGCUGAUUAAUUAGAAAAGCUAGUGGAGGACUACCUUACCCGAAAGGGGCAAGGGCAGUAGGGGAGUGGUCAGUGUAGGGAGGUCCUUGGUUGAUUUUGCUGCGAUGGCGGUCAGACAAGAACCCUGCAUUGGAGCUUCCUAUAAACUGUAGCGGGUUUUCUGAAGCUAGUGGAACUUUGUAAAGGCCUCGUAGUGUUACUCUGCCUCGCCUCCUCGGUAGAGGUGUAUGGGAAGUCGCGAUCCCUUGGCAGAUGGGUAACAUGACUUGUGGGUAAAGGGUACCACCUCUGCAGAGUGUAAAACUGGUAUACUAGCCGAGCUCACGGUCAUGAGCAGCUCAGGACUCUCUGAUGAUUAACUUAUGGAACUAAAUUCAAUUUGUCAUAUGCAUUGCAUCGCAGGUGAUGUUGUUACUUUUGUUCUACUACUUAAUUGGGUUGGUAUUUACUUAUACUUAGUAAUUGCUAAUAAAAUUUUGACCAACUUUAAAAGCAAUGCUCAGCUCUAACCAUCCUCUUUGGUAAGCCUUACACUUCACGUGAGCUCCCACCUUUGGCGAGUUCAUGCACAUUAUUCCCCACAACUUGUUGAGCGAUGAACGUAUGUGAGCUCACUCUUGCUGUCUCACACCCCCCACAGGUCAAGAACAGAUACCGCAGGAUGAGGCGCAAGGAGGAUGCUGCGAUGAGUUCGUGAGAGAUCUAGGUCGUCGUCUCCCAGUCAACUUUGGGUUGCUGGACCGUUGUCUCCUUAUAUGUAAUUAUUUAUUUUGUAUAGAACUCAUAUUAUAUAGUAAAAUUGUGACAUUCGAUCCUGUGCCAUGAUUCAUCAUAUGUGUGAGACUUGGUCCCACCACACCUGGUGAUUAUGUUCGCGCCCGGGCUUUGGGCCCCUAAAACCCGGGUGUGACAAUGAAGCAACACACCAAACAUUCACUAAGCAUCCUAAGACUCCCAGACUCCGCCUCCAUGCAUUUGAUUUGUUGUGUUAGUGAUUUGAGCUCCGUUCGAGUUGUGAACUCCAUGUCCUGUGUUUCUUGCUCAAGUCUUGGCUUGUGUGCGUAUGUGUGCUGCGGAUUCAAGUCUUGUGUGCGUUGCUUUCCCUCCCAUACUGUGCUUCUUUGUGAUCUAUAUUGUAAGGGCGAGAGGCUCCAACCUGUGGAGAUUCCUCGCAAACGGGAGAAGAACACCAAAAAAAGACCAUGGUAUUCAAGUUGAUCAUUGGAUCACUUGAAAGGGGUUGAGUGCAACCCUCAUCCAUUGGGACGCCACAACGUGGAAGUAGGCAAGUGUUAUACUUGGCCGAACCACGGGGUAAAACACCGUGUCUCUUGUGCUGCUUUCCUCUGUGAUUGUUUUGUUCGCAAGAGCUCGCUUCAUAGCAACUUGAUUAACUCGCACUAACACUUUUAUAAUCAAGUUUGUGGCUAUUUAGUGUUUUGAUUUCACAGGAUCACCUAUUCACCCCCCUCUAGGUACGAUGCUCUCAGAAAGGAUGAUGAGGGAAGGUGAGGCCUUGCUCGUGGAAGCAAACAGACGAAACCAUAUAACCGAGAGGUGGCAUCAUGGCCUCCUCAAUGCUCAGAAUCAGCCAUCCGUCGUCGUCAAGUAGAGCAUGUCGUCGAGGGCCCAAAGGUUCUACGCUAGUCCGCCAUAGGAAGCGCGAAGGACAACCCGUGUACGAGAAGGAUAGGCCAAGCGAGGAAGACAAGGAACAAGGGAACCGAAAGCACGAUGGAGAAUAUAGGUAGUGUAGAACAAUUAAAUAAAAGUCAUUCUGUGAAACCCUACCGAUCAGUGCUAGCAGAGAUGACCUGACAGAUGAGGAAGCAGGCCUGACCCACCAUCAUGUUAGGCCUCAGGCUACGCCAUCGCCCUGAGGCAGAGGCACGAGUAAGUUAUUUCCAUGUGCAUAAUAAACAGGGGGACACAAAGGUAAAAGUCACUAAGGUGGGAUUUCUCCCGGAUUACAUCGUCCUCUACAUGAAGGUACCCUGAGUCCCAUGGUGCCACAAUUCUAGGCUCGAGGGUUGAACGCGUGGCCAGACACCCAAAAAGAGGGGAAACUACGACUAAGGUAGGGCGAAAAGCUCAUCACUCCUCUCUCCCAUUCUAACACCUGGUGCAACUACAAGAGCAGAAGCCCAUGCCAGGGAACCAAAAGGUGGACACCAAAGUAGGCCGUAAGGCACCCAUCGAAUCAGAUCCUCCGAGGAUAAGGCGCCGAUGAUCCCACCAGCGGUCUCGCCAUAAUCCUAGAUCAGGCUCUCGAAGGCCGCGAAUGAAGCACCUAGGGAAGGGCCAUUGAAGCACGAAGAUAAAUCCCAGUGCGGAACUGGGCAAUGGCAAAUGCAACAAUGGAUCCAUGGUGAAUGUCGUGUUCCACGACAUUUCGGACAUGACUCGGGAUGUCGAGCAAGCGCUGCAGACGGGUCGCCCUGCAGGCACGGUUGCUCCAAGUCACCACAUCGAUCUCCUAGCGAAGCUCCACCAGCUCGGCCUCCUACACUGAUUAGGAACAAAAAAGGUAUAAAGGUCUGAGCAUCCCUGGAGAGUGGGGAGUGAUGAAGAGCGAAGCAAAUAGCUUACUCGACUCGUGGGCCUCCACAACGUCUAACCGCGCUUGGAGGCCCGCGGUGUCCUCACAACCGAUCGAGAUGCCUCCAGUCUGCCCCGUAACUCGGCCAUCGCUAGCAGUAGAAGGGCCAAGGUUCCGACCCCGCGGGGUGACAGGUGGGGGAGGGAGCUGCGACAACUCGCCUCAAUAGGAUGACAUGGCUGAGUUGGGGGCUGGCACCGAUCAGCCUUAUGGACACCACGGGACGACCAACGAUGGUUGGCGCAUUGGAGGCAUCGUACGCCAGGGAUGAUGGCUUGGGCUCACCGCCGCUAGGGCCAGCCCUUGAUUCUCCAUUCGGAGAGGUCGAGGGGGAGGACGAGAGCGAUAUGACUUCUCCUGUAACGCUUGAGCCCAGCACCCGACGAACAAAACCAGUCACCAAGAUGACAGAGGAGCAAGAAAAAGGACAAGUUCCUAGAAACCACCCACCUUUCUCGUGGCAAGCGACUCUUGGAACGACCUUAGUGAGGAUACUCUAGAGCGGGACACUUGCCAUGGUUCAUGGUCAGCUGGGAGGAUCCUAAAGGGUUUUAGACAGUGUUACCCUCUUAACAGAAUGUUGUUCUUAGGAAGCAAGGGAGCGACGAUUGAAAUCAGUUGGGGGAAGUGCAGAGGGACCCUUUACUUAUAGCGCCUGACUGGAUCUCGGAAGCCAAUAGCGGGCCUCACGAGCCUCUCCAACUAAUUGGUUGCGAGCGACAAAAGGGACAAGACGACGCCAGACCCGGGAGAAGCCCCCGAGGGGAAAUACUAUCCCCCUAGGGGCUCAGGGGCUACUAUCGGGGAUAAGAUCCCUAGUCCCUAGGGCCGAUCGAUCAGCGAGCACGUCCGGGGAAAGCCAAUAGCAACUGGGGCCCAUCGGUCAGCUAGAGGAGGCAGGUAGUGUCUGCCCUGGAGGAACCCACCACUGGACGAGCCCUGCAGCACCAAGCCCGGUGUCGAGAGUGGUAGAGUCUAAUAGGGGGUCGAACAUAGCGAAGGGAAACCACUCGAGUGGAUCCCUCGUCUGGCCCGAGACCGACCCUUCAUCAGUGACCGGCAGCAUUAACUACGUCUCGCGCCGAGCCAUAGCGGAGUUUUUAGUCCGCCUCCCAUUUAUAGCCUACGAGCCACUCAGACCAUGAGCACUCAUGACCUUUGAACUGCUCGGACUGCGACACAUUUAUGGCCCACACACCCCCACCUACGACGCACUCAUGACCUACCAGGACUAGGCCUGAGUGCGCAGACCUCUGGCAGUGCACAACACAACGAACCGCGCCUAGCCCUAGGCUAUGAAGGCCAGGGGUUGACAUAGCCCGAAUGAUGGCGCUCGGACCCCACGUUGUCCGCGUUGCUCGCCAUAAAGAGUACAAGACAGCCAAUCGACCACGAGCACGCGUGGCUUUACCCCAUGGUAGAACUAUCGGUUUUACUGUCGUCCGUUGGCUCUUUAUUUAGGCAGUCGUUGUUGGCCGACCCCCUUCUUGGCCUAUAAAAGGAGGAGGACGACCCGAGGCUCCAUGUUGGACGGGCACAACCUGAAUCCCCUGGCUAGGAUUCGGGCCCCGGGCACACGAUAGACGCAAGGAUGAACCCUAGACGAGAAGAUGCUUAGAAGGACCGACGGACAGGAGGAGGACCCAGAGGCCGGAGUCCACCACCAAACCAAGACUUAGCUAGGACUCCAUUUUGUAACCAACUCCACCACGAAUAAGAGACUUGGGAGCCUCUCCUCUCUCUCUAUCGCCUGCUUGUAUCUCGUACUAUGAGUUUUGAUCAUCAAUGGUGUCGGUAGUGCAAGUCGUCGAUGGCUGGAAGUAGGGAUAUUCUGCUCGAACCAGUAUAAAUCUUGCGCCUACCGUGCACACCGUCCGAAGCCUGGAACGCACACAACAAAUUUACUUGUCGGAGUAAGGUUCGAAACACCGACAUUAUUAUUUAUCUUUUUUUUUGCAUCGUGCCAGGUAAGAUUUAACUUAGAGGCUCUCUUGGCGGACUCAAGUUUGAAAUAUGAAGACAGCAUGUAUUUUCAUCCUUUAUAAUUUUUCCUUUGUGUGUCUGUGAUAUGAUUUAAUUGAUUGAGACUUAUAUAAAACUCCUGUUGUAUCUCUUUAUAUAUAAAUAAACUUAUAUAAGCUGCCUUUAGUUGAUCGAAACAUGUUUAAUUGUUAUGAGUGCGGCAUACCUACGGCAAAAUGAACUAAAAGGUGAUGGUUAUGCAUGAAUACAUUUUCAUCAUUUAUACACCUUACAGUAAAAAUUUGCGCAUUCAUCACAAAGCAUGCGCGCUCCACCAAAUAUCUACCCUGAUGAGAGAGGAGAGAUAAGGACGUGGAACCAUAGAAGAAGAUGAGCAUGACAUUGUCGAUACUACAUGAUUGGUCCCUGUCACCAUAUAGCUAGCAGAUAACAUUAAUUAUAGUGAUUAUGACAUUAUAUGGUACGAUUAACAAGUUUAGGGACUUGGUAUAUGUACUCAAAAACGUUAGGAAUCCAGAUGACACUCAGCGUUGGCAACUCUAUUUUUUAAAGAGAUUUCUAUUUUCUCAAAAGAAAAUAAACUAAUUUUGCUUUGAAAAAUUAAAUUUCCUUUAUAAAAAAUAAGGUUGCCAAACUAGCCACGGGAACUUUAUUUUCUAAAAAAAAUCUAUUUAAAAAAUGAACUAAUUUUCGUUGAAAAAAUAAAAAUCCAUUGAGAAAAUAAGGUUUCCAUACUCGUCCUUAAACGUCAAAUCUAAUGUCUCUCGGGACGGUGGACCCCUACGUACAGCUCGGCACAACGUGUUGCCUUGCCGCUCCUUUCCUACUCUCAUGAUGGCGGUAGGCGUAGGAACGUCGAACAUUGCGAACACUCGUACACACGGGAACGUGGACCUUGCCGCGGCAGAUGGCAGACGUGUGCCGCAUGCGGAAAAAGAAAAUGGCAACAGGCAAGCACACGUCCGGUCCAGUUCAGCUCCCUAGGCCAUACCUACCGAGCAGCAGAGAAUCCAAAGCUUGGCGCUAGGGUCCCUGCAGUCGAUCAACUGGUCCAGGCCAACUCUUUCAUCAACCUCAAUAUAUUUAUAGAUAUCCAUCAUACAAGUUGAUUUCGGGAUGGAAGACGAGAUUCGGUACAUAUAUUAGAAAAAAAACGCUGGCCGGACGCCGCGCCACAGAUCGACGUACAGGGCAGGGAGACUGGGGUCCAUCGAUCCCGUGCACCAGCUCUGAUUGGUUGUUAUUUUUUGUCAGUGGUAAUUGUAUAUUAAAGCACCCUAUCGUAUCUGUCUAAACGCUGGAUUAAACACGGGGCAUGUACAGUGGAGAGACACCAAAACGGUUCUCUAAGCACAGGAGACAACUAAGAGACUCUAUUGUACAAUGGAGUGUCUCUAAACGUAGUCUAUUAAUAAAUACAGAAUUAAAUGUAUUUGUAUAGCAUCAGAUCGAUAGAACAGACGACAAAUUCGUACAGUGGUAAGUGAGGCGUCUGUUGUUACUUGGUUUACGAGCCAGAGGCGUCUCUUCACGGAGAGACGGCUCUAAGAUUUUUUUGCAAAUAACCCCCUAAAACACCUUAAGAGCCUUCACAUUAAACACCACUGUACAUGCCCUAAUCAUGUCCCACUGGGUCGUCAACCAUUUCCGUCUCACGAUCUGCCAUUACUGUUUUGUUUUUUGUUUUUUUGCGAUCGAGAGACUGAUGGGAACCGCUGAACGAAGCGCCGCUUGGCAUAUACGGCAAUACCCUACAGCUCCCACAAGCGAAAUGAUUUUAGUGAUGGUGUGUUGAUGAAAGACGCUUAAGGUUUUUAGUUUGUUCCACUAAAAUUUAGUGGUUAGGAAUAAAGAUUUUAAUGGAAAAGAACCCUCCACGAGCUUCUUUUGACGGCUAUUCAUAUAUAAUCCUAUAUUCCAGAUAUAGACUGUCAAAAUGAAUAUUUGUCACUCUACAUGACUUCAAACUAAAACCUUGUCACCUACACUAUUUAUUAUUCUAAAUUAUAAUAUAUUUUGUUUAUUCACAUCCAUAGCUUUUUACUAUACAAUAUAUAUAUGUUAUAUCUAUAUAAAAUACUCGCUCUGUCCGAAAUUAAAAUUUGUAUUAUAUAAAAUACCCGCUAACCUGUGACAUGUUGAGUUCAAUAAAUUUAUCAUGCUGGAUACAAAGAUAAUAUGUUAUUUUAUUAUAUUCCAUUUUUUAUGAAGUAUUGAGCUUCAAAUUUUAAUAUUUAGUACUUACUUUUACGAUUCAAAUGAUCAUGUCUACUAUAAUAUUUAGGGGUAUGGUACCCUAUGGAUACCCUCUACCUAUGGUGUGUAUGGGUUACUUUUCUACUCAUGAUAAGUAGUGGGUACAUGUAAUAUGAUAUUUUUUUAUCUGGUAGGUAUAAGUAUGGCUUUGUGUGCCCAUCGGAUAUCUUGCCCACCACCAUCCCUAGUAAGAGGCAAUGAUGCAUAGUAUUAUUUUUUAUAAACUAAUGUUUUAAUUUCUAAGCCUUUGUUAUUGAAUGUAAUAGCAAUAUUAAUUACACCGAUAAAAUGCACUACUAGCUCUUUAUCAGACAUACGGCUCAAUGUCGAGGGUUUGAGUUCCAUUUUUCAGUAAAAGAAUCGUCAAAAGUGCGCUCAAAUAACUGACUGAAGCUAAUGAUAAACAAGAUAAGAUUCGCGCAUAUUAAGUGAGAGAAGCCUUGUUGUCAUGACUUGAAUCGACUCGUAGUUUAUAUUGAGAGUAGCACUAACUCGGUUCUCGAAUAUUUAUGAAUCGCUAGUUUAUUUUUUCAACUAAAACACAACAAUAAAAAAGAACUGAGGAUUAGUAGUAGCAGCAGCUAGCCGGAAAGUGCGUGGUGCUCGACCCAGCAGACGGGGAUAGAUGGGGACCAAGCACCCGUACCGUACGUGUCUGUCUGCUCUGUUCAUCGCGUGAUGGCGUAGGGUAUGGAUAAUCGUACGCGCGAACGUGGAUCUCGCCGCGACAUGCCACCAACCACUGGGGGACGUGUCUGGCAAAUUAUUGGAUGGAGACUUGGGCGUACGUCCCAGCACAGAGCUCGUGCGCCGCAUGGGGACGUGGUAUGGCAACAAACACGUUACGUUAGACUAUCUCUCCGAUCCACACCUUCUGAGUUCUGACGCUAGGGCAGCAGAAUUUGGAGCUCCUUUUUUUUUUAACCAGCAAUCAACUGCUCUCCAGGCCGACUCUCAAUAUACUCCAUGUGCCAGCUCUGAUCGGUUGUUAUAUGUUUGCGUUUAUCUAGAUCUAGCACUAUUACCGAAAAAAUAAAUCUAGAUCUAGUAUUACUCCUUCCGUUCCAGAAUAUAAGUCGUAAUUACUUUUUGUUCUUGUCCUACAAUAUAAGGCUUUGUUCGGUCAUAAGGGAAUAAAUCCCACCAUGGAUUUAAUCCGGAUCUGGAUUGAGUGGAUCAAUAUGUCACACUCAAUCUCAUGGUGGGACUAAAUCCAACAUUUAAUUCAUGUAUCUCUCAAAACUAGCUAUUUUUUUGAUCCAUAGAUUUUAAUAUAAACUUGUGCAAUAUCUUCAUGGAUUUGUUCCAUACCUAAUGAGCUAUGGAUAGAAUACAUGCCUUCCAUAGUUUAAAAAAUUCCCAAACCCUUGAGUUAUAAUCCAUGAUGGGUUUAACCGAAUAAAAAAAAUUUGAGUAAGCUUGGACAGUGCCGGUCCUGACAUUUUAGAGACCCGGGGCAAGACUUAUAAUGGAGACCCUUGAUAAUAUUAAUUAUUACACGUAAUUACAGUGCAUAUAUAUAUAUAUAUAUAUAUAUAUUGUUUACAAAUAUUUAUGUAUAUUUGAAAACGUUGUUCAUAUUAAAUACAAAGUAACUAAAAUAUAACAUAACAUCUCGUAGAAAAAUGGGGUAUAUAUGUGUCCAGAUGACUCAAAAGAAGGUUACCUCGAACAAUGAUCAAAUAGAUGUAAUACGUUGUGAGAUCAAUCGAUUAUGUCAUGUUAGUUUCGUGUUCGCUAUGUAGGGAAAGACAAAAGCACUGUCGUACCCAAUGUCGUGUGUUGGCUACCGAGAGGAGAGGGCACGACCGCCUGUCUGUUUGCGACUGAGAGCCUAGGCAGAUGGGCAUGAGACUAAAAAGUACUACUACUAGAAUAUAUAAAUCAAGAUUAAUGGGUUACGUCUAAUUCUCCUUGCUUGUUGUUGCCAUGUUGUUGACUUAUAAUUAAGUCUUUAAAAGUUUUAUAGAGCUAACAUAUAUAUAUAUAUAUACAAUAUACGCUAUAUGGCUGUAUAUAUUUACUGUUAUUUAGUAACUAAAGUGAGGCCCUAUUAAGUUGGGGGCCCUGGUCAGGGGCACUGCUCGACCCCCGCCAUGGCCGGCACUGAGCUUUGAUUAUUUUGGGGUAUGGAUUGUGACAUGGAUUUAAUUCCAAUCCAUGCUAAUACAGAGCUGGAUUGGUGUAAACGAACAAGGCCUAAGACGUGCCCUUUCUAUGCAAGAAUUAAAUAUAUUUCUUAGGAGGUGUUUGAAUAAACUAGAGAUAAUAGUUAGUGACUAAAAUUAGUUGAGACUUCUAAACACUCUAGCUAAUAGUUCACUUGUUCGCUAUUUUUGAUAAAUUAGUUAAUAGUUAGGUAGUUAUUUGUUAGCUAGCUAAUUCCAUUAACAAUUUUUAGUCAACUAAUUAUUAGUUAUAGUGCAUUCAAAAUACCCCUUAGUCUUUAAAUUAUAGGUGGUUACACCUUAUAUACCGGUACGAAGUAAGUAAUAUUUAGACCAGUGAAAGUGAGAUCUACCGUGAAUUUAUCAUAAAACUAUGGAUGUUUGGCCUUACGAUAGGCCUCACAUUCAGUGUCUCGAGGGAAAAAAAAAUAACUUCUAGAUAUUCUUCCUCGAUGGCGUACGCAAGGCGGCACCAGCUGGUACGACGGCACUAAAAGGCGCCUCUCAACUCUCAUGCCCCUUUCUCUCAUCAAGUCAUGUACGAUCUAAAGUAAAGCUAUUUAAACGGUUUUUUAGAUACAAGAUACAACUAAAAUGUUGUAUAAUAUAAAUCUAAACCUUUAGAUCAUUAAUAAAGCUAAAAGAUAUUAUAUACAUAAAGUCUUGAAGAGAUAGACUUUUAGUUAAGAACAUGUCUCUUGAUUUUUUUUCACUAUAUACUAUAAAGACCCUUCAAAAUACCCCAUUUUUUCACUAAAUACUAUAAAGACCCCUCAAAAUACCCCAUUUACUGGUGUUUUACAUGCCGCCAUCACGGUUCAAAGUUUCACACUGCUUCGUAUCUUCUUGGUAAACACGCCACCCUUCUCUAUUAAAAAAUACUCCAUCCAUUCCAAUAUAUAAGCGUAACCACCUUUGAUUUAAAAACCAAGAAAUACAUUUAAUUCUCUCUAUAUCACUACAUCGGUGUACGUGUGAAUAGAGAGAGCACGCCUUAAUUUUUUAGGCAGAGAUGGUUCAAAAUUUUCAUACCCUAAAUUAAGUUCUGUGAAGACAUUUUUAUUUUUAAACAACUUUAGAUUGAAAAAUAAUCAAAAGCAAAGUUAUAAUUUAUUUUUUUAUUUAAGUUUAUUUAUGGUCUCUAAAAUAUUAAUUAGUACUCACUUAAGUUAUUGUAUCAGCCAUUAGGCCAUAAGUGAAACGAUUUUAGUGGUGGAGUGUCUAAGGAAGGACGCUUAAGGUUCUUAGUUUGACCCCUGCGUCGAAAAGCGGUCAUAUUUUGGCCUGUCUCUAGAUUCCAAUUUGUAAAGGCAACUAGGAUUUCCUCUCUGACCUGCCUAUAUAUUUCAGUCUCUAUGAGCAGCGAUUAGGUUUUCGAUGUGUCUAUAUAAAUCGAUUUCUAGCAAAAGAUGGAAAUCACCGGUUUUUAGAGACAUACAAAUAAUGUCGGGUGGAGCAGUGAAAAUACAUUCAAGUUUUCCCUAACAGGGCGUUUGGAUCCCUUCAUUUUAUAGGAAUUAGAAUUCACUCAAUAAAAUAACUUAUUUAGUUUGGAAUUUGACAUUCCAUCACUUUCUAAAGUUUAUAUAUAAGUCUAUGUCAAAUUUAUGUGGUGAGGGAUGAGAAAUGAUUUUAUACAUUAGUAGAAUUUGUUUCUAAUCUGUAACUAGCAUGACACUCUUCGUCAUACUCAUUUAUAGUAAAAAUAUAGCACAUAAACAUCUUUAAUAUCUUGCUAAUAAUAGUAUACAAAUAUAUUUUGUAUAAAACCAAAUUAGCUUAAUUGAUAUAUGUCUAAACUAUUAUUAUUAGGGUAGAAUUCAAUUCCAAUGAUCUAAAGGGGACAUAAGAGCAUAUUCGACGACCUUUCUAAAUUUUACUCUCUAUAAAUCAUUAUUUAGAGAGUCAUUUGAGUAAAAAAUAGGUCUUAUAUAUUUGUAACAACCUUCUUAUAUCUUGUGCGCACUUUAGUGCAACUCCAUGGGUCUCUCUAUAUCCUUUCUAAUGGUUAGGAAUAAACAUUUUAGUGAAAAGUACCCUUCAAGAGCUUCUUUAAAUAUUCAUAGCUUUUUACUAUAAACCAUAUACUCCCUCCGUUCUAAUUUAUAAUUCAUUUGACUUUUUUACUCCAAAUUUGAUCGGCUUGUCUUAUUUAAAAACAUAUUAUUAUUAUUAUUAUUAAUUUUUACUAUGAUAUCGUUUAAUAUAUAAUAUAAUUUAAGUAUGCCUUUGGAUUUUUCAUUUUCCGCAAAAAAAUUGAAUAAGACGAGCCAUUGAAACUUGGUUUAGAAAAUUGAAAUGAAUUAUAAAUUAUGACGGAUGGAGUAUAUAUUAAUAUAUUAUGUACAUAUACAUAAUAAACACUGUAAAUCUAGAGAUACCAUAAAGUCUUACAAUUUACGAUGGAGAAGGUAUAAAGUUGUGGAUUGGGUUGACCACUACAACUUUGGUAUUGACCAUAUCAACAUCCAUGAUCAUUUGAAAAUUUGUAUUUUAAAAUCUAAGAACUUAAAACACAUAUUUUUGACUCUAAAUGAUUUCAAGUCAUAAGCUUGUAAACUACUACCUUCGUUUUCGAAUAUUUGUUGUCCGUUAGUUCAUUUUUGAACUAGAACAUGACAAAUAAAAAAGAGGUAGUAUAAAGUUAUAGAUUGGAUUGGAAUACAGUGUUAAUACCUGGAGUAAUAGAUUUAGGGUCUGUUUGGUUGGGCUGUGGCUGUGGAAAAAGUUGCUGUGGGCUGUGAGCUGUGGAAAAAGCUGCUGUAGGCUGUGUGCUGUUAAAAAGCUAAAAAUCGUUUGGUGGAAACCACUAAAAGUCGUUAAAAGUUCUUCGAUAUAUGUUUUCACAGUUCCAUCCAAAAGCCACUAAAAGCAGGUCCAGGGGUGCUUUCAGUUUUGCACUACGAGAAAGUCGGCUUUUAGAAAAAGCUGCUUCCUGGAUCCAGCCCUUUGGUUGGCGUUUGGCUUUUAGGGGGCAAAAGCCAAAGCCAAAAGCCAAACCAAACACACCCUUAUCAAUUCGUAGUUGAGAGAGAGGGAGUAGUCGGAUGGGACUGGAGGUUGAUCCCCCAGAUGGAGGCCAAGCACCCGUACGUGUAUGUCUGGUGCCCCGCAACUCUCCUGUUCAUAGGGGUGAAAAAGGUCGAAAACGAUUGGUAAACACUAAAACAUUUUUAUUUUCAUAUUUUUUUUCCAGAAACGAGAUUUAAAACAGUAACUCUGGAAACGAAAACAACAUCGAUAAUUCGGAAACAUCUGAAAUGAAAGUUCAGUAUGAAAAUUACACGAUUAUGAUGGUAAAAACGGUAACAUGUACCAUCAAUUGACUUCAAAAAUUCACGCAAGUCAUACAUUUAUAUAAAAUUAGUAAUAAUAUAUAAGGUAGGAGGUCACAAUAAAUAUAUAAGGCAAGAAGUCAUACAAUAAUAAAAUCAUUAUUAUGUAUCUAAAUAAAGUAAAAUCAAGAUGUGUAUAAUGAUGACACUUACAUUGUAAUUGUACUCCUACUACUUGACAUAGUCAAUAUAAUUAGUGUUCUCUUGGUCCUUCUUAAGUUCUCGUGCAAAUUUUGAAUAUAUGUAUCAAAAGUAAUAACAUGUAAGAAAACAUAAAAAAGAUUUAAUAAAAGUUUUUAAGUAGUUCUAAACUAUAUACUAUUAGAUAGAUCUUGAUUUUAGGAAAUUAAUACAAUUAGUGUCAUAUUUUUAUAAGCUAAAAUGAAUCUAUUAUGAAUUUAUAAAGAUUAGUUCAGAUUUAAUAUUUUCUGAAAAACACCGUAUUUAUUACCGAUAAAUACAGAUAAUAAAAUACCGAUUAAAAUGAUAAUUUUUGGAACGGUCGGAACAGACCUGAAUCAUUUCAGUUUCUAAUUCGGAUUUUUUUUAACCAUUUCUAUUUAUAUUUAGACUUAAAUUUUGAUAAAACUUUAUAAACGAUUCCGGUAUAAAAAAUUAUCGUUUCCGUUUUCACGCAUGUUCAUCGCGUGAUGGUGUAUACGGUGUGGAUACUCCGAAACGUACACGUACUAGGGACAUGGCAGCAACCAAAGAUAAUCAAAGAUAUUCUCAACGAUUUUCGGGAACGUGGAUCUCGCUGCGGCGGCAUGGCAAGAACCUCUAGCGACGUGUCCGGGAAAUGAUUGGCCGGAAGUAAGGACUUGGGCGUACGUCCCAACACAGAACUCGUGCGCCGCAUGGGGAAAUGGCAGCAAGCACGUUCGCUCCGAUCCGCACCUUCUGUGCAACAGAUACCCAAAGAUUGGACGCUAGGACCGUGAAAUUUGCAGCUCAUUUUUUUUUACCUGCAAUCAACUGCUCUCCAGGCCGACUCGACUCUCAAUAUAUAUCCAUCGUAUCAGUUGAUGAGUUGAUUUCGAGAUGGAAGACAAUAAACUACUGGAAAAGUAAAUCUAAAUUUAACAUUCACUCCGUACAUAUGUUAUAACUAGGUAGUUGCCCGUACGAUGUCACGGAACACAAAUUGCGAGUCUCCAAUAGACUUAGAGCCCUGACGACAUGCGGCGUGAAUACAAAUUACGUGUGGUAGGGUUUAGAAUGUAUAAAAUGACGGUUUUCUAUUAUCGCAACGAGUCGGCUGAUACCAUAUUUACGUUGAUUUUGGACGAUUUUGACUAAACUGGUACUUAUAGAAGCGAGCUGAAAAGCUGAGCGUUUGACUGUCUGUAGCAGCUUUUGUUGGUCACAAGCUGAAAAAGGUUGAAACAAACAGAUCAUUGUAGCGCUAAAUUGAUUCUCUUCGAAUGUGCCGAAUGUGCGUUCAAUAAACGUGUGAUACUUACUCCAGGACUAAGAGUGCCUUAAUUAACCAUUCACGGAGUAGCUGCACAGUCGCCUUUUUUGUUCAACUUUUUUCUCAUGAUCCUUUUCAGAAUCUAGCUGCAGUGAGAAUUUAGUUAUGAAGUGGUUCCUAAUGCGAGAGUGUAUUGGUGAAGUGGUUCCUGAUGCAAGAGUCGAAGUUACUCAAGGACUGGUACCGACAUCAAUGGAAGGAAUGAAGUGGUGACUGGACAAUAUUUAUUUCUAAGAAACUAUACAAUAGUUCAAGACAAACUCAACAAUAGUUACUGAUAAACAGAAAAAUAGUUCAUGAGAUUGAACAAUAGUUCCUAAGAAACUGAAGAAUAGGUCCUGGGAAACUAUACAAUAGUUCAUGAGAAAAUAAUCUCUAGUUCCUGAGAAACUUAAAAAUAGUUCAGUUGAGACUGAACAAAAGUUCUCGAGAAACUGAAGAAUAGUUCCCGAGAAACUAUAAAUAGCCUCAGUAGUACACAAACUUAGCCAUUUAGAGCCACAAUAUAGAUAGAUUGCUAGUACCUCAUUCACAAAAAGCAGGUUUCUCUUAAACAUAUGCUUUUUAGCCACAACAAGCACACGUACAUAGAUUUAGCUCUCUGUAGUACAAGUGCAAUGCAUUACCUCAUCACUACACUUAAUACAAAAGGAACUACAGUGUGUACGCCGCGGAACUGAUUUCAGAUUCAUAAGUAAAUACAGAAGGAAAAAAAUACAGAACAAUGUGGGUGUGCAUGUUCACACUUAUAUAGAUCAUUACAAUAAUAAGAAGCUAUCCUUCGAAAAGUAAACAAAAGCCUCCCCUGCCCCUACACUAAUUAAGUAAACAAGGCCCAAUAAACAAUUACAACCCUGAGUUAAAAUAAGGGCACCAACUACUAUGGGCACACAGCAAAGUAGUGUAAGUAGUAACACUAAAACUAAAACCUCAGUAAGCCUUAAUACAAUCGGGAAAUACUAAAACGUUUACUCUAAGAAUUAGUCAAUACUAAAAAAUCCUGUUUCAGUCAGUGAGACUCAUUCCGGGGUGAGUCUUAGAGCGUGGAGUCUGCAAUUUGGAUAGUCGAGAGCAGUCGAAUGAAUGGACUAAGAGCAGCUCUAGUGUUGGUAGGAAUCUAACCUCGCGGAUGGAAACUGAACUAUCAACACUGCAGCAGUCAAUCGCUCACUGUCAGUAGCAGAAUUCGACCUCCAAACAUGGCUAUGUGCGAGGGAGUAAAAUAUUCAGCCUUCACUGCUCUGACCUCUUUAGUGCAGUACAAUUUCCUCUUUCUCUUGGCUGUUUUGGAGAUUGAACUCGAUGAGAAAGGAGUAGAUUACACUAUUUUAUUUGGUUGUAGGCUCCACUAAAUCGAACUCAGCAGUGGAGGCGGCGAACUCAGCAGUGGAGGUAGAGGUCGAAGGGAGGGGGAGAUGCCAUCUAGCCACGGAGACACCAUCUAGCUUGACCUUCUUGACUUGUUAUUCGGCGGUGGCUUUUGCGAAGGAAGAAAUUAGAACCAUUAAGUAGAUUGAAGGGCGAGGAAAAACAAUGAAGCAAGAAGAGAAGGUCGUACAGUACCUGGGGGCGGAGACGGUGGCGGAUUGGGGCUAGGGUUAGGGUUUUGGGCGGGGCGCUGGAGUCUGCAGGUGAAGCGAAGGAGGUGGUCGUUGAGGCCGUUCAUCGUAGGGGUGGCGGCAGGGAGACGACGAUCCUUAGGGACGGUGGUGACGGGUUCAUCGAUGUCGUCGUCGUUGAGAUCGCCGCAGAGGUCGAAGGGAGGGGGAGACGCCAUCUAGCCACGGAGACGCCCAAGAGGCAAGAGGCAAGGGGACGGAAUCGAAUCGAAGAUGCGCAGUGGGGAUGGGUGCUCUUCCUCGUUGGUUCAUACCUAUCUCACUUGCCGAGGAGAGGAAGGAGAGGGCGAGAGGCAGCAGCGAGCAUGUGUGACCCAUGCUCCUUAGGCACUAGACAUGCGGGGGCGGCAACGAGGAUCCCGCAUGGUUGUGGGGAUGGAGGCGCCUGCGCACAUGGCGGGGUUGGGGGAGGCUGCAUGCAUGGCGGGGAUGGGGGUGGCUGCGCGCAUGGCGGGGAAGGGGGCGGUUGCGCGCAUGGCGUGGAAGGAGGCGGCUGCGCGCAUGGCCGGGAUGGAAGCGGUUGUGGGAGCAGAUCCGGCGCUAGGCGUGACUCGCAAGCGAGGAUGGCAUCGCAAUCGGACGGUGGGGAUGGACGCAAUCGGACGGUCGGGAUAGAGGCGGGGGCACGUUUAUGCCUGGUCUACAGUAUCGUCUUAAGGAUUAGUAGAGAAAAUAACUUCGAGGUCUUCUUGUUCCUUCGCAUCAUAUGCAAAGAUGUUAAUUGACCACGAUCUAAAUAUCUCUUCAUAAUAAGUUAGAGUUAUUAAUUAAUUUUAGUUAAAAAUAAAAUGGAAUAGAUCUUGAUAUUAAUUAGAUGUGAUCCUUAAAUUUCAUAUUGUAAAAUCUAGAGCCAAUUAGCACCCUAUGCGUACGACGACAACAACAGACAUAGUCGUUGUGGCGCGGCCCUCGUCGGUGCGUCUAGUGUCUACACGUACGAGGCCGUCGUCGAUAGUAUGCUACAUGCGUACCUAGGGAUGGGCGUUCGGGUUACCCGAAGAUUUCGGGUCGGGUAAUUCGGGUAUUUAAAAUUUCGGGUUUUGAAAAUCGAUACCCGCAAUUACAACGGGUUUUGCAAUACCCAAAAAUUCGGGUACCCGGAAUUUUGGGUUCGGGUAUUUCUGAACUACCCGAACUGUUGUGUCGGCUUCAUAAAAACACAUACACCCUAUUAAAUUAGUAUAAAAAUACAGUUUGAAUAAUAAUAUACAUGAACAUAUAAAACACAAGCAAUCUACAAUCACAAGUUAUGCACACUUACACAUAAUUAUAGAUGUACAAAUUAAUAAUUAAACAUGACAUGAGUAUAUGACACAUGAAAGUUUGGGUAAUUUGGGUAUUUCGGGUACCUGAUUGUGAUACCUGAAUUACCCAAAAUAAAUUCGGGUUUUGCAAGUUGGUACCCGAAAUUCUCGAACAAAAUUCGGGUUUCGGGUAUUCCGGGUUCGGGUUCGAGUAUUCCGGAUUCGGGUUUUUGGUUACGGUUUUCUUGCCCAGCCCUAUGUGGCGAUACUCAAGGCGUUGCGUCUGCUCUCCACCCCCUUCAUCUCGCGAGUCCAGGCACGGCACGGAAAAAAGCACGGCCCAGGUACGGCACGACAUGACCCGAAAUAUUUUAGUGUCGGGCCGACACGGCCCGAUAUAUCGGGCCUGGUUUGGGCCGAGGUCGCGGCCCAUGGGCGGGCACGAGCACGACCCAUUUAAUGCAGGCACGAAAUGGCCCAUAUAGAGGCACGAAAAGGCCAUAUAUUUAUCAAAACCAUACUUUAUUCCACACUUUCAUGUACUUGAUAAAGAACACAAAGCUAGAGAUAAUGUUAGUUAUAUGUUUUUUCUAGCUUUAAAUUAGAGUAUGUGAUGUAAUUUUAUUUUUGUUAUGAACAUUAGAUAAUGAACUGAACUUAUGAACUUUAUAUAGAGUUGAUUAUCCUUUAUUUCUUUCUAAUAAAAUGAUUUGUAAAUAAGGUAGUCAUUGCAUAGCUCUGGUAACUUAAUACAAAUAUUAAGUUUGCUUUUUGUCAAAUUUAUUUGUCUUAUCUUUUAUUUGUUUUAUUAACUCUGAUGUGAAUUUCGGGCUCUGAUGUGAAUUUCGGGCCCUGAUGUGAAUUUCGGGCCAAAAACUGAAUUUUGGGCUCUAAUGUGAAUUCAGGCUUUUAUAAUUUCGGGGCGUCCGAAAUGAGCCCGACACGUUUAAGUAAUCACGGGCCGGGUCGUGGGCUGAAGGCUAAGCCCGUGGCCGGCCCGAAAUUCAAACGGACUAGACUAGCUCGAAAUUUAAAUAUUACGGGUCUUUUCGGAUUUGGACCAGACAUGACGGACCGAAUGUACACCUAUACUCGCGACCAGUCGGCUGCUCUGGUAGUGUUGUCCUCUUGUGAGUCUCCUCCUAGAGCCCACGCGACGCCUUUACGCCCUAGUCCUGGCUCACGCACCGACACAUGCAGCCCGGCCAAGGAAGGACGUGAAGGGAUUACUGCUCCGGGUCUAGGUCAGUGAUUGCAAUCUCAGCCGAUAAGUGCCGUUUUUUGGUAAAAAUUAUCGUUACCGGUACUUACCGAGAAGCAAAAAAUAUGUUCACUUUUUAUUGUAUUUCGGUUUAGAAUUUAAAUAUAUAAAAGUCAAAUUUUGGUCAACAAAAUGGUUUUCAAAGUUAGGUGAUCCCUGGUCCAGGCUCAGGCUCACGCUCACACAUCCCGCUUGUGUCCUGCACGGACGCGGAGGGGCAGCUCCUGAGAGGAGGCCAGAGGCGGCACUAGCACUAGUGACUCUGAUUGGCGGCGAGGUAUCACGACGGGAAGAGAGAAAACAAACUAUGCUGAUAGUUUUUUUUUCUAACUCCACUUACUUCAAUUUGAAUUUGUCAGACCACCUCUUAAAAAACUUUUUUAAAAAGAAAAUUUUUAAAGUUGAACCGUUUGAGCAACUUUUUUUGAGAUAAACCCCCUGGUCUAACUUGUGAACUGCUUAAGCUAACUUUUCGUAUAGCAGAGUUGUUUUUAGUUACUAUAGAGCUCAUGAUGCUGUACCAAAACAACUCCUUUACAUCUAAUCAAGAUCCACUGGAUCAUCAAUUAUCUCCGUCUGACAACAAUGAUAUCUUCAAACGAGAUGCUAUCUUCCUCCUCGGUUCUAAAUUAUUUGUUAUUUUAUUUUUUAGUCAAAGCAGUUUAAAUAAAAUUAUAUAAUAAAACAAUAAUAUUUAUGAUACAAAACAAGGUUUAUUAGUGUCGGCGUUUCGAGACCGGGGUUCCUCGGGCCGACGAGUGAGUGUCGCCGCGUGCCCCAGCCCAGAUGGGUCGAGCGCGAAGGGGGGAAAGGAGCGAGGCGGCCGGAGACCGGCGUGAGAGAGGUGGGAAUCCCGCGGCCUUCGUGUUCGUCCCGCGCCCAGGUCGGGUGCGCUUGCAGUAGGGGGUUACAAGCGUCCACGCGGGAGAGGGAAGCGAGCGGCCCCGAGAGAGCGUGUCACACCCGGUUUUAGAAGGCAAACCGAAUGCGAACCAUGUACGUGCCAGGAUCAGUUAUUCACGUACACAGCAGUUACAUAAUAUGGACAUCAUCACACUGUGCUCAAAAUAGUAUUAAUAAGGGAAAUAGUCGAUUACAUCAUACGUCUGAGACGUCCAUAUAGUUCUUACAAUAAAUCAAAGUGCGGAAAAGAAACGUAGAUAAACGCGGCCUUCACAGGCAGCCGACUGGGGGUUGCCGCUAACCCACACCUAGAACUCGUCGUAAUCUUGGAACUCCUGGAAGUCUCCUUCCACAGCUUCAUCUUCGCCUGAGCAGUGGUUGCAAUGCUGACAACCUGGGGGGGGUUUGGUGUGUAGAGCAAGGGUGAGUACACAUCAACAUACUCAGCAAGUAUCCUGUUUGGCUGUAGUGGACUAGCUUUAUGUGGGGGUAAGUCAAGCAGUUGCUUUUAGUUGGUCAGAUUAUUAUUUACUAGUAGAAAGCCAAGUUUUAGCAUUAACCCAAGUUAUUAACCCGUUGUACCCUUUCCAAACGGAAAGAAUACCACUUACCAGCACCAUAGUCAUAACCAAAACCAUCAAUCUCAUAACCACCUGUAAACCAAAAGGUCUCUUAUCAAGUACCACUAAUCACUGGAGCUCCCUUGGCCGCUCAUAACCGUGAGCACGGCUGAUAUAUCAGUUUCAUAACACUCUGCAGAGGUUGUGCACUUUACCCACAAGCCGUGAUUCCCUCUUGCCUCGGGCCGAUCAAACCCUUAAACACUACCAAGGUGAAUAGGCAGGGUUUCACUACGUAGCCUUUACAAAGAUUCCCCGGGGCUGUAGCCACCCGUUAGGUUUCCUAAAUGCACCGCACUCCUCCCCAAGGGGCGAACCCAAACUUGGCAGAGCGAGCCGCAUACACCGAGCCCCAUUGACGGCACGACGGCUAAGUGAACUACAUCCCGGAUCCUCUAAUUAUUCAGCUAAGGGCACCCCAUUCCACCCUCAUGGUUGCACUGUUUUCCCGGGCGGUCAUCCAUAGAACAGGUCCUUACGGAGAGGCACUCGAGAAACCGCUCGAGCCCCCUUGAAGGUCACAAGUACAACAUCAUAAUAAGAGAAGGGAAAACAGCGUAUCAUAGAUAACCACAUCAUGUUCAUUGAUUAGAGUUUGAGCAAUAGCAUAAAGCUAAACAGUAAUAAUCCAACCCAGAUAGGUAAACAAGGACAUGGAUAACAAAAGCUAGUCAAUCCUUAGGUAUAAAGGUGUAAUGCGGGAGGUGAAUUAAAUAAUGAAUAGGACAGAGAUAGGUCAAAGGACACUUGCCUCCACCAAACGACUGCUGCUCAGGGGCUUCUCCUGCGAAUUCCUCGGGCUCUUCGACCGGAUCGUUCUCUAUGCGAUUACAAACAUACAUACAUCCAUCCACAUUUAAUACAAAAGAACAGUACACCAUACAAGGGAACAAAUAAAGUGAGUAUGCAUCAAGUAUGACAUUUGAUAUCGCAUUUGUUAUGGUUAGAAAGAAACGGGAAAGGGUCUCGCAGGGGGUUAAAUCUUAUGCGCUAACAAUCAAUUACAAUUGGUUCUUAACAAAAGAAUUCUGUUACAUAUACACUAAUGGAAACCUAAUCAUUUUAAGUUGAUCAACAUCGCACGAGAUAAACAAUUAACUACAUGAAUCAAUUAGCAUAACGGAAUUUUAAAUUAAACUUCCUAUUUCAAUGGCAUUAAUAAUGAUUAACCUACCUAAAACAAAAUAGCUAUGAUCACAGAAAGUAAAUAAAAUAAAAUAAAAAAAACAGAGGGGGGGGGGCGGUUGAACCGGCCCUAGGGGCGGUUGAACCGGCCGGGGGCAGGGCGCGCAGGGGCGGCCGAGCCGGGGCGGCCGAGCCGGCCGAGCGGCCAGGGGGGGGGGCGCGGCCAGGGCGCGGCCAGGCGGGCGGCCAGGCGGGCGGCCGGGGCGGGCGGCCGGGCGGCCAGGGCGCGGCCAAGGCCAGGGCGCGGCCAAGGCGGCGGCCAGGGCGGGCGGCCGGGCGGGGGCGGGACGAGCCGGGCGGGCGGCCGGGCGGGACGAGCCGGCCAUGGCGGCGGCCAUGGCGCCGAGCGGCGAGGGGAAGGGGAGGGGGGAUGGGGGAGGGAGGGGAGAGGGAGGAGGGGGCUCACCGGCGAGGGGCGGGCGACGGCGGGGGGGCGGCCGGCAGGGAGCGGCGGCCGAGCAGGGGGCGGCGGCGGCUUAGGGCAGGGGCGGGUAGGGGCGGCGCUAGGGGAGAGAGAGGGAAAAUGAGAGAGGGGGAGAGGGAUUGGGGGGUUUUGGGGAAAAAUAAAGGGAGGGGGCGGCAUGGGCCAAUUGGGCCCAAGGGGGGGGCGCCAGGGGCGGCUGGGCCGGCCGGGGUCGGCCCACGGCGCGGGAGAGAGAGAGAUAGAAGAAAGAGAAAGAGAGAAAAAGAAAUAAAAGAUCUUCUUCUUAUUUUCGAAAUCCGAUCUUUCUAUAUGAAUGCAUUUGCACUUUCAAAGCAAUCAAAAGAAAUGCAAGGUUCGGCAUGGUGCAUCAAACAACAUAAAGUACUUAGGGUUUUUCUUACACGGGAAAUCCAAACCGAAUCCCGCUAGAACUUUGGAAAAGGUCAAGGUUUAGCGAGGGGAAAAAGAAAAAGAAAAGGUAACGCCCGAAUUUUGGCGAGUAAAGAAAAGAAAAAAUUCAACUGCAAAAUUCGGAGCGUUACAAACCUAUCCCCCUUAAAAGAAUCUCGCCCUCGAGAUUCAGGGCUGGCUAGCAAAGAGCUCUGGGUACUUGGCCACUAGAUCAUCUUCACGCUCCCAGGUUGCUUCUUCCUCAGAGUGGUGAUUCCAUCUGACUUUGCACAUUCUGAUGGUCUUCCUUCGGGUGACUCGGUCUGCAACCUCAAGGAUUUGCACUGGCUUCUCAACGUAGGUCAAGUCCUCCUGGACUUCCAGACCUUCCACUGGCAACUGCUCUUCUGGCACACGCAAACAUUUCUUCAACUGGGACACAUGAAAGACAUUAUGCACAGCAGACAAAUUCUCUGGCAAACUGAGCUGAUAGGCCACUUCUCCACGCUUUGAGAGGAUCUGGUACGGACCAAUGUAGCGGGGUGCUAGCUUGCCUUUCACUCCGAAUCUUCUGACUCCUCUGAUCGGUGACACUUUCAGAUAGACAAAGUCUCCGACUUCGAAACUCAGCUCUCUUCUUCUUGUGUCUGCAUAGCUUCGCUGCCUCGAUUGCGCUAUCUUCAGAUUCUCUCGGACCAUCUUGAUGUUCUCUUCGGCUUCAAGCAGAAUGUCUGGCCCAAACACUUGCUUCUCUCCAGGCUGAUCCCAUUGCAACGGAGUUCUGCAACUCCUUCCAUAGAGCGCCUGAAAUGGUGACAUCUUCAAACUGGCCUGGUAACUGUUGUUAUAGGAAAACUCUGCAUAAGGCAAUCGCUUAUCCCAUCCGGACUGAUCUUGCAACGCACAGGCUCUCAACAUAUCUUCGAGAAUUUGAUUGGUCCUUUCGGUCUGGCCAUCUGUCUGCGGAUGAUAAGCUGAACUGAAAUUCAGAUGCGUGCCCAAGGCUUCAUGCAACUGCUGCCAGAAAUGAGAGGUGAACUGCGUUCCUCUAUCUGACACUAUCUUCUUUGGCACACCGUGAAGACAAACGAUCCGAGACAUAUACAAUUCUGCCAAUACUGCACUGUUGUAGUUGGUCUUGACAGGUAUGAAGUGGGCUGACUUGGUCAAACGGUCCACUACUACCCAAAUGGAAUCGUAGCCGGCUCGAGUGCGAGGCAGUCCGACUAUGAAAUCCAUACCAAUUUCAUCCCAUUUCCACUGAGGGAUCUGCAACGGUUGCAACAAUCCAGCAGGUCUCUGGUGUUCUGCCUUAAUUCUUCGGCAACUAUCGCACAUAGCCACAUGCUCUGCGAUUUCUCUUUUCAUUCCGUACCACCAGAAUUUCUUCUUCAGAUCCUGAUACAUCUUCUCACUACCAGGGUGAAUCGAAUAGGCUGUCUCAUGAGCUUCCUUAAGAAUCAACUCCCGAAUAGACUGGACAUUGGGAACACACAAGCGGUCUUUGAACCAUAUCACGCCUUCUGCAUCUUCUCGAAACUCUUUGCCUCUGCCAUCUAGAAUCAGUCGCCGGAUCUCACUGAUUUUCUCAUCAUUCUUCUGCGCUUCUUUGAUUUCGCGCUCCAAGGUAGGUUCCAAUUCAACUGUGACUCCUCGCGAAUUGUUCAGAAAUCCGAGACUCAACCUGUCGAACUCCUUGGCCAACUCAUAAGGCAUCGGACGAGCGACCAUCAGAUUGACUUGACUUUUUCUGCUCAAAGCAUCUGCCACUACGUUUGCUUUGCCUGGAUGGUAAUGAAUCUCCAACUCAUAGUCUUUGAUCAACUCUAACCAUCUUCGUUGCCUCAUGUUCAACUCUGACUGAGUGAAUAUGUACUUCAGACUCUUGUGGUCUGUGUAAACAUCGCAUUUCUGUCCAUACAGAUAGUGCCUCCAUGUCUUCAGUGCGUGAACCACUGCUGCCAACUCUAGAUCAUGGAUUGAGUAAUUCUUCUCAUGAACCUUCAGCUGUCGGGACGAGUAAGCCACAACUCUUCCCUCUUGCAUCAACACACAUCCCAAACCUGUGUAACAAGCAUCACAAUACACCGAGAAGGGCUUGUGCACAUCAGGCAAGACUAGGACAGGCGCUGUAGUCAACUUCUCUUUCAGCGCUUCAAAGGCCUCUUGACAUUUCUGGGUCCACUUGAACUCAACUUUGUUGCCUAGCAACGCUGUCAUUGGUUUCGCAAUCCUCGAAAACCCUUCAAUGAAUCGCCGAUAAUAUCCGGCCAUUCCAAUGAAGCUCUUGAUUCCUCUAGCAUCUGUUGGCGCUUUCUAGUUCAGAAUGUCUGCCACUUUCUUCGGAUCCACAGCCAAUCCUUCUUUGUUGAUUAUAUGACCCAAGAACAGGACUUCACUGAUCCAGAACUCACACUUGCUCAACUUUGCAUACAACUGGUGCUCUCGCAAUCUUUGCAACACCAUCCUCAAAUGAUCUGCGUGCUCUUCUUCGCUUUGAGAAUAAACCAGAAUGUCAUCAAUGAAUACCACCACAAACUUAUCGAGAUAAUCCAUGAAUACACUGUUCAUCAAGUUCAUAAAGAAUGCGGGCGCAUUGGUCAAACCAAAAGACAUCACCGUGAACUCAUACAAAGCAUACUUGGUAAUAAAUGUCGUCUUCGGAAUGUCCGAAGGUCGGAUCCUGAGCUGAUGAUAACCUGAUCUCAGAUCAAUCUUAGAGAACACACUGGCUCCUCUCAACUGGUCGAACAGAUCUUCUAUUCUGGGCAAAGGAUACUUGUUCUUGAUCGUGACUUCAUUCAAAGCUCGGUAAUCAAUGCACAUCCUCUUGGUGCCAUCUUUCUUUUCCACAAAUAAGACAGGGGCGGACCAAGGCGAGGUGCUUGGCCGAAUGUAACCUUUCUCUGACAGCUCAUCAAUCUGCUUCUUAAGCUCAACCAACUCUGGUCCGGAUAUUCUGUAAGCUCUCUUAAAGAUAGGGGCGGUUCCAGGAAGAAGCUCUAUGGCAAACUCAACUUUCCGCUCUGGUGGCAUACCCGGUAAGUCCUUUGGAAACACAUCUGGGAAUUCAGACACAACCUUGAUACUCUCAAUUGGAUCUGCUUCACUGCUAUCGACAGUCAUCUGAUAACAACUUCCUUUCUUUGGCUCAGGCGGGACUAACUCGGUCACCACUUCCUUUCCUAGUGGGGACACCAACUUGAUGGUCCUUUUAUCACAACUGAUAACUGUCUGAUACUUAUCUAGCCAAUUCAUCCCUAGGAUGACAUCUAUUCCCUGAGUACCCAUUACUAUAAGGUUGGCGGGAAACGCUAUCCCCCUUAUUUUCACACUUAUAUUUAAACAAAUGCUAUCGGCUCGAAUUCUACCACCGGCUGAGUCAAUUUGAAUGGGGGUUGACAUGGUAGUAAUUGGAAGAUUAUGUGCUUCUACCCAUGAUGCAGUAAUGAAAGAAUGCGUUGCUCCAGUAUCAAAUAACACUUCUGCAAUAUGGGAGUCGACUGGGAACAUACCUACUAUCAUGCCGGGGGUCUCCUGAACUGCUUCAGCCUCCAAGUGGUUCAGCCUUCCAUGAUUAUAACGCUGUUGAGGGCGAUUGCCUGAUCCAGGCUGAGGCACAUUCUGCUUUGCUGGGGCAUUGGGGCCUGACUGCUGCUGGGCUGCCUUCUUCGGACAUUGCAUCACCCAGUGGCCUUGCUCUCCACAGUGGAAACAUGCCCUGUUUCCAACCUGAGCUGGUGCUGCCUGAUUGUUCUGCUGAUUUGCUGGAACAGGAAGACGGGGUGCCUGCUGAUUCUGCCUUUGAAACUGACCUCCUGACUGAUUGCUCUGACGGUUCUGGUACUGAUGCUGAGGAUACUGCCUUUGGAACUGCUGAUGCUGCUGAGGUGGACGCUGGUUCUGCCUGAACUGCUGGGGUUGAUUGCCUGAGAAACGAGGGCGGCUGCUGCUUCCAGGCUGGGGUCCACUGAUCUUGCGCUUACGAUCUUCCAUCUCCUUGCGCUUUCUCUCUGUCAUGAUCGCUCUAUCAAUCAGGUGCUGGAAUGUCGGGAAGGUGUGGUUCAUCAGUUGGUACUGCAGAGGGUCAACCAAGCCUCUCAGGAAACGGUACUGCCGCUUGGCAUCGGUGUUGACAUCUUCAGGAGCAUAGCGAGACAAUUGCAGAAACUUGUCCCGGUACUCACUGACAGACAAUGGCCCUUGCUUGAGGGCCAGGAACUCCUCCUUCUUCACUGUCAUCAGACCUGCAGGAACAUGGUACUGACGAAAGCUACCUCUGAAUUCUUCCCAGGUGAUGGUGUCGGGGUUGGCAUGGGUGGCGAGGUAAGACUCCCACCAUGAUUGGGCUGCUCCUCUCAACAGACGAGGACCAUACAGAACUUUCUCCCUGUCAUCGCACUGAGCGGUAUGCAACUCCCGCUCCACAGUGCGCAGCCAAUCUUCAGCAUCCAUGGGGUCAGAAGAGUGAGCGAACGUUGGUGGAUGACCUCUCAUGAAUUCAGCACGCUUGUCUCUGGGCAUCUGAGGCAUCUGAGGCUGAGGUGGUGCUUGCUGCUGCUGCUGCUGCUGAAUGGCGGCCAGAGUCUGACCGAUGGCUUGAACUGCCUGAGUCUGCAUCAGAAACAUCUGCUCAAUCGACAUCGGGGGCGGGGGCGGCAGCUGCUGCUGCUGGGGCGCCUCAUCUUGCUGAUCGGCUCGCUCCUGCUGAGCACGCCUUCCUCCUCUACGCCUGUUCUCUGACAUCUGCAGAAUGCGACCACACAUCAGAACUGAUCUGGCAAAUCUUGCAGCAUAAGGAAAGAGAAUAGAAUUCUUCAACAGCACUGAACAGAUGAGCAUCUUCACUGAUCUCCAACACAGACCACACAGCUUCUCAGAUAAAGAGGAAAGUGGAAUAAAAGGUUUCCCAACUAUAUAACUAACUUUAUUAACAUAGUAGGUGAACCAAAAUGCAGGGGAUACCCACACUCUGGUAACAAUCAUUACAAAGAUCCAAACCAAACAUAGUUCAUCAUGACAAACAUAAAUGCACAGGAUAUAGCAAACUACCCUGUCUAACUAAGACUAACUAAGACUGAGACUAACGCUAAGACUGAAGCUUCUAUGUAUAUAUAUUUCGUAUUAAUUACAAGAUCCAACUCUAACGAUCUAUGGUUCUAGAGUUAUCUUGGUCUUGCAGUCGGGAUUGCCAUAAGACUGGUGUCCACGCUGAGGUGAGCGGUACGGGUGCUGAGUCCCGACGGGAGCGGGGGAACCACCAUUCAGAUAACGACGUUCCGCGCGCUCAGCCCGCAGCAGGGCGAUCUCAGCACGAGCCCUACUCAGCUCGUCUAAUGCAUGGUCCAGCUCCGUGUUUAGCACGGCGGCUAGGUUGACUGUGCUGCUCAACCUAGGAUUGCCCUCACCGACAGGUGAAACAAUCACGCCUCCUGUGCUGCCAGAUGGACGGCGGGGGUAAUACUUCAGGUCAAGACCGUCAGCUGCCCCACCGAAAACCGAGCAGUAGUGCGAAAGCGCACGCCGUGCAGCAUCUUGCAUGGCUGCUUCAGCUGAGUCCCGUUCAGAGAUAGAAUAGUGCUCUGAACAGGCCUCUGCACCCUGGAGACUGUCCUCCGGGCAGCGCACCAAGCAAGUUGCCUCCCAGCGGUCCGGGUAGACCCCGCGACUAUGCUGGUAGACCACACAGCGAUACUCGACGGACCAAGUAUGCCGGUCAAAUGCCCGACGUAGCAGGGUGUCGAGCGCAUCGUGGAAGUGGCACCCGCGAGCAGCGUCGCGAGUGAUGGGUCGAGCUACCCAUCCUUCCGGCUCAGGGUUAGCAGAGAAGUCGGUGUCGUGGCUUGAGCUGUCGUCGCCAUCUCCGUCGUCUGGGUCUCCUCCAGCAGCUACUCCAGAAGCUGGGGCGCCCAGUGGUGGUGCAGGGGGCGGCUCCAGAGGAAGCACAGGGGAGCAGCUCCUCACAGACUCUAUCUCCUGGUGGAGCGAGAAGGAAGAGCUCUGCUGCUCCUGUCGUCGACGUUCCUGCUCCUCAUGCAGGCGGUGGUGCAGUCUCUCCAAGUGGCUGGACUGUCCGGCCACGGGACGGCGAAGCGGACGCUCAGCAAGGCGGGAGGGUAAGAAGGGGAUGACUGACUAUCGUGCAGUGUGUCUAAGUCGAGCCAUCUACAAAAGACAUCGCAAGCAAAAGGGUGAGAACAGAAUUAAUAUGACCAGCAAGUAAUAAGUAAAUGAAGGAUCAGAAUGAAACACAAUUUUUUAGCAAGGUAUAAUAUAUAGUAGAACAUAGGUUUGGUCGGUAGGACCAACUUUUGAAGGGAUAUCAAAGUCAAGGAAGAGACAGAGGUCUAUAGUCCUUAGAACGACCAUUCUACUCUAGGUUAGCGGUCCUACAGUCAGCACGGCUCUGAUACCACUUAUGUCACACCCGGUUUUAGAAGGCAAACCGAAUGCGAACCAUGUACGUGCCAGGAUCAGUUAUUCACGUACACAACAAUUACAUAAUAUGGACAUCAUCACACUGUGCUCAAAAUAGUAUUAAUAAGGGAAAUAGUCGAUUACAUCAUACGUCUGAGACGUCCAUAUAGUUCUUACAAUAAAUCAAAGUGCGGAAAAGAAACGUAGAUAAACGCGGCCUUCACAGGCAGCCGACUGGGGGUUGCCGCUAACCCACACCUAGAACUCGUCGUAAUCUUGGAACUCCUGGAAGUCUCCUUCCACAGCUUCAUCUUCGCCUGAGCAGUGGUUGCAAUGCUGACAACCUGGGGGGGUUUGGUGUGUAGAGCAAGGGUGAGUACACAUCAACAUACUCAGCAAGUAUCCUGUUUGGCUGUAGUGGACUAGCUUUAUGUGGGGGUAAGUCAAGCAGUUGCUUUUAGUUGGUCAGAUUAUUAUUUACUAGUAGAAAGCCAAGUUUUAGCAUUAACCCAAGUUAUUAACCCGUUGUACCCUUUCCAAACGGAAAGAAUACCACUUACCAGCACCAUAGUCAUAACCAAAACCAUCAAUCUCAUAACCACCUGUAAACCAAAAGGUCUCUUAUCAAGUACCACUAAUCACUGGAGCUCCCUUGGCCGCUCAUAACCGUGAGCACGGCUGAUAUAUCAGUUUCAUAACACUCUGCAGAGGUUGUGCACUUUACCCACAAGCCGUGAUUCCCUCUUGCCUCGGGCCGAUCAAACCCUUAAACACUACCAAGGUGAAUAGGCAGGGUUUCACUAUGUAGCCUUUACAAAGAUUCCCCGGGGCUGUAGCCACCCGUUAGGUUUCCUAAAUGCACCGCACUCCUCCCCAAGGGGCGAACCCAAACUUGGCAGAGCGAGCCGCAUACACCGAGCCCCAUUGACGGCACGACGGCUAAGUGAACUACAUCCCGGAUCCUCUAAUUAUUCAGCUAAGGGCACCCCAUUCCACCCUCAUGGUUGCACUGUUUUCCCGGGCGGUCAUCCAUAGAACAGGUCCUUACGGAGAGGCACUCGAGAAACCGCUCGAGCCCCCUUGAAGGUCACAAGUACAACAUCAUAAUAAGAGAAGGGAAAACAGCGUAUCAUAGAUAACCACAUCAUGUUCAUUGAUUAGAGUUUGAGCAAUAGCAUAAAGCUAAACAGUAAUAAUCCAACCCAGAUAGGUAAACAAGGACAUGGAUAACAAAAGCUAGUCAAUCCUUAGGUAUAAAGGUGUAAUGCGGGAGGUGAAUUAAAUAAUGAAUAGGACAGAGAUAGGUCAAAGGACACUUGCCUCCACCAAACGACUGCUGCUCAGGGGCUUCUCCUGCGAAUUCCUCGGGCUCUUCGACCGGAUCGUUCUCUAUGCGAUUACAAACAUACAUACAUCCAUCCACAUUUAAUACAAAAGAACAGUACACCAUACAAGGGAACAAAUAAAGUGAGUAUGCAUCAAGUAUGACAUUUGAUAUCGCAUUUGUUAUGGUUAGAAAGAAACGGGAAAGGGUCUCGCAGGGGGUUAAAUCUUAUGCGCUAACGAUCAAUUACAAUUGGUUCUUAACAAAAGAAUUCUGUUACAUAUACACUAAUGGAAACCUAAUCAUUUUAAGUUGAUCAACAUCGCACGAGAUAAACAAUUAACUACAUGAAUCAAUUAGCAUAACGGAAUUUUAAAUUAAACUUCCUAUUUCAAUGGCAUUAAUAAUGAUUAACCUACCUAAAACAAAAUAGCUAUGAUCACAGAAAGUAAAUAAAAUAAAAUAAAAAAAACAGAGGGGGGGGGGGCGGUUGAACCGGCCCUAGGGGCGGUUGAACCGGCCGGGGGCAGGGCGCGCAGGGGCGGCCGAGCCGGGGCGGCUGAGCCGGCCGAGCGGCCAGGGGGGGGGGGGGGCGCGGCCAGGGCGCGGCCAGGCGGGCGGCCAGGCGGGCGGCCGGGGCGGGCGGCCGGGCGGCCAGGGCGCGGCCAAGGCCAGGGCGCGGCCAAGGCGGCGGCCAGGGCGGGCGGCCGGGCGGGGGCGGGACGAGCCGGGCGGGCGGCCGGGCGGGACGAGCCGGCCAUGGCGGCGGCCAUGGCGCCGAGCGGCGAGGGGAAGGGGAGGGGGAUGGGGGAGGGAGGGGAGAGGGAGGAGGGGGCUCACCGGCGAGGGGCGGGCGACGGCGGGGGGGGGGGGCCGGCAGGGAGCGGCGGCCGAGCAGGGGGCGGCGGCGGCUUAGGGCAGGGGCGGGUAGGGGCGGCGCUAGGGGAGAGAGAGGGAAAAUGAGAGAGGGGGAGAGGGAUUGGGGGGUUUUGGGGAAAAAUAAAGGGAGGGGGCGGCAUGGGCCAAUUGGGCCCAAGGGGGGGGCGCCAGGGGCGGCUGGGCCGGCCGGGGUCGGCCCACGGCGCGGGAGAGAGAGAUAGAAGAAAGAGAAAGAGAGAAAAAGAAAUAAAAGAUCUUCUUCUUAUUUUCGAAAUCCGAUCUUUCUAUAUGAAUGCAUUUGCACUUUCAAAGCAAUCAAAAGAAAUGCAAGGUUCGGCAUGGUGCAUCAAACAACAUAAAGUACUUAGGGUUUUUCUUACACGGGAAAACCGAAUCCCGCUAGAACUUUGGAAAAGGUCAAGGUUUAGCGAGGGGAAAAAGAAAAAGAAAAGGUAACGCCCGAAUUUUGGCGAGUAAAGAAAAGAAAAAAUUCAACUGCAAAAUUCGGGGCGUUACAGAGCGCCUGUCCCGUCCUCGUCCCCGCGCGGCCAACCUCCUCUAAGAGGGCCCUGGUCCUCCCUUUUAUAGGCGUAAGGAGAGGAUCCAGGUGUACAAUGGGGGUGUAGCAGAGUGCUACGUGUCUAGCGGGGGGAGAGCUAGCGCCCUAAGUACAUGCCGAUGUGGCAGCCGGAGAGAUUUUGGCACCCAGCUGGUGUGAUGUCGUGGCCGUCGGAGGAGCGACGGAGCCUGGCGGAGGGACAGCUGUCGGAGCGGUUGAGUCCUUGCUGACGUCCUCCUGCUUCCGUAAGAGAGCUGAGAGCCGCCGUCGUCACAGAGCAUGCGGGGCGCCAUCAUUGCCUGUCUGGCGGAGCUAGCCAGCUGGGACACCGGUCUUGUUGUCUGCGGCCCGAGUCAGCUCGGGGUAGGGUGAUGAUGGCGCUUCCUGUUGACGUGGCUGGCCUGCGCCCUAGGUUGGGCGACGUGGAGGCUCCUCCGAAGCCGAGGUCGAGUCUGUCUUCCAUGGUCGAGGCCGAGUCCGAGCCCCUGGGUCGGGCGAGGCGGAGGUCGUUCAGCAGAGGCCAGGGCGGAGUCCGAGCCCUAGGGUCGGGCGAAGCGGAGUUCGUCGUCUUCUGGGACUUAGCCCGAGUCCGAGCCCUGGGUCGGGCGGAGAGGAGUUCGCCGUCUUCCGGGACUUAGCCCGAGUCCGAGCCCUGGGUCGGGCGGAGCGGAGUUCGCCGUCUUCCGGGACUUAGCCCGAGUCCGAGCCCUGGGUCGGGCGGAGCGGAGUUCGCCGUCUUCCGGGACUUAGCCCGAGCCGAGCCCUGGGUCGGGCGGAGCGGAGUUCGCCGUCUUCCGGGACUUAGCCCGAGUCCGAGCCCUGGGUCAGGCGGAGCGGACUUCGCCGUCUUCCGGGACUUAGCCCGAGUCCGAGCCCUGGGUCGGGCGGAGCUUCCUAUGGUGCCUUUGGCAGGGCCUGACUGCCUGUCAGUCUUACUCUGUCAAGUGGCACUGCAGUCGGAGUGGCGCAGGCGGCGCUGUCUUUCUAUCAGGCCGGUCAGUGGAGCGGUGAAGUGACGGCGGUCACUUCGGCUCUGCCGGGGGGCGCGCGUCAGGAUAAAGGUGUCAGGUCACCUUUGCAUUAAAUGCUCCUGCGACUUGGUCGGUCGGUGCGACGAUUUAGUCAGGGUUGCUUCUUAGCGAAGGCAUGGCCUCGGGCGAGCCGGAAAUAUGUCCGCCGUUGGAGGGGGGCCUCGGGCGAGAUGGAAAUCCUCCGGGGUCGGCUGCCCUUGUCCGAGGCUAGGCUCGGGCGAGGCGUGAUCGAGUCGCUCGAAUGGACUGAUCCCUGACUUAAUCGCACCCAUCAGGCCUUAGCAGCUUUAUGCUGAUGGGGGUUACCAGCUGAGAAUUAGGAGUCUUGAGGGUACCCCUAAUUAUGGUCCCCGACAGUAGCCCCCGAGCCUCGAAGGGAGUGUUAGCACUCGCUUGGAGGCUUUCGUCACACUUUUUUGCAAGGGGACCAGCCUUUCUCGGUUGCAUUUUGUUCCGGUGGGUGCACGCGAGCGCACCCGCCGGGUGUAGCCCCCGAGGCCUCGGAGGAGUGGUUUCACUCCUUCGAGGUCUUAAUGCCUCGCGUAAUGCUUCGGCUGGUCUGGUUGUUCCCUCAUGCGAACUGGCCGUAGCCCGGGUGUACGGUCGGGGCCCAAGUUCUCGGGCUGGUAUGUUGACGCUGUCAACGGUUCGGCCGGAGCCGGGUUUGCGAGAGCAGCCCCCGAGCCUCUGCACAGGGCGAGAGGGCGAUCAGGGACAGACUCGUCUUUUUGCAUACGCCCCUGCGUCGCCUUUCCGCAAGGAGGAGGGGGGAAAGCGCCAUGUUACCCUCGAUGGGCGCCGAACAUGGUGUCUCCGGUGAGCUGCAAGCGGGUAAUCCGAGUGGACGUCCAUGCCCCGUUCGUUAGGGGUCGGCUAGGGGCCCAGAGGCACGCCCAAAAGUACCUGCGGGUGAUCUGCCGGACCCGGUCCCCUGGCGACGGGGUCCGAGGGCUCGAUGCCUCCCUCUGAUGGGAUUCCGUUACAAGAUCGCUCCCGCUGGUCUCGGAAAUGUCCUAGGAUACCUCGGGAGCGCAGCCCGAGCCUUGGUUAUGUAUCGAACGUACCCUUGGUCAUCCCUCGCUCGGCGUCUGAGGCGACUGUGAACCCUUCGGGGGCCAGCCUUCGAACCCCUGAUCAGUAAUGGGCGCAGAGCCCGAGUAGCCUGAGGCGGCCGUUGAACCCUUCGGGGGGUCGGCCUUCGAACCUCUGACCAGUAGUGGGUGUAGGGCCCACGUGAUCUGAGGCGGCUGUCGAACCCUUCGGGGGGCUAGCCUUCGAACCUCUGAUCAGUAGGGAGGCUCGGAGCCUGGUUCCUUCACGGGGAAGGAUCCUUUUCGGGGUAUCCCCCUUUCCCGGUCCCUGCUGCAAGAGAUAGAGAAAGAGGAAAAAAGGAAAAGGAUACGAAAUCGAACGACGCGACGUACCUCUUUUGGCGCGGUUAUUUUGGCGAAGGCGAAGCGUCGCCCGCUUUUCCUGCCAGAAGCGCCGCCUGUCCCGCCGCGGAGUUAAUGCGACGGGGCGAGUGGUUGGCGGGGCGGCCGCUGCGCGUGCGCGAGCCGUUCGAGGAACGGAUCACGGGCGCGUUGUCUUCACGCCGUGAGAGGGGGUUCUCUUGCUGCCCCCGGAUGGGAUGUGAGCUUGGCUGACGAUGUGACCGCUGCUCCCGCCCGCCUGCCACCGUCAUUACUGCCGGCCCACUUUUGGCCGCAUUGACCGCCGCGUCAGGCUGGCGCUGCUGGGUCGUGCGCCGGGUCGCCUCGAGUCGCGGUAUUGGUUCCGCAAUCGAGGAGGCGCGGUGGUGGCGCAAGUGGCGGUGCAGUUGCUUGCAUGCAGCAUCCGGCGCGCCGGUUGCGUGACGCGUGGGCCUAGGCCUCCAUGCUGGCGUGUCGGGAGUUGGAGAAGCGCGUCCACUUGGCGCGGUUGCACGCCGCCUGCGUGGCUGCCCGCCUCUUUCGCCCGUUGGUCUGGGCAAAAGUGGAGGGUCACUUGUAACCGCUGGGCGGUCGUGUGCACCACGCGUGGCGGUUUGGCUUCUUCUGUUCUGAGUCGGUUUGCAUAACAUGCGGGACCCAGCCCCCGCGCCGUAGGGGAGGGCCUUGGAGCGUGUUGGAGAAGACUCAGCCCGUGACGGUUGGGGGCGCAAGUAGGGAGAGUUGCCUUUAAAAGGAGGGCGACCCCUUUCGGAAGGCGACCAUGUCUUCUCGCUUCCUUAUGCAUCGCGUCUUUCCAUCUUCCAAGCCCCCAGAUGGGGGAUACCCGCCGUCUUUUCGCCUCAUCGUUGGAGGAACGCAACUCCGUGGGAGUUGGUACCUUUCAGCCAUCGUUCGGCUUCAAGGAUUUUCAUCAGCCAGCCCGGCUGUAUCCCCCCGCCGGCGGUCACCCGAGAUGGUGACCACCAGCUCCUGGGUGGGGAGAAGCAAGCCGGGCUGCGAUCUUGGUCCCACCCUCAGCUUCAAGGAUGUUCAUCAUCCUCGCUGGGGUGGGUGCCGGGCUGAGCCGGAGCUCUAUCUCCCGCGCGGGUUCGCGGGUCACCCUCUCUUGCGGCGUUCGAGGGAGAGGGCGCUCGCUGGCCCCGCGGGCGGCCCGGACUUCGACAACGCGGGGCUGGUCGACGGCGGGCGUCGUCACCCCCAGCGUGUCGUGCUCGUCGGCCUGGCUCCCGGUGGCCCUUUCUGCCGGAAGGUGGCUGCCGCGCCGUGUGCACGGGGGGACCGCCCAAGAUGCCGCGCGCUGCUAGGGCGGCGUUCGUGUUCUGGGGUGGUCCUGCCUUUGCACCGGGACGGCGCCUUCACGCGGAGGGCGAUGCCCCACUCGUCCGGGAGGAUUUGAGUGGGGAUCUGCCGGAGGGCUGAUGGCCCCUGCCGUCGGUGCCGAGGCGGAGGCGGCUCGAGAAGUCCCCGUCGCCGACGGGAUCACCGCCACCAUCCGCGCUUCGGGCCUCCGGUUCUUUGUACUUGUCCUCGCCCCUCGAGCGUCGGCGUGGGCGAGGGCAAGAUUGCAGCAGCGCCCACCCUGAGGCCUGCGUUGCUGUAGUUCGGCCAUCCGGAGCGGGGGUCGUUGUCGUCGUAGUCAGAGCAGGCGGCGGCGAGCCGCUCGUCAGUCUUCUGUUGCUCCGCAGGCCCACCCUUAUCGAGUGGGGUUGUUCGUACCUGCGGAGGGGGAACCGGAGUUCCGUUUGUAAUGGCACUUCGAAUGCCAUGGUUUUUUGUUCAUUGCGGCUGUCGAGGCCUGAACAUGUAUGUAAUUUUGGCACGGAGCCAUGUUUUUCCUCAUUUUCGAGCACUAAGACUCGCCUGUUGAUUAUCUGAACCGCUUCACCAAGCAUGAGUCGCCCCGUGUCAAGGUGACGAGUGAGGUAUCCGUAUCCCGGAGGCGUAGGAGUCCCUCGGCUCGGUCGGCCUUGUUGUCUGAGGCUCCUCUAGCUUAGUUAAAGGGACCCCUUGGCCGCUCUUUGACGAGCCGAGGCCAGGGGUAGCGAUAUCAGCAUGAACAGAGGCGGAGUUGGCUCGAAAAUGAAACAUGGUUGGCCGGAGCCUAGCCGGGUUGUCCGUUAGCGGGACCGACGCCGGAGUCGAUCAGCCGAGGCCUCGGGUCGGGCUGGCGCCCUUGGAAGAUGGUUGGCCGAGGCCCCAGGGGUAACCGGCCGAGCCGCCUGCUCGGGCCGGAUUCCCGGAGAAGUCCCCGGCAGCGAUUGUCCGGGCGUGACGAUGACGUCGUCCUCCAGAGUGGGGAUCCUUGGACCGCAUCGCCGUCCGAGGCUAGGUCGGACCUUGCUGAAGGUGUUACUGCCCCCUUCCAGCGUCAAGACCCGAGCCUGCAAGAUCAGAGUGUCUUGUAGCGUGUGCCUUCUGCGGCCGCCGAGGCCAGAAUACACACCCUCGCUGUGUUGUAAAGCUGCGUCUCCUUUCCUCUUGUUUCGAGUAUCUAGACUUUUUUGUCGGUAACAGGGAUGUCUGUGCGAGCGAGAGUUGCUUCUCGCGGAAGGUGAUGAGUGAGGUAUCCGUAUCCCGGAGGCGUGGGAGUCCCUCGGCUCGGUCGGCCUUGCCGCUUACGCGCACUUUCACCCGUCCAUGAGGCCCUGUCACCGACUCAGUCGAGAAGGCUCGAAGGAUCGCUUCGGCAGAAGGGCUUUCGAACGUGAAGACUUGUUCGGUCCGCGGAAUCACUUUAUCCGAACGCGAGUUACUUAUCACAGAAGGUGAUGAGUGAGGUAUCCGUAUCCCGAAGGCGUAGGAGUCCCUCGGCUCGGUCAGCCUUGGCUGCUUACGUGUACUCCGUCGUUUUCAGGAUCCACUUUUUGAAGUAGUCAGAAAGCACGAAAGAUAUUCUGGCAGAAGAGAUCUUUUUUCGAGGAAAAUUUCAACGCAGAGGGGGUUCCCCCCCUUUUAGCCCCGAGGGAGGGUCGGGCUUUGCCGGGGCGAGGCCGACCCUUCCUUGAUGACUAAACUUUGCGCGGAUGCGAGGUAUAUGAACAACUUGAAAACAUCUUAAGGGUAGAAGCGACGUAGCUGUUGGAUGUUCCAAGCGUUGCCGUAGACCUCGCCUUGACUGUUGGCCAGCUUGUACGUUCCGGGCUUCAGAACUUUGGCGAUGACGAAUGGCCCCUCCCAGGGGGGCGUGAGCUUGUGCCUCCCUCGGGCGUCUUGCCGCAGCCGAAGCACCAGGUCGCCCACCUGGAGGUCUCAGGGCCGGACCCCUCGGGCGUGGUAGCGUCGCAGGGACUGCUGGUACCGCGCCGAGUGUAGCAAGGCCUUGUCCCGAGCCUCUUCCAGCUGGUUCAGCGAGUCUUCUCGGCUAGCUUGGUUGCUUUGAUCGCUGUAGGCCCUCGUCCUCGGGGAGCCGUAUUCCAGGUCAGUGGGCAAGACGGCCUCGGCCCCGUAGACCAGGAAGAACGACGUGAAACCCGUGGCCCGGCUCGGCGUUGUCCUCAGGCUCCAGACCACCGAGGGGAGUUCCUUCAUCCAUCGCUUGCCGAACUUGUUGAGGUCGUUGUAAAUCCGAGGCUUGAGCCCUUGUAGAAUCAUGCCGUUGGCACGCUCUACUUGCCCAUUCGACAUGGGAUGAGCUACGGCGGCCCAGUCCACCCGGAUGUGGUGAUCCUCGCAGAAGUCCAAGAAUUUUCUGCCGGUGAACUGGGUACCGUUGUCGGUGAUGAUGGAGUUCGGGACCCCGAAGCGAUGGAUGAUGUUGGUGAAGAACGUCACCGCCUGCUCAGACCUGAUGCAGUUCAGGGGUCGGACCUCGACCCACUUGGAGAAUUUGUCGAUGGCGACCAGCAGGUGCGUGUAGCCCCCGGGCGCCUUCUGCAAGGGGCCGACGAGGUCCAGCCCCCACACAGCAAAGGGCCAGGUGAUGGGUAUCGUCUGUAGAGCCUGCGCGGGCAGGUGGGUUUGCUUCACAUAGAAUUGACACCCUUCGCAGGUGCGGACAAUUCUAGUGGCGUCAGCCACCGCCGUUGGCCAGUAGAAGCCUUGCCGGAAAGCAUUCCCGACAAGGGCUCGAGGCGCUGCGUGAUGGCCACAAGCCCCCGAGUGUAUCUCUUGCAGGAGUUCCUGACCUUCGGCGACGGAGAUGCAUCGCUGGAGGGUGCCCGAGGGGCUGUGGUGGUAGAGCUCCUUCUCAUCGCCCAGCAAGACGAACGACUUGGCGCGUCGCGCUACCCGCCGAGCCUCGGCUCGGUCGAGGGGUAGCUCUCCUUGGUGGAGAUAUUGCAGGUACGGGGUCUGCCAAUUUCGAUCAGGCGUGGCCCCACUCCGCUCCUCCUCGAUGCGCAGUGCCUCACCCUCGGAGGCCGAGGGUACCUCGGGUUGAACCGAGGCCGCCUCGGGCCGAGCUGAGGGUGCCUCGGGCUGUGCCGAGAGCACCUCGGGCUGGACCGAGGGCGCCUCAGGCUCGGGCGCGUCGUCGAUCUUGACGGAGGGUUGAUGCAGAUCCCGAGAGAAGACGUCCGGGGGAAUCGUUGUUCGCCCCGAGGCUAUUUUUGCCAGCUCGUCCGCAGUCUCGUUGUAGCGCCGAGCGAUGUGGUUAAGCUCGAGCCCGUAGAACUUGUCUUCCAGGCGCCGAACCUCAUCGCAGUAGGCCUCCGUCUUCGGGUCGCGGCAGUGGGAGUUCUUCAUGACUUGGUCGAUGACGAGCUGCGAGUCACCGCGAGCGUCGAGGCGCCUGACCCCUAGCUCGAUGGCGAUCCGCAACCCGUUGACCAGAGCCUCGUACUCAGCCACAUUGUUGGACGCCGGGAAGUGGAGGCGUAGCACAUAGCGUAGGUGUUUCCCGAGGGGCGAGAUGAAGAGUAGGCCCGCGCCGGCCCCCGUCUUCAUCAGCGACCCGUCGAAAAACACAGUCCAGAGCUCCGGUUGGAUCGGAGCCGUCGGUAGCUGGGUGUCGACCCAUUCGGCUACGAAGUUCGCCAAGACCUGGGACUUGAUGGCCUCCCGAGGGGCGAACGAGAAUGUCUCGCCCAUGAUUUCUACCGCCCACUUUGCAAUCCUGCCCGAGGCCUCUCAGCACUGGAUGAUCUCCCCCAGGGGGAAGGAUGACACACAGUUACCGGAUGAGACUCGAAGUAGUGUCGCAACUUCCGUCGCGUCAGGAUCACUGCAUACAACAGCUUCUGAACUUGUGGGUAGCGGAUCUUGGUUUCGGACAGUACCUCGCUGACGAAGUAAACAGGCCUCUGAACGGGCAAUGCAUGCCCCUCUUCUUGCCUCUCGACCACAAUCGCGGCGCUAACCACCUGAGUGGUCGCAGCGACGUAGACCAAGAGGGCUUCUCCGGUAGCUGGGGGCACCAAGAUGGGCGCCUUCGUGAGGAGCGCCUUCAGGUUCCCGAGAGCUUCCUCGGCCUCAGGGGUCCAAGUGAAGUGCUCGGCCUUCCUUAAGAGGCGGUACAGAGGCAGGCCUCUUUCGCCGAGGCGUGAGAUGAAGCGGCUUAGAGCCGCGAGACAUCCCAUGACCCUCUGUAUGCCCUUUAAGUCCUUGAUGGGACCCAUGCUGGUGAUGGCUGCGAUCUUCUCCGGGUUGGCUUCGAUGCCCCGCUCGGAGACGAUGAACCCCAAGAGCAUGCCCCGGGGCGCCCUGAAGACACACUUCUCGAGAUUGAGCUUGACGCCUUUCGCCUUGAGACAUCGGAAUGUCACUUCAAGGUCGGAGAGGAGGUUGGAAGCUUUCCUCGUCUUGACUACGAUGUCAUCGACGUAGGCCUCGACCGUGCGACCGAUGUGUUCACCGAACACAUGGUUCAUGCACCGCUGGUACGUCGCGCCCGCAUUCCUCAAAUCGAACGGCAUGGUGACAUAGCAGUACAUGCCGAAGGGCGUGAUGAAAGAAGUCGCGAGCUGAUCGGACUCUUUCAUCCUGAUUUGGUGGUACCCCGAGUAGGCGUCGAGGAAAGACAGGGUUUUGCACCCAGCAGUGGAAUCCACGAUUUGAUCGAUGUGAGGCAGAGGGUAGGGAACCUUCGGACAUGCUUUGUUGAGACCAGUGUAGUCUACACACAUCCGCCAUUUCCCUCCUUUGUUUCUCACAAGCACAGGGUUGGCAAGCCAUUCGGGAUGGGAUACCUCUUUGAUGAACCCGGCUGCCAUUAGCUUGUGGAUCUCCUCGCCUAUCGCUCUGCGCUUCUCCUCGUCGAAUCGGCGCAGAGGCUGCUUGACGGGUCGGGCUCCGGCCCGAAUAUCCAGCGAGUGCUCGGCGACAUCCCUCGGUAUGCCGGGCAUGUCCGAGGGACUCCACUCGAAGACGUCGACGUUCGCGCGGAGAAAGUCGACGAGCACUGCUUCCUAUUUGGGGUCGAGCCUGGAACCGAUCCGGAUCUGCUUGAAGGCGUCGCCACUGGGGUCGAGGGGGACGGCCUUAACCGUCUCCACUGGCUCGAAGUUGCCGGCAUGACGCUUCACGUCUGGCACCUCUUUGGAGAGGCUUUCCAGGUCGGUGAUGAGGGCCUCGGACUCGGCGAGGGCCUCGACGUACUCCACGCACUCCACGUCGCAUUCGAACGCGUGUUUGUACGUGGGGCCGACGGUGAUGACCCCGUUGGGGCCCGACAUCUUGAGCUUCAGGUAGGUGUAGUUGGGGACGGCCAUGAACUUCGCGUAGCAUGGCCUCCCCAGUACCGCGUGGUAGGUUCCUCGGAACCCGACCACCUCGAACGUCAUAGUCUCCCUUCGGAAGUUGGAGGGCGUUCCGAAGCAGACGGGAAGGUCGAGUCGUCCGAGGGGCUGGACGCGCUUCCCGGGAAUGAUCCCGUGGAAGGGCGCAGCGCCUGCUCGGACGGAGGACAGAUCGACGCGCAGGAGCCUGAGGGUCUCGGCGUAGAUGAUGUUGAGGCUGCUGCCCCCCGUCCAUAAGGACCUUGGUGAGCCUGACGUCGCCCAUGACGGGGUCGACGACGAGCGGGUAUUUCCCCGGGCUCGGCACGUGGUCGGGGUGGUCGUCUUGGUCGAAGGUGAUGGGCUUGUCGGACCAGUCUAGAUAGACCGGUGCCACCACCUUGACCGAGCAGACCUCUCGGCGCUCUUGCUUGCGGUGCCGAGCCGAGGCAUUCGCCGCUUGCCCACCGUAGAUCAUGAAGCAGUCACGCACCUCGGGGAACUCUCCUGCUUGGUGAUCUUCCUUCUUGUCGUCGUCGCGGGCCCUGCCACCCUCCGCGGGUGGCCCGGCCCUGUGGAAGUGGCGCCGAAGCAUGACGCACUCCUCAAGGGUGUGCUUGACGGGCCCCUGAUGAUAGGGGCACGGCUCCUUGAGCAUCUUGUCGAAGAGGUUGGCACCUCCGGGGGGCUUCCGAGGGUUCUUGUGCUCGGCGGCGGCGACAAGGUCCGCGUCGGCGGCGUCGCGUUUCGCUUGCGACUUCUUCUUGCCUUUCUUCUUGGCGCCACGCUGAGUAGAUAGCCCUGGGGCUGCUUGUCCUUUCGGAAGAUAGCCUCGACCGCCUCCUGGCCAGAGGCGAACUUGAUGGCGAUGUCCAUCAGCUCGCUCGCCCUGGUGGGGGUCUUGCGACCCAACUUGCUCACCAGGUCGCGGCAAGUGGUGCCGGCAAGGAACGCGCCGAUGACAUCCGAGUCGGUGAUGUUGGGCAGCUCGGUGCGCUGCUUCGAGAAUCGCCGAAUGUAGUCCCGGAGAGACUCUCCCGGCUGCUGCCGGCAGCUUCGGAGGUCCCAGGAAUUCCCGGGGCGCACGUACGUGCCCUGGAAAUUGCCGGCGAAGGCUUGGACCAGGUCAUCCCAGUUGGAGAUCUGCCCCGGAGGCAGGUGCUCCAACCAGGCGCGAGCGGUGUCGGAGAGGAACAUGGGGAGGUUGCGGAUGAUGAGGUUGUCGUCGUCCGUUCCACCCAGCUGGCAGGCCAGGCGGUAGUCUGCGAGCCACAAUUCCGGUCUCGUUUCCCCCGAGUACUUUGUGAUAGUAGUCGGGGGUCGGAACCGGGUCGGGAACGGUGCCCGCCGGAUGGCCCGACUGAAGGCCUGCGGACCGGGUGGUUCGGGCGAGGGACUCCGAUCCUCCCCGCUGUCGUAGCGUCCCCCACGCCUGGGGUGAUAGCCUCGGCGCACCCUCUCGUCGAGGUGGGCUCGACGGUCGCGAUGAUGGUGCACGUUGCCGAGGUGGCCCGGGGCCGCAGGCGCGGUGUUGCGCGUGCGCCCGGUGCAGACCGAGGCUUCCCGCAUGAAUCGGGAAGUCGCGGCAUGAGGUUCCGAGUGGUACCCCUACCUUCGGGAGGCAGAGCUCUCGGCCCGUCGGACCGCGGCGCCUUUGAAAGGGAAUUAGGCUUACACCUAGUUCCUAAAUAAUUUUGGUGGUUGAAUUGCCCAACACAAAUAAUUGGACUAACUAGUUUGCUCUAGUGUAUAAGUUAUACAGGUGCCAAAGGUUCAUACUUAGCCAAUAAAAAGACCAAGUAUUGGGUUCAACCAAAGAGCGAAGGGACAACCGAAGACACCUCUGGUCUGAGGCACCGGACUGUCCGGUGUACACCGGACAGUGACCGGUGCACCACCGGACAGUGUCCGGUGCACCAGAGGACUCCAACUUGAACUUGCCACCUUCGGGAAUUUCUAGAGGCACUCGCGCUAUAAUUUACCGGACUGUCCGGUGUACACCGGACAGUGUCCGGUGCUCCUCGAAAGAGCUGCCUCAGGAACUCGCCAGCCUCGGGAAAUCAGAACGCCUGCUCCGCUAUAAUUCACCGGACAUGUCCGGUGUACACCGGACUGUCCGGUGAACCAGCAGAGCAACGAAUACUUCGCGCCAACGGCUACCUGCGACGCAUUAAAUGCGCGCGCUGCGCGCGCAGAGGUCAGGCACGCCCAUGCUGGCGCACCGGACAAUCUACAGUACAUGUCCGGUGCGCCACCGGACAUCCAGGCGGGCCCAGAAGUCAGAGCUCCAACGGUCGACCCCAACGGCUUUUGGUGACGUGGCUGUCGCACCGGACAUGUCCGGUGUGCACCGGACUGUCCGGUGCGCCAUCGAACAGACAGCCUCCACCAACGGUCAAGUUGGUGGUUGGGGCUAUAAAUACCCCAACCACCCCACCAUUCAUUGCAUCCAAGUUUCCCACUUCUCAACCACUUACAAGAGCUAGGCAUUCAAUUCUAGACACAUACAAAGAGAUCAAAUCCUCUCCAAUUCCACACAAGGCUUUAGUGAUUAGCGAGAGAGAUUUGCCGUGUUCUUUUGAGCUCUUGCGCUUGGAUUGCUUCUUUUCUUUCUCACUUGUUCUUGUGAUCAAAACUCCAUUGUAAUCAAGGCAAGAGGCACCAAUUGUGUGGUGGCCCUUGCAGGGAAGUUUUGUUCCCGGCUUUGAUUUGAGAAGAGAAGCUCACUCGGUCCGAGGGACCGUUUGAGAGAGGGAAGGGUUGAAAGAGACCCGGCCUUUGUGGCCUCCUUAACGGGGAGUAGGUUUGUGAGAACCGAACCUCGGUAAAACAAAUCCGCGUGUCACACUCUUCAUUUGCUUGCGAUUUGUUUUGCGCCCUCUCUCCCGGACUCGAUUAUAUUUCUAACGCUAACCCGGCUUGUAGUUGUGUUUAUAUUUGUAAAUUUCAGUUUCGCCCUAUUCACCCCCCCUCUAGGCGACUAUCAAUUGGUAUCAAAGCCCGGUGCUUCAUUAGAGCCUAACCGCUCGAAGUGAUGUCGGGAGAUCACGCCAAGAAGGAGAUGGAGACCGGCGAAAAGCCCACUACAAGCCACGGGAGCACUUCAUCGGAAGAGUCCCGCACCAAGAGGAAGGAGAAGAAGAAGAGCUCCUCCAACAAAGGGAAGGAGAAGAAAUAUUCUUCUCACCACAAAGAGAAGAAGGAAAGAUCUUUCUCUCACAAGCCGCAUCGGAGUGGGGACAAGAAAAAGAGGAUGAGGAAAGUGGUCUACUACGAGACCGAUUCUUCAUCGCCAUCCACCUCCGGCUCUGACGCGACAUCCGUCACUUCUAAGCGCCAAGAGCGCAAGAAGUAUAGUAAGAUCCCCCUACACUACCCUCGCAUUUCCAAACAUACACCCUUGCUUUCCGUCCCAUUAGGCAAACCACCAACUUUUGAUGGUGAAGAUUAUGCUAGGUGGAGUGAUUUAAUGCGAUUUCAUCUAACCUCACUCCACAAAAGUAUAUGGGAUGUUGUUGAGUUUGGUGCACAGGUACCAUCCAUAGGGGAUAAAAAUUAUGAUGAGGAUGAGGUGGCCCAAAUCGAGCACUUCAACUCUCAAGCAACAACAAUACUCCUCGCCUCUUUAAGUAGAGAAGAGUAUAACAAAGUUCAAGGGUUGAAGAACGCCAAGGAGGUUUGGGAUGUGCUCAAAACCGCGCACGAGGGAGAUGAGCUCACAAAGAUCACCAAACGGGAAACGAUCGAGGGGGAGCUCGGUCGGUUCCGGCUUCGCAAAGGGGAGGAGCCACAAAACAUGUACAACCGGCUCAAGACCUUGGUGAAUCAAGUGCGCAACCUCGGGAGCAAAAAGUGGGAUGACCACGAGGUGGUUAAGGUUAUUCUAAGAUCUCUUAUUUUCCUUAACCCUACUCAAGUUCAAUUAAUUCGUGGCAACCCAAGAUAUACACUAAUGACCCCCGAGGAAGUAAUCGGGAAUUUUGUAAGUUUUGAGUGCAUGAUCAAAGGCUCAAGGAAGAUCAACGAGCUUGAUGAUCCCUCCACAUCCGAAGCUCAACCCAUCGCAUUCAAGGCGACGGAGGAAAAGAAGGAGUCUACACCAAGUCGACAACCAAUCGACGCCUCCAAGCUCGACAAUGAGGAAAUGGCGCUCGUCAUCAAGAGCUUCCGCCAAAUCCUCAAACAAAGGAGGGGGAAAGACUACAAGUCCCGCUCCAAGAAGGUUUGCUACAAGUGUGGUAAGCCCGGUCACUUUAUAGCUAAAUGUCCAUUAUCAAGUGAUAGUAACAGGGGCGACGACAAGAAGGGGAGAAGAAAGGAGAAGAAGAGGUACUACAAGAAGAAGGGCGGCGAUGCCCAUGUUUGUCGGGAGUGGGACUCCGACGAAAGCUCAAGCGACUCCUCCGAUGACGAGGACGCCGCCAACAUCGCCGUCACCAAAGGACUUCUCUUCCCCAACGUCGGCCACAAGUGCCUCAUGGCAAAGGACGGCAAAAGGAAGAAGGUUAAAUCUAGAUCUUCCACAAAAUAUGAAUCCUCUAGUGAUGAUAAUGCUAGUGAUAAGGAGGAUAACCUGCUUACCCUUUUUGCCAAUCUUAACAUGGAACAAAAAGAAAAAUUAAAUGAGCUAAUUAGUGCCAUCCAUGAGAAGGAUGAUCUCUUGGACUCCCAAGAGGACUUCCUAAUCAAGGAAAAUAAGAAACAUGUUAAGGUUAAAAAUGCUUAUGCUCUAGAGGUAGAAAAAUAUGAAAAAUUGUCUAGUGAGCUAAGCACUUGCCAUGAGACCAUUAACAACCUUAGAAAUGAAAAUGCUAGAUUAAUUGCUAAGGUUGAUUCUCAUGUUUGUAUUGAUUCAAUUCCCGAUCCUAGAAAUGAUAAUGAUGAUUUGCUUACUAAGAUUAAGGAAUUGAAUGAUUCUCUUGCUAGCCUUAGAGUAGAAAAUGAAAAUUUGAUUGCUAAGGCUAAAGAUUUUGAUGUUUGCAAUGUUACUAUUUCCGACCUUAGAACUAAGAAUGACAUGUUACAAGCUAAGAUUGUAGAAUUAAAAUCUUGCAAACCCUUUACAUCGAUUGUUGAGCAUGUAUCUAUUUGUACUAGAUGUAGAGAUGUUGAUAUUGAUGCUAUUCAUGAUCACAUGAUUUUAAUUAAACAACAAAAUGAUCAUAUAGCAAAACUAGAUGCUAAAAUUGCCGAGCAUAACUUAGAAAAUGAAAAGUUUAAAUUUGCUAGAAGUAUGCUCUAUAAUGGGAGACGCCCGGGCAUCAAGGAUGGCAUUGGCUUCCAAAGAGGAGACAAUGUCAAAAUUAAUGCCCCUCCUAAGAAAUUGUCAAAUUUUGUUAAGGGCAAGGCUCCCAUGCCUCAGGAUAACGAGGGUUACAUUUUAUACCCUGUCGGUUAUCCCGAGGACAAAAUUAGGAGAAUUCAUUUUAGGAAGUCUCACUCUGGCCCUAACCAUGCUUUUAUGUAUAAGGGUGAGACAUCUAGCUCUAGGCAACCAACCCGUGCUAAGUUGCCUAAGAAGAAAACUCCUAGUGCAUCAAAUGAACAUAGCCUUUCAUUUAAAACUUUUGAUGCAUCUUAUGUUUUGACUAACAAAUCCGGCAAAGUUGUUGCCAAGUUUGUUGGGGGCAAACACAAGGGCUCCAAGACUUGUGUUUGGGUACCCAAAGUUCUUGUUUCUAAUGCCAAAGGACCCAAAACCGUUUGGGUACCUAAAGUCAAGAACUAAAAUUGUGAUGUAGGUUUAUGCAUCCGGGGGCUCAAGUUGGAUACUCGACAGCGGGUGCACAAACCAUAUGACAGGGGAGAAAAGGAUGUUCUCCUCCUACAAGAAAAACCAAGAUCCCCAACGAGCUAUCACAUUCGGGGAUGGAAAUCAAGGUUUGGUCAAAGGUCUUGGUAAAAUAGCUAUAUCUCCUGACCAUUCUAUUUCCAAUGUUUUUCUCGUAGAUUCAUUAGAUUACAAUUUGCUUUCUGUAUCUCAAUUAUGCAAAAUGGGCUACAACUGUCUCUUUACUGAUGUAGGUGUCACUGUCUUUAGAAAAAGUGAUGAUUCAAUAGCAUUUAAGGGUAUGUUAGAGGGUCAGCUAUACUUGGUAGAUUUUGAUAGAGCUGAACUCGACACAUGCUUAAUUGCUAAGACUAACAUGGGUUGGCUCUGGCACCGCCGACUAGCCCAUGUUGGGAUGAAGAAUCUUCAUAAGCUUCUAAAGGGAGAGCACAUUUUAGGAUUAACAAAUGUUCAUUUUGAGAAGGACAGGAUUUGUAGCGCAUGCCAAGCAGGGAAGCAAGUUGGUGCCCAUCAUCCACACAAGAACAUCAUGACGACCGACAGGCCGCUUGAGCUACUCCACAUGGAUCUAUUCGGCCCGAUUGCUUACAUAAGCAUCGGCGGGAGUAAGUAUUGUCUUGUAAUAGUGGAUGAUUAUUCUCGCUUCACUUGGGUAUUCUUUUUACAGGAAAAAUCUCAAACCCAAGAGACCUUAAAAGGAUUCUUGAGACGGGCUCAAAAUGAGUUCGGCUUAAGGAUCAAGAAAAUAAGAAGCGACAACGGGACGGAGUUCAAGAACUCUCAAAUCGAAGGCUUUCUUGAGGAGGAGAGAAUCAAGCAUGAGUUCUCUUCUCCCUACACCCCACAACAAAAUGGUGUAGUGGAGAGGAAGAAUCGAACUCUAUUGGAUAUGGCAAGGACCAUGCUUGAUGAGUACAAGACUUCGGAUCGGUUUUGGGCCGAGGCAGUCAACACCGCCUGCUACGCCAUCAACCGGUUAUAUCUUCACUGAAUCCUAAAGAAGACAUCCUAUGAACUCCUAACCGGUAAAAAGCCCAACAUUUCAUAUUUUAGAGUUUUUGGUAGCAAAUGCUUUAUUCUUGUUAAAAGAGGUAGAAGAUCUAAAUUUGCUCCUAAAACUGUAGAAGGCUUUUUACUUGGUUAUGACUCAAACACAAGGGCAUAUAGGGUCUUUAACAAGUCCACUGGACUAGUUGAAGUCUCAUGUGACGUUGUGUUUGAUGAAACUAACGGCUCUCAAGUAGAGCAAGUUGAUCUUGAUGAGAUAGGUAUUGAAGAGGCUCCGUGCAUCGCGCUAAGGAACAUGUCCAUUGGGGAUGUGUGUCCUAAGGAAUCCGAAGAGCCUCCAAAUGCACAAGAUCAACCAUCCUCCUCCACUCAAGCAUCUCCACCAACUCAAAAUGAGGAUGAAGCUCAAGUUGAUGAAGUAGAAGAUCAAGCAAAUGAGCCAUCUCAAGAUGACGACAAUGAUCAAGGGGGAGAUGCAAAUGAUCAAGACAAGGAGGAUGAAGAGCAAAGGCCGCCACACCCAAGAGUCCACCAAGCAAUCCAACGAGAUCACCCCGUCGACACCAUCCUCGGCGACAUUAAUAAGGGGGUAACUACUCGAUCUCGGGUUGCACAUUUUUGUGAGCAUUACUCUUUUGUUUCCUCUAUUGAGCCACACAGGGUAGAGGAAGCACUCCAAGAUGCGGAUUGGGUGAUGGCAAUGCAAGAGGAGCUCAACAAUUUCACAAGGAACGAGGUAUGGCACUUAGUUCCACGUCCUAACCAAAAUGUUGUAGGAACCAAGUGGGUCUUCCGCAACAAACAAGACGAGCAUGGUGUGGUGACAAGGAACAAAGCUCGACUCGUGGCCAAGGGGUAUUCACAAGUCGAAGGUUUGGAUUUUGGUGAAACCUAUGCACCCGUAGCUAGGCUUGAAUCAAUUCGCAUAUUAUUAGCCUAUGCUACUUACCAUGGCUUCAAGCUUUAUCAAAUGGACGUGAAGAGUGCCUUCCUCAAUGGACCAAUCAAGGAGGAGGUCUACGUUGAGCAACCUCCCGGCUUUGAAUAUAGUGAGUACCCUAACCAUGUCUAUAAACUCUCUAAGGCGCUUUAUGGGCUUAAGCAAGCCCCAAGAGCAUGGUAUGAAUGCCUUAGAGAUUUCCUUAUUGCUAAUGGCUUCAAAGUCGGAAAGGCCGAUCCUACUUUAUUCACUAAAACUCUUGAAAAUGACUUAUUUGUAUGCCAAAUUUAUGUUGAUGAUAUCAUAUUUGGGUCUACUAACGAGUCUACAUGUGAAGAAUUUAGUAGGAUCAUGACACAAAAGUUCGAGAUGUCUAUGAUGGGGGAGUUGAAGUACUUCUUAGGAUUUCAAGUGAAGCAACUCCAAGAGGGCACCUUCCUAAGCCAAACGAAGUAUACUCAAGAUAUUCUAAGCAAGUAUGGGAUGAAGGAUGCUAAGCCCAUCAAGACACCCAUGGGAACCAAUGGGCAUCUCGACCUCGACAUGGGAGGUAAGUCCGUGGAUCAAAAGGUAUACCGGUCGAUGAUAGGUUCUUUACUCUAUUUAUGUGCAUCUCGACUGGAUAUUAUGCUUUCCGUAUGCAUGUGUGCAAGAUUCCAAGCCGACCCUAAGGAAGCUCACCUUACAGCCGUAAAACGAAUCUUGAGAUAUUUGGCUUAUACUCCUAAGUUUGGGCUUUGGUACCCUCGGGGAUCCACAUUUGAUUUGAUUGGUUAUUCGGAUGCCGAUUGGGCGGGGUUCAAAAUCAAUAGGAAGAGCACAUCGGGGACUUGCCAGUUCUUGGGAAGAUCCUUGGUGUCUUGGGCUUCAAAGAAGCAAAAUUCGGUCGCUCUUUCCACCGCCGAAGCCGAGUACAUUGCCGCAGGCCAUUGUUGCGCGCAAUUGCUUUGGAUGAGGCAAACCCUGCGGGACUACGGUUACAAAUUAACCAAAGUCCCUUUGCUAUGUGAUAAUGAGAGUGCAAUCAAGAUGGCGGAUAAUCCCGUCGAGCAUAGCCGCACUAAGCACAUAGCCAUUCGGUAUCAUUUUCUUAGGGAUCACCAACAAAAGGGAGAUAUCGAGAUUUCUUACAUUAAUACUAAAGAUCAAUUAGCCGAUAUCUUUACCAAGCCUCUUGAUGAACAAACUUUUAACAAACUUAGGCAUGAGCUCAAUAUUCUUGAUUCGCGCAAUUUCUUUUGCUAGAUUGCACACAUAGCUCAUUUGUAUACCUUUGAUCAUGUCUCCUUCAUAUGCUAUGACUAAUGUGUUUUUCAAGUCUACUUCAAACCAAGUCAUAGGUGUAUUGAAAGGGAAUUGGAGUCUUCGGCGAAGACAAAGGCUUCCACUCCGUAACUCAUCCUUCGCCGUCGCUCCGAGCCACUCUCCAUCCUAGGGGGAGAAAGCAAAAGGACUUCGUCUUUGGAAUAAUCUUAACUCAUUUAUUUAUGACCAAAGGAGAGGAAAGUACUUCGAGGGCUCUAAUGAUUCCGUUUUUGGCGAUUCAUGCCAAAGGGGGAGAAAGUAAGAGCCCAAAGCAAAAGGACCGCACCACCACCAAUUUCAAAGACUUCGUGUUUCCAAGAAUAUUAUCAAUUGGUUUCCUAUUGUGUUCAAAAAGGGAAGAAAGUAAUAUUUCAAAAAUGAUAUAUCAAAACCCUCUUGAACACUAAGAGGAGGAUCUCAUUUAGGGGGAGUUUUGUUUAGUCAAAGGAAAAGCAUUUGAAACAGGGGGAGAAAAUUUCAAAUCUUGAAAAUGCUUUGCAAAAUCUUAUUCAUUUACCUUUGACUAUUUGCAAAAGAACUUCGAAAAGGAUUUACAAAAUAGUUUGCAAAAACAAAACAUCUGGUGCAAGCGUGGUCCAAAAUGUUAAAAACAAAAGAUCGAUCCAUGCAUAUCUUGUAAGUAUUAAUAUUGGCUCAAUUCCAAGCAACCUUUGCACUUACAUUAUGCAAACUAGUUCAAUUAUGCACUUCUAUAUUUGCUUUGGUUUGUGUUGGCAUCAAUCACCAAAAAGGGGGAGAUUGAAAGGGAAUUAGGCUUACACCUAGGUGCUGUUUGGUUCACGAAAUGUAACGUAAAGGGUAAUGGUAAUGGUUUCUUCUCGAUUACUGGCGGUAACAAGUUUGAAUAGUCCGGUAUCAAUUUUUAGUAUGGUAUCUGAUUACGGUUAAACUAAAACAAACAUGAUUUAACGUUAUCACUUACCCAUUACGUUACAAAUAUUUGAACCAAACGGUACCCUAGUUCCUAAAUAAUUUUGGUGGUUGAAUUGCCCAACACAAAUAAUUGGACUAACUAGUUUGCUCUAGUGUAUAAGUUAUACAGGUGCCAAAGGUUCAUACUUAGCCAAUAAAAAGACCAAGUAUUGGGUUCAACCAAAGAGCAAAGGGACAACCGAAGACACCUCUGGUCUGAGGCACCGGACUGUCCGGUGUACACCGGACAGUGACCGGUGCACCACCGGACAGUGUCCGGUGCACCAGAGGACUCCAACUUGAACUUGCCACCUUCGGGAAUUUCUAGAGGCACUCGCGCUAUAAUUCACCGGACUGUCUGGUGUACACCGGACAGUGUCCGGUGCUCCUCGAAAGAGCUGCCUCAGGAACUCGCCAGCCUCGGGAAAUCAGAACGCCUGCUCCGCUAUAAUUCACCGGACAUGUCCGGUGUACACCGGACUGUCCGGUGAACCAGCAGAGCAACGGAUACUUCGCGCCAACGGCUACCUGCGACGCAUUAAAUGCGCGCGCUGCGCGCGCAGAGGUCAGGCACGCCCAUGCUGGCGCACCGGACAAUCUACAGUACAUGUCCGGUGCGCCACCGGACAUCCAGGCGGGCCCAGAAGUCAGAGCUCCAACGGUCGACCCCAACGGCUUUUGGUGACGUGGCUGUCGCACCGGACAUGUCCGGUGUGCACCGGACUGUCCGGUGCGCCAUCGAACAGACAGCCUCCACCAACGGUCAAGUUGGUGGUUGGGGCUAUAAAUACCCCAACCACCCCACCAUUCAUUGCAUCCAAGUUUCCCACUUCUCAACCACUUACAAGAGCUAGGCAUUCAAUUCUAGACACAUAUAAAGAGAUCAAAUCCUCUCCAAUUCCACACAAGGCUUUAGUGAUUAGCGAGAGAGAUUUGCCGUGUUCUUUUGAGCUCUUGCGCUUGGAUUGCUUCUUUUCUUUCUCACUUGUUCUUGUGAUCAAAACUCCAUUGUAAUCAAGGCAAGAGGCACCAAUUGUGUGGUGGCCCUUGCAGGGAAGUUUUGUUCCCGGCUUUGAUUUGAGAAGAGAAGCUCACUCGGUCCGAGGGACCGUUUGAGAGAGGGAAGGGUUGAAAGAGACCCGGCCUUUGUGGCCUCCUCAACGGGGAGUAGGUUUGUGAGAACCGAACCUCGGUAAAACAAAUCCGCGUGUCACACUCUUCAUUUGCUUGCGAUUUGUUUUGCGCCCUCUCUCCCGGACUCGAUUAUAUUUCUAACGCUAAUCCGGCUUGUAGUUGUGUUUAUAUUUGUAAAUUUCAGUUUCGCCCUAUUCACCCCCCCUCUAGGCGACUAUCAGCCUUCCAGGAGAUUCUUGAGCUCUCUCUGGAUUCGCCGACCCUCGGUGGUUGAUGGCUCCGGCAUCGCGCGGAGGAGCAUCGCUGCUGCAGCCAGGUUCUGACCGACCCCACUGGAUGCGGGUGGCGGCCUGACCCUGACGUCGUUGGCGACGCGGAGCUGGAAACCCUGGGGCAGGUGACGUAUUUCUCGGCCGGGGGUUGGCCCGCCCAUGCCUGCCCGACGUCCCGGCGGAUCGGCUCAAGCGCUCCUGCUCCUUCGUCGAGCCUGGCCUGCGCCCCGCGGACUUGCUCGAGCUGUGGGUCGUGACCCCCCGCCGGAACGGGGACCACAGCUAGCUCCCGCGGGAUGUCAGCGCGAGGCACCGGCCUAGGGAGAUCACCGUCCUCCGGCAUGCCAAGAUGAUUGCCUUCGGAGGGACCCCCUAGAUCGACGUGGAAACAUUCGCGGCUUGGGCCGCAGUCCUUGUCGUCGAGGUUGCGGCUACCGUCGGAACAGUCGGAGAGGCAGUAGUCACAUGCGGUCAUGAAGUCCCGCAUGGCACUAGGGUUGCCAAGUCCAGAGAAAUCCCAACAGAUGUUGGGGUCGUCGUCUUCCUCGGACCCGGAGGGCCCAUAGGUCGAGACGUCCGUCAGCCGGUCCCAAGGCGAUCGCGUGCGAAACCCCAGAGGGUUUGAACUCGCCUCUACGAGAGUGCCCGCCAAAGCAAGGUCGCUAGGCGGGUUGAGGCUGAAUCUAAAUGACGUAGGAUGGGAAUCGGUCGGUACCUUUUGGUCGACGAACGGCGAUGAAGUCACGUCGGGGACUGACUGCACCGUCAUCUCAGGUACGAGGGUGACGCCCAGCAAGCCUUCCGCGAGCGUUCUGGCGUCGUCCGCUUGCUCGGGAUUGGCGUGUCGCGGGGAGACGGCGCUCGCCUUCGUCUCAAACGCGAGGUCGAUGCCCGACGCGCCCCCCGUUGGGGCGCUAGGGACGUCGACUCGCUCGACAGCCGACGAGGCGCGGCCUCCCGCUUGGCCUUGGUUGCCCCGCCUCCUCCUCCGUUGGCGGGGGAGAGGACGGGGCGAGCUCGAAUGUUGUUCUUCCACCACGCGGGGAAGACGUCGUCGAUUCCGCCGUCGGCGGGCGGGCCGUCGGCUGCCACUGUCGUUGUCGCGCGGCGGUGGAAGGAGUAUCAUGUCGUAGCUGCCGUCGAAGGACAUGAACUCAAGACUCCCGAAACGGAGCACCGUCCCGGGUCGGAGAGGUUGCUGGAGACUGCCCAUCUGGAGCUUGACGGGAAGCUGUUCGUCAACACGCAGCAGGCCCCUACCUGGCGCGCCAACUGUCGGCGUUUCGAGACCGGGGGGUCCCUCGGGCCGACGAGUGAGUGUCGCCGCGUGCCCCAGCCCAGAUGGGUCGAGCGCGUGGGCGAGCGCGAAGGGGGGAAAGGAGCGAGGCGGCCGGAGACCGGCGUGAGAGAGGUGGGAAUCCCGCGGCCUUCGUGUUCGUCCCGCGCCCAGGUCGGGUGCGCUUGCAGUAGGGGGUUACAAGCGUCCACGCGGGAGAGGGAAGCGAGCGGCCCCGAGAGAGCGCCUGUCCCGUCCUCGUCCCCGCGCGGCCAACCUCCUCUAAGAGGGCCCUGGUCCUCCCUUUUAUAGGCGUAAGGAGAGGAUCCAGGUGUACAAUGGGGGUGUAGCAGAGUGCUACGUGUCUAGCGGGGGAGAGCUAGCGCCCUAAGUACAUGCCGAUGUGGCAGCCGGAGAGAUUUUGGCACCCAGCUGGUGUGAUGUCGUGGCCGUCGGAGGAGCGACGGAGCCUGGCGGAGGGACAGCUGUCGGAGCGGUUGAGUCCUUGCUGACGUCCUCCUGCUUCCGUAAGAGAGCUGAGAGCCGCCGUCGUCACAGAGCAUGCGGGGCGCCAUCAUUGCCUGUCUGGUGGAGCUAGCCAGCUGGGACACCGGUCUUGUUCUCUGCGGCCCGAGUCAGCUCGGGGUAGGGUGAUGAUGGCGCUUCCUGUUGACGUGGCUGGCCUGCGCCCUAGGUUGGGCGACGUGGAGGCUCCUCCGAAGCCGAGGUCGAGUCUGUCUUCCAUGGUCGAGGCCGAGUCCGAGCCCCUGGGUCGGGCGAGGCGGAGGUCGUUCGGCAGAGGCCAGGGCGGAGUCCGAGCCCUGGGGUCGGGCGAAGCGGAGUUCGUCAUCUUCUGGGACUUAGCCCGAGUCCGAGCCCUGGGUCGGGCGGAGCGGAGUUCGCCGUCUUCCGGGACUUAGCCCGAGUCCGAGCCCUGGGUCGGGCGGAGCGGAGUUCGCCGUCUUCCGGGACUUAGCCCGAGUCCGAGCCCUGGGUCGGGCGGAGCGGAGUUCGCCGUCUUCCGGGACUUAGCCCGAGUCCGAGCCCUGGGUCGGGCGGAGCUUCCUAUGGUGCCUUUGGCAGGGCCUGACUGCCUGUCAGUCUUACUCUGUCAAGUGGCACUGCAGUCGGAGUGGCGCAGGCGGCGCUGUCCUUCUGUCAGGCCGGUCAGUGGAGCGGUGAAGUGACGGCGGUCACUUCGGCUCUGCCGGGGGGCGCGCGUCAGGAUAAAGGUGUCAGGUCACCUUUGCAUUAAAUGCUCCUGCGACUUGGUCGGUCGGUGCGGCGAUUUAGUCAGGGUUGCUUCUUAGCGAAGGCAGGGCCUCGGGCGAGCCGGAAAUAUGUCCGUCGUUGGAGGGGGGCCUCGGGCGAGAUGGAAAUCCUCCGGGGUCGACUGCCCUUGUCCGAGGCUAGGCUCGGGCGAGGCGUGAUCGAGUCGCUCGAAUGGACUGAUCCCUGACUUAAUCGCACCCAUCAGGCCUUAGCAGCUUUAUGCUGAUGGGGGUUACCAGCUAAGAAUUAGGAGUUUUGAGGGUACCCCUAAUUAUGGUCCACAAUAAUUAGUUUUUUUAUUAACUGUAUUUUAAUAAUAUAUCUAUUGGAUGUUAUAUUUUUUGUAUUUUUUUAAAAUUUUAGUUAAAAUUUAAACCUUCGUAAAAGUUAGAGUAAUGUAUAAUUUAGAAUGGAUUGAAUCCUUAUUACUGUUUGACGAUCUCUGUGUAGUAGUAAAUAAUAUGGGGGAAAUGUUAUCUUGUUCGUGUCGACCUAAUAAUUUUAAGGGAGCAGUAGCAAGUGGGACAAAACGAUUGAUGUCAUGCAUGAGCUACCCUACCCUUUCCUGCUACACUUUUUUGAUAAAUGCAAUCUGUCCUGCGUGCUGCUCACUUCCACGUGUUCAAUUUGGACGCUAAUCAUCAUCACGUACUACUUACUGUUCAGUCAUCCCCUAUGCAAAGUCAUUUACAAAUUUACCAUUCUUAGGUCUUAAGCCUUGUUCCGUUAUUUAAGUUCACAUGGAUUAAAUGAAAUUGAAUAAAUUAUGAAGAAUUUUGACUUGUUUGAUAUUUAAACCUAUUUAAUCUCGUCCAAUCCAUAUGGAUUGAGAUUAAAAUAAAUGGAGUCCGGCACUACUACAGUAAUAUUUUUUUAGAAGCGGCUUGUCCUAAAAUUCGAUUUUUAGAGACAGCUAUGAACUCAAGUCAUCUUUAUAGAUAUAUUUUUUCUAGCUGUGUGUGUGUCUCAUUAAAUUUUAAAUAUCAAUUUCUAAUUUUAGUAUAUAUAUUCAAAUGCAACAAUUUGAGAAGUCUAGAAUAUUACUAUGCAUAUGGACAUUGCAAUCGAGGUAUGUACAUACUCCCUCCAGUGCAGUAAAGGUAGUCGUUUAGGACAUGAUUGUGCAUACCAAGGAGUGAUUAAUUAUCAUAGAGUUUUCCCUGUUUGCCCUAUUAAAUAGGGAUAUGGGUGCAUUAACGUCACUAAAGCAAUCAGGCUUGAUUGGUUGCUGCAGCAGCUCUAAGGCAUUCUAGACUGGAGGUCUUAAGUUUGAUUCCUCUUAAAUGCAUCUUUUUUUGCAAUUACUAGGGGCAACAACGUCCAAAUCCCAGACCCACGCGCGCUAUGACUUCUUUUUGUGCACGCUCGGUCACGCGCAGGAUGACUUCUCUCGGUAGUUGUGACUAGACUAGCAGUAAGAGGACUGAUAAAGUUGCUCACACAGUACCUACACCUACAGCUGUCAUAAAGAUGUCUUAGGCCCCGUUUGAUUUGGUGGUCUAGAAAUUAGACCAUCUAUUUUAGUCUCAUUUAGUCUCUAAAUUUACAAAACGGUAGAACUAAAACAGUGACUAAACUGUUUUAGUCUCUAGUCUCUAAAGAGAUGACUAAAAGGGACUAAAUCAUAUAAAUUCCACUUUUCGCUCCUCCUUUAUUUUAGUUACACUAAUGGCGGGAGAAUUCUAAGGGUUAUUUUGAUUCUCUUAUUCAUUGAAUGUGUUUUGAAUAACUUUAGUCCAUAGAACGAAACAUGAUAGCGACUAAACUUUAGUCUCCUAACUAAUAUCCUAUUUGGUUCCUUUAGUUCAAGGACUAAAGUUUACUUAGGAGUCUAAAGUUUAGUCCCUACCUUAUUUGGUUUUAGGGACUAAAACUAUUCAAAAUACAUUAAAUAAAUCAUAAGAGGACUAAAAUACCCUUAACAUUCUCCCGCCGUUAGUGCAGCUGAAAUAAAGGAGGGGCAAAAGGUGGAAUUUAUAUGGUUUAGUCUCUUUUAGUCACCCCUUGAGAGACUAGAGACUAAACAUCUUAGUCCCUUUUUUAAUCCCACCGUUUGCCAAUUUAGAGACUAAAAUAGAGGGACUAGUCCCUCAAAUCAAACAUGGCCUAAACUUUACUCCUUGUGCUAAGUAACCAAACGGCCCCUUAGUUCAAAUCCAAAGUAAGCAUCACAUUCAUGGACCGCCACGUUUGUACUGUAGGUCAUGUGUGCCCCCUCGUCCCUACUCUGUUUAAUUUUAGGGACUAAAACUAUUUAAAAUACAUUAAAUCAAUCAUAAGAGGACUAAAAUACCCUUAGCAUUCUCCUGCCACUAGUGCAGUUGAAAUAAAAGAGGAACAAAAAGUAGAAUUUAUAUGGUUUAGGCUCUUUUAAUCACCCCUUGAGGGACUAGAGACUAAAACAGUUUAGUCCCUAUUUUAAUCCCACCGUUUAUCAAUUUAGAGACUAAAUAAGACUAAAAUAGAUGGAUUAGUCCCUUAAACCAAACGAGGCCUAAACUUUACUCCCUGUACUAAGACUGUCUCCAGCAACGUCCUCUAAAAUUUAUCCUCUAAAGUAAUAUUCUCUGUCCUUUACAGAACACUCUAAAGGAUUCCAUCCUCUAUAUCUUCAUCGACUCCAGCAGCGUCCUCUAAAAUUCAUCCUCUAUAUCUCAUCCACUUUAAUAUGCCAACUUAACAAAUUGAAUAUAUUAUUUUACUAAAUCAGAACCGUCGUUUUUUUGCUUCGCAACGUCCGGAGCAUUUCGUCGAGAACCUUGCACGCGAUAUCCCACCACCUUGGCCAUGGCUACAAUUUGGACCACCUCCUGCUGCUGCUGGCUCAACUAUCCGCGCAUGGGUACAGUUAGGAGCACCUGCUGCUGCUGCGCGGGGUCGUAGGCAUGGGUGCCGCUGCUGGCUCAACUGUGUGGACGUUGCUCGGAGACGAGGACACCCAUGUGCGCCGAUGGAUAGCGGGUGAACAGCAAAACACUAGAUUUAGCGGUGGUCGGACAGACGCUAUAUUUUAGCGAAUCUUUUACCGUUUCUUGCUAGGGCGGUAGCGAACGACGAAAAACUCUAUAUAUAAAGUUGUGGAUCAUUUAGUGUCUCUUGCUGGAGACAACCUAAGGAAUCAAACGGCCCCUUACUUCAAAUCCAAAGUAACCAUCACAUUCAUGGGCCGCCAUAUUUGUACCCCACAUACACCCCACCCCACUAGACUAGUCUAGCAGACUAGCAUUAAGAAGACUGAUAAAGUUGCUCACACAUUACCUAUAGCUGUCAUAAAGAUGUCUUAAAUUAUUUUUACAUUCGAUCAAAUGUCUAGAAACUAGCACGAAUAUUUAUGACAUAAGAGUAUCUAAAAAUAUAUCUAAUGAUAAUUCGGUAUCAUAAAUUUUAGCAAUAAUUCGGUGAUAGCAAUCUUUUAUAUAAGUUUGAUUGCACACAAAAAUAUUUAAUCUAAAACAACUCUGAAAUUAAGGAUUCAUUUGAGUACAGGAUGGUGCUUUACCCGAGACACUUGCUCAUUCAUUGAUUGAUCAGCGUGGGCCACAGUUCCAGCCCAUGCAGCGGCAACACGUAGCCGCGUACUCGUGGAACACGAACUGGCCAUUAUUAUCUGCCCACGCUGGCAAAAUUGUCUGUAGUAGACAUGAGCGCCUCUAACUUGUCGUUGUCUGAAACGACAAAAGUUUGCAAUAAUGAUGAGAUGGCAAGGGAACUAAAUACAGUAAUCUGUAAGAGGUGUACAGUAGAUGAUAGAUUCAUAAAAAAAAAUAAAGUUUACUAAAAGGUUAAAGGGUAAUUUGAUGCGGUGGAACUAGAGAUGUCCAAACGGGUGGGCCGUGCCGGCCCGGCACGGGCCCGCCUUUGGCCCGGCACGUUUCGGCCCGGCACGUUUCGGCCCGUUAGGUUGACGGGCCGUGCCGGGCUAGGCCACCGUGCCACAUCCUAGGCCCAAGCACGGCCCGCACAUAGCCGUGCCGUGCCGGGCCGGCCCGCAGCCCGUUAAGGCCCGCCGUGCUUUGACCGGGUGGGAAGAAAAAUAAGUAAAAAAAAAGACUAAAAACAAACUUUGCUAGGAUUUGAACCUUGGUUGGAGGGUUUAAAAUGCUUAGUUGCACCACUCUAGCCAACUAAACCAAACUUAUUUUGUAUCUAAACUAUUAAAAUUGCUUAUAAUAUACAAAUAAAUGCACUGGAAAAUAAAAUAAAAAACCGGGCCGUGCUCGGGCCAGCACGGCGUGCCACGGCAGCGGCCCAAGCCCGGCCCGACUAACGGGCCGUGCCGGCCCGGGCCCGUCAACCACCGGGCCGUGCCGUGUUCGUGACGGGCCAAAAUCGUGCCGUGCCACGGGCCGCCCGACGGGCACGGCCCAUUUGGACAUCUCUAGGUGGAACUAUGUUUAGAAAUUAAAAACAUGUAAAACAAUCCAUAACGGACCGAGAAAAAUUAGUUUGCCUAUUUACUAUCUUCUGUCGAUUCUUAACUGAUGCUCGUUGCCUCGUUGGAGAUGGAAAUUAUUAAAUCAUCGACGACCAACAGAAAAUACAUAUCUUUUGUUAGCUAUACGCAACCGACAUAAAUUACCUCCGGUCAUGCUAACUUUCAUCGGCUUGCGCCUCACAGAAGGAAAAUAGCUAACUUAGAUCGGCUAAUAACCCAGUCGACGGAAGUUAGCUCUAGUCGCACUAACUUUCGCUCGCCAAUUUAACUGACCUAAAUUAAUGGCUUGCACCAGUAAUAAAAUAUGGUUUUAUUUAUUUCCCAUAAAAAUCAUAUAAAAUUUCAUUCAUACACAACACACAAAAUGGCACAAUUACCACUUUAUUUACAACUCAACAAACAACAUUGGCAUAAACAACCACAUAAAUAUUCAUAAUUCAAAUGUCUUACCACACACAUCUCACAACUAUUUUCUCACAUCACAUAUAAAUACCCAUACUUCAAGCCAAAUUACCACAGCCGUACGUAUUUCAUGGAAUAUAAUCUUCAAUAGCCAUCGCACGGAUUAUUAGAUUUUUGGCUACUACCUCCAAAAGGGUCACCAAAUAUUGUAAUUACAAAUGCAGUUCUAGCAUCCCUCGGCACCAAUACAUUGACCAAAAUAUGCGAUUAGCAAAAAAUAUUCAUUUUCCUGCAUACCAUGAUCAACCUAAUGAUUGACUAGUUUCCUGUUUAUCCUGUCCUUGGUUACCCUUUUGGGAUUUGGCUAUUAUGACUAAUAUUGUGCUAGUACUUUACUUUCAUCAAUGAACAUGAUGAGAAUACUUUAUGACACGAUGUUGAUAUUCUGGAUAUGAUGGUGAGCUUGUGGCACUAAAGGGGACUCGGGCUAUUUUUCGAGUACCUCUCCGUAAGGACCUGUUCGUUGGAUGACCCCCCCCCCCCCGGGAAAACAAUACAACCAUGAGGGUGGUAUGUGAUGCCCUUAGCUGAUUAAUUAGAGGAACUUGAGGUGUAGUCGGCUUCGUCGUUGUGCCGGUAAUGGGGUCCAGGCACAGUACUUGUUCUGCCGAGGCUAGGUUCGUUCGUUUUGCUUUUGUUAGUCACCCCUCCUGUGGGGAGAUGUAUUGUGUUUAUCAAACUGAAAAAACCUAACGAAUGGCUAUGACCUCUAGGGAAUCUUUGUAAAGGCCACAUAGUGAAACCUUGCCGACUCAUCUUAGGAGUGUUUAAGGGUCUGUACAACCUGAGGCAAAAAGGCAUCAUGGCUCAUGGGUAAAGUGUGCGACCUAUAUAGAGGGUUAGAAACUGGUAUAUCAACCGUGCUCACGGUUAUGAGCAGCUUGGGGAGCUCCUUUGAUUAGAGAUAUUCUGGAUACCUCGAUGAUGAUGGUUUAAUGAUGAUGAUAACUAUGAAUUAUUGUAUUUCCUCUUGGAAGGAGUACCUUUUAGGAUAAUAACUUGGGAUUAUUGUUAAAAAUUGGCUCUCUACUAGUAAGAAAUAUCUGGCCAACUAAAAGUAACCGCUUUAAGCUUCACCCUACAUACAACUAGUCUACUUUAGCCAAAUGGGACAUUUACUGAGUACGUUGAUGUGUACUCACACUUGCUAAAACACCAAACACUAGGUUGUCCCCAUUGCAACCUCUGCUCAGGAGAAGAUGAAGGCAACAUAGAGAACUUUUAGGAGUUUCAGGACUUCGAUGAGUUCUAAAGUAGAUUAGCGGCAAAUCCUCAGUCAGCUGCUUGUGAAGGCCUUAUCUUACUAUGUUUUGUUUAGCACUUUGAUUUAUGUUUAAGUUAAGGACUAUGUGAAUGUUUCGGACAUCAUGAUGUAAUAAAAUAAUACUCCUUUCGGCUACUAUUUUGAGCAUUGUGUGAUGAUGUCCAAUUAUGUAAUCGAUGUGUACGUGAAUUUCUGAUCCUGGUACGAACAUGGUUCGCAUUGAGUUUGCCUUCCAAAACCGAGUGUGACAAAACGAGACAGAUAUAGACGAAUACAAUGUCAUCCCAUAUCAUACUCUAAUGUAUUUCUAUUGGAUACAUGACCGUGUACGAGUAGUUAAAAUUCGGGACAAAUAUAUGAUGGGAUCGGGUAAUAAUUCAGGCGGGUAAGAAACAGAUAUCAGAUAUUAACCGGGUAGAUAACGGAUAUUCGUCGGAUAGUUCGUCCCGAUAAUAUUAGUUGCCCAACCGUCAAACAAACAAAUAAAAUGAUACGUAAGCAUGUACAUGAUAGCUCAAAUAUAGAAAAAUAACAGAUAAAAUUGACAUCAUGUAGUUUAAAGUUACUAAUCACAAGGACAUUAUAAAACCAACAAUACAAAAAAAAACGGCAACAUAUCCCCUAUUUUAGGCAUAAUAGGUUAAGUCAUCUGAUUAUAUAAAUUGAUCAAGCUUAAGAUAUUUUGAAUCCCCAGGGAAGACAAAUUAUAAUUUGGCAUGAAGAAAGUACUAAAUUAAAAAGGCAAGAUGUUUCUUAUUAUCGUGAGAAUUUCAUAAAUUUAUAUCUUUCUUCUGGUAUAUUUACUAGCGAGAAUUAACGUGUUGUUGCCUUGUAGGAACCUCUGCUUAGUAACAGUAAGAUGAGAUUUGUUUGAUUUUUUUUUUUUUUUGAAAAUAGAUAAUAGCAUAUUUCGUUUGCGGAGGUCGCAAAGUGAAUUGGGCCAGAAGGCCGCAAGAGCAAGGCGCCAGGCACAAGGCUGAAGGCACAAGGCAGACCCGGAGAGCAAAAACAAAGCGCAGGCGCGCAGCGGGUACCCGAUGGUCAGAUACUUACUUGUAUCCGACUGUCCGACCUAGGAUAUUUGAGUGUUUAUUAUCUGAAUACUAUCCGUAUUCGUUCUGAUAAAAAAAUACACAUAUCUGUAUCCGAAAUUCGAGUUAUUUUACCAUCCGUAUUCGAUACCCGACUCCGAUAUCUGUUCCGUUUUCAACUCUAACAGAUGCAGACAGUCUUAUAUUAGCAUUGGUGUUGAUAAAAAGAAAAACAAACAAACAAAAUGUGUCGAUUCCAACCAUCAUAGUUUAAAUCUGUUGGCAGUCAUCUUGGACAGAAAUAGGUUUAUACAACUAGUGUUAUGACAGAAACACGAAAAGCAUGUCAAUCUUUGAUAUUUUUCGUGGAUUUUGCCAUUGACUCCCCCGUACACAUGCAUUACAAGCUUGUGAGCGACCCAAUAGACAUCGUUUAGCGUCUUUUUUUUCUUAAAUUUUUUUCAAUAGAGAAAGCUUUAUUAAUCUUAGACAAUUACAUUAAAAUGAUAUAAGAGUACUAACAUUUUUUUUCUUCAAUUUCUCACACAAGUGAAAACAAAUAUAUGUCCAUAUCAUUUUCAAGGACAGUGCCAAUUUUUUCUUACAAGACUUUGUGAUUGUUUGGUUCCUAAAGCAUCACAACAUGUCUAAACUUAGUUACUCGAAUUGGAAAACUAACUUUUUAAACAAAAAAGAUUAGACAAGUUCUAAUCGUCUUAGGCAGAAACUAAACAAGCCCUUUAGUUAUGGAUGGAGGUGGCGCAAUGAAAUGGUUGGUUAGCAACACUCGUACCAGUAGUGCCUCCAACAAACAUAAGUUAAAUUGUGAAAGAUCUCGCUGGGAAUUGGGUCAGUCCGUAGGUGGCGCAAUUGAGGCCGAGAACGCCCAAUUUUUUUGGCUAUGUUGUACCACAUAAAGUUUAUAUCUUAUUAAAUUAAAGUUAUUAAACAAUACGAGCAUCAUUUGACCAUAAAAAAUCUAAAUAAAUAGCUUACUAAAUUAAAGAAAUUAAAUAAUAUAUGUUUUAUUGGGCUCGUGCUCGUGCUGGCCCAAAAGGCUCGGUCCAUAUUCCCAACACUAGUUCUAGGGCAAAAAGACAACCAUGACUUCAUAAAAAAAACGUACAAGGUAUUUCAAAGAUUAGAUUUAGAAGAGAGCCCAUAAAUGAAAUAAUUUCUUAGAGACUUAGGGCAUGGUUUUAUCAAGUACCUUUAUUUGGCUAUGAUACAAAUUGCGUAGCCAUAUGGCUGGUACAUUUUAUCAUAGCCAAAAGGCCAAAAAUGAAUGAGUUAAAAAGAAGUCCGACUCCUGUUUUAUAGCUCGCUCGUUUUGGUAAUAUAUGAGAGCGUUACGUGUGGCUUCCUAUCGUUUUGGACUUGGACGGUUUCUUAUGACCCAUCUGUGGUGUAACAAUCUAUUGAACUCAUUAUUAGACGAGAAGCGGGAGGAAAGGAAUAGAGCUACGCGCUUAGUAUGUGACGCACGACGUAUGGAACUGGUGCUUUAAAGAACUAGAGAAAAGUCAAAUAACAUAUACUUUGGUCCAUCAUUUCUCUUAUAUCACUAAUUGCUAGAACAAGACUAUUGUUGGGGACUUGUUCUCAAACACUAUGAAUUAAGAACAAGGCAACAUAAAAUAUAAUUCACAUAUUUUAUUAUAAUACAAUGUAACAUGAAAUAUAAAAUAUAAAACAUUAGAGAAAGAUAUACCAAAAACUGGUAAUAUAAUUCACAUAUUUUAUUAUACAAACCUAAAUAUUAAACAAUAAUAUUUAGGUACAUUUAUACCUUCGUCUUGACAGAAAACAAUAAUUCCAGCGUAACGUGUUCGCGAUUACAAGAUUGCGUGAACAGUACAGGGGUACUGUUCACAUAUUUAUAGGCACAGGGCGCAGCCUGUGUAAAAUUAAAUUUAUGCCCUUUACAAUCGACUACAAUGAUGACACAAAACGCCAUGGGUCUUUAAGUUAUUUCAUCUUUAAAUCGGUUCACCCUUUUGUCUUGAGAUCUGUCACUGUGCCGAAGCUUUAUAGGUGAUAGCUUCGGCGCUGCUUCUGAGAAGAUUUGCCGAAGGUGUUCUCUUGCUUUAGGAUCUUCGACUACGAAGCAUACCCCCAACAGUAGCCCCUUCGCGGUGCUAGAUCGUUUUUCGUAACGAGCUUGAUCCGUGAAAAGGUCUUCUAGGCUUAGGGAUGCCAAAGAUCCGAAAAACAUCUUCCCUGAGCUCGUUGCCGAGAAACGAUUAAAAUAAUCCGCGCACGGAGUGGCCCCAUCUUGCAGCAGUUACGCGCGUCCUGGCGAUUCACCUUCUCGGACCCUGUGGCCCACCGUUCAGUGAGUGAGGGUGACUGUUUGUCUGUUGCGGAAGACCUUGGCGAUCCACCUUCCCACCUGCGGCACUAUAUAAAUAGAUGGGUAGGUGUGUAAUUACCACAACAUUCAUUGCUAUUGCACUGUUUUUCUGCCAAAAUAUUGACCAAAGUCGAAGCUUGUUUGCUGCAUCUCCAACCGAAGCUGUUUACUUUGCUCAAGCUUUGUAAAAAGAAAGAGCUUCGGCAAAGUAAAGAAAAUUUUUCAACUUUAUUCAAAAAACAAGAAAAUCAUCAGAUGGCCAGAGUUCGCUCCACAGCUAGGGUUACGCGCGACGGAGAGGAAGCCGAAGGUGCUAAAACUGCCCCAAUCUCCGAAGUGAUGCAACGGUCAGGGCUAGUAGUGCCGGAGGAUGCACCUUCUACUGAAGCUGAGCAGGUUGAUGCUGGGGAAGUUGAAUCAGAAGAUGAUUAUGGUGUAGCGCCAAGUAAACCCAGCCACCUGGAUUUCGGGAAAUCCACCAUCUCCGAAGGUGAUCUGCCUAAGAUGUUGAAUUUGGGCUACUUCAAUGAAGCGAAGAAAGAGCUGAUUCGUUUCGGUGGGGACGAGACUACUCCGAAGCCAGGAAAGGAUGAAGUAGUGGUCUUUAAAAGCUUUUUUAAGGCUGGUUUGAGAUUUCCUUUGAACAAGAUGAUUGCUGAUGUAUUGAAUAAGUUUGGGAUCUACCUUCAUCAGCUAACUCCUAACGCUAUCGUUAGGCUUAGUGUUUACAUCUGGGCUCUUCGAAGCCAAGGGGUGGAACCAUUUGCCGAAGGUUUCUGCCGAGCGCACGAGCUUCAUUACCAGACCAAGGCUAGAGGAGAUGGGCUGCAUGAAAACUUUGGCUGCUAUAAUUUUGCCUACCGCAAGAGUACAAAAUUUCCAGUGAUUAGUUACCGAAGCAAGUGGCCAGCUGGCUGGAAGUCUGAGUGGUUUUAUGUCAAGGUUGACGAAGAUAAGGAGAAGCUAGUCCAGAGUCCGCUAGAAUUAAUCUUCGGAGAAACCAGACCCCAGUGCAACAUGUCACCAGGGAGUCCAAGUCAAAUUGCUCUGGCCGAAUUUAGAGUUAUUGCGGAGCAUAUCGGCACUAGGGACUUAGUGCAAGAAUUUUUGGCCUUUAGAGUGUUCCCAACUUUGAAGGAGUGGGAAAUGCCGAAGCUGAAGGGAGAAAAGAAAAAGGGGGAAUUUGUUCGGUUACCUUAUCAUUACAAAUUCAAGAAACAUUUCAAAGUGCCUUGCCAAGAGUGGCUGGACACAAUUGAAGUAAUGUGCAAUGAAAUACUCGGCAAUUAUUCUAAAAAAGAAGAUCAAUUGAUGACUGUGGCCUUCGGCACCCGUUCGAAGCGGAGGUGAAACCGAGUAAUGGAUGCUCUGGACUUCGAGUAUCCUGACUAUGAGCGGCUAGACAAGGAUACCGAAGGUCAAAAGAGGAAAAGAGUAGCUGGUGCUCUGAAAAAAGACGAUGAAGAACAACCGAAGAAGAAAAAGUUAGAGCCUAAGCCGAAAACAGGUGUUUCGAAGAAGAGAAAAGAUACAGCUCCGAAGCAGAAAGCAAUUGAUGAUGAAGAAGAAUCUGCUGCAACACCCUCUGCUACCGAAGUAGAGGAAAUCUUAAAGGUAAUGACUGAAUCUUUGUCUGUCAAGCUAAGUCCACUCGGGCCACAUCUGACGAAGCUUUUUCAGAAGGAAAAGGAGCCCGCGAAAACGAAGAAAGCAGCUAGGCCAAAAAAGCAAAGAAUCAUUACAGUGACGGAAGCCAUCGAAGGGACACCACCACAAGCUUCAGCUCCGAGGGUCCCAGCCAUUGAGAGCACAACAACUGCCGAAGCUGCACCUUCGGAAGCCACAGCUACCGAAGAUACCAGAGCCGAAGAUAUUCAUUUAGAAAGCACGAUUGCUGAUAUAGAUAAAAUACUGCUAGACAUGGCUGCAGAAGAAGCUGCCGUAGCCACCAAAGAGACUACGGCCCCAGAGCCUGAAAAAGAGAAAGAAAUAACCGAAGACACUUCGGAAGAUGAAUUUAACUUUCAAAAGUUAGUUGGUCAAGAACUGACAAAGGCUGAAAAAGAAGAGCUAAAAGAAUAUGCUAUAUCUUGCGGAUAUCGGCCGGGAGCUCUUCUCUUCGGUGGCAUUGAUGACGAAAGGUUGGGCUGCGUUCGAGAUCAGAUCGGUGCGAAGGUUAUCGGUACUCUAUCAAAGAGUAUUGGCUUCCCGAAGCUCAAUAGAUAUCAGCCGCUACCGACGACAGCACAUCGUCGGUAGUUUAUUUUAUUCCAAUUUCAAGGUAAACAACUUUUUUCUGACUUUUUUUGUUUUUAAUAGCAAAGUUGUUUUCUAACGAAGGUUGUUUAUGUGCAGAGUAUGCUGCUGAGCAAAGCUUUAAAAAUGCAGCAGGAUUUGGAAGAUAAAAAACAUGAGGUUAUAAUUGAGAAUUUAGAGAGCAAAAUAAAGGAGCAGUCAUCUGCUAUUGAAAAGAAAGACUUCGAGCUUCAGACAACCGAAGGCUUAUUGACAGAAGCUGAAGCUAAAAUAACAGAAUUAAGUACGAAGCUUCUCUGCCAAUCAGAACACUUUGAACAAGAAAAGCAAGAGCUUAAUGCAAAAUUUGAGGUCGAAGUCCAGAAAAAUGCAGAUUUGAAAAAAUCAUUGACAAGCCUUCGAAACAAAUAUUUGGAAUUCAGUAAUCGAUGUGUUCAACGGCUGAAGCAAAUCUUCUAUUCAGUUGGAGCCAGCAGCGAAAAAUUUACUCCUUCGGCCGAAGACCUGCCAGGGGCCUUUGAACAUAUCGAAGGUGAAAUUGACGACCUUGAUGAAGUUAUUGCUGGACAUGGUGACUUUUGUGCCCUGGUAGCUUCUCGGGGCACAGCUGUUGCCUUCCUAAAAUCUGGCUGUGACCAUGGAAAGGUUAUCAAUAGACCCACUUUCAGCCUGUCACCAGCAGAUCUGGAUAAUAUUCCCAACCUUGCCCAAAGCAUAGCAAAUAGAUUUGUAAAACUGGUAUGGACAAAGGGUGGACGAAGCAAAGCUGGUGAUGAGGCUCGGAGUCAUCUUAAGCCGGUAACAAAAUCAUACCUUGUGCUUACCUCUUCCUUCGAACUUGAAUUUUGCUUACAAUACUUUAAUACGUAUAGGAUGACGAAGCCGAGGCCGAAGCUGAGGAGUAAAAAGACGAAGCUCCAUGGAUACUGACGAAGCUUGAAUAGUCUGUAGAAAAAGCUCUAGAAACUCUUGUAAUAACUUGUGUAAAGAAUGGUGUAAUUAAAUUUUACUUCGUGGACUUUGUCCAUACCUUGUAAUAUAUUCUUACCUUUCCAUCAAUGUAUAAAGUGCUUUGAUGUGAACGAAAUUAGCAUUUUUGAGCCGGAGGCGAAAAACACGUUCCCUUCUUUUCGUACACAGCUAAGCAUAAAACUGCUUCUUUUUCUGUUUUCCGAAGCCUUCUCUUUAGAGCCGAAGCAACUGCCUGUGUUAUGAUGAUGAUGGUCCUAUGUAUGUCUAAAUGAAUGUUUAUGAAUGCAAAUGUAUGAUGUAAUGUGUCGUGCAAAUGAAUGUCCAAACACUCAUACGAAGCUUUAUUCACAACCUUCAUUCCCUAAGGAAUGACUGAAAUCUCUUUUUGAUGCAAGCUUCCCUUAGGAACUUCUUCGCCUUUUAUUUCGGCGGUAUCAGCGUUGACUUUUCGCUCUAAGACUCCCUUAGGAGCUUCUUCGCCUUCUAUUUCGGCGGUAUCAGCGUUGACUUUUCGCUGCAAACUCUGCAUUCCCUUGGGAACGACUUUUGAGCAGAAAACUUACGCUGCGCUCCCUUAGGAACGACUUUUUGUAGCUUCGUCGUGCUCUGCAUCCACUUAGGGACGUCUUUCGAGCUUCUCCCUGUUUUUUCUUUUCUCUUUGCACUCGAUGGUGCAUGCUCAGCUUUUACAUUUACAUCUUUGGGGGAAAUUGCCCUUGUAGAGCUGAAAUAAGAAAAAGAGAAAUUACAUGCUAUGGUCCCAUUAAAAACCUUUCUCCCCCUUUGGAAAGGAAAAAGGUGUAAUAUGAAAAAAAAGAUUACAUCAAGCUACACAUAAUAUCGCUGAAGCUCAUCCGCAUUCCAAGAUCUAGGAAUGUCGUUGCCGACCAUGUCCUUCAAUCUGUAUGAACCGGGUCUUGACGAAGAUACUACCAGAAGAGGUCCUUCCCACUUUAACUGUAGCUUGCCUACUGUAUCUGGGUUAGCAACUCUUCGAAGUACCAAGUGCCCUGGCUUGAUAUUUUUAACCAAACUUUUCUGUCACGCCAUUUUAUUGUUUCGGCUUGAUAUUUAUUGAUAUUCUCCACAGCCUAAAGCCUGAUCCCUUCUAUAGCAUCUUUUGCCACAGAAUAAUCAGCUUCGUCCUCCACCGAAGCCACUGUUCUUAUUGAUCCAGCUUUAGCUUCUUCUGGGGUUAUUGCUUCGUCAUCAAACAUCAAUUUGAAUGGUGUAAAGCCUGUUGACCUUGACAUUGUUGUAUUAUGGCUCCACACCACUUUGAUUAAUUCAUCUGGCCACUUUCCUCUGGGCUGAUUGAAGAUUAACUUCAUUAUUCCUGUCAUUAUAAUGCCAUUAGCUCUUUCGACAAGUCCAUUUGACUCGGGAUGUCUAACCGAUGCAAAAUGAAUCUUCGUGCCAAUUUGUUCACAAAACUCUUUGAAAGCUUCGGCAUCAAACUGUGUUCUGUUGUCCACAGUAAUAGCCUUCGGCACUCCGAAGCGACAAACAAUAUUUUGCCAGAAUUUUUUUUGAAUGGUGACCGAAGUUAUUGUGGCUAAAGGCUUUGCCUCAAUCCACUUAGAAAAGUACUCUACUGCCACCACAACAUAUUUUAAAUUUCCUUGUGCUGGUGAAAGUGGGCCUAGCAAAUCAAGGCCCCAUCUUUGCAAUGGUCAAGUGGGCUGUAUUAACUGAGUCAGAGACGAAGGUUGUUUUUGAUCUCUUUCACAUUUUUGAUAGCCUUCACAUUUUUGGACUAUUUCUGCUGCAUCCGAAGCUGCCUUUGGCCAAUAAAAUCCUUGACGAAAAACUUUUCCCAGCAAGGGCCUAGAUCCGAUGUGAGAUCCACACAGGCCUGCGUGUAUUUCCUUCAUCAAUUCUAUACCUUCAGCUCUGGAUAAACAUUUGAGCAAUGGAGAACAGACUCCAUGUUUGUAUAACUCCCCUUCUAUUAUUACAUAUGGUCGGGCUCUUGCCUCUAUUCUCUUGUUAUAAGCUUCGUUAUCUGAAAGGCAGUUACCCUGGAGAAAAGAUAUAAUCUCGGUUCUCCAAUCUUCACUAUGAACAGGAGAUAUAUUAAGCACUGCUCUUUCAAUAAGUUCCACCGAAGGUGCUUUUAUUGUCUCAAAGAAUACUUCUGAAGGUAAAGGCAGCCCCUGUGCCACUGACUUGUCUAGCAGAUCAGCAUGCUCAUUUUCUCCUCGUGGAAUAUUCUUGACAGAAAACCCUUCGAAGGAAGCUUCAAGCCUUCGAACUGUAUCCAAAUAUUUCUCAAGCUUCGGAUCUCUUGCUUUACAACUUUUGUCCACAUGACCAGAAAUAACUUGGGAAUCAGUUUUGAGAACAUCCCUUCUUAUCCCCAUUGCCUUUAACUUUUCGAAGCCCCAAAAGUAAAGCUUUGCAUUCAGCAAUAUUAGUUGUGCAGCUGAAAUCAAGUUUCACUGCAUAGCAUGUUCUAACUUUGGAAGGUGCAACUAAAACAGCAGUUGCACCUGCCCCGAAGGUCCCCCAGGAAACGUCGCAGAACACUGUCCAAGCUUCAACAUCUUUACUUGCUUCUUCUUCCUGAGCCCCUAGCGUCCAGUCUGCGAUGAAGUCUGCUAACGCCUGGGACUGAAUCGAGGAUCUAUGCACAUAAUCAAUGCUGAAUUCGUUGAGUUCCGCAGCCCACUUUCCAAUCCUUCCAGUAGCUUCUCUGUUCCUCAUAAUAUCCUUCAAAGGCUGUGAUGAAGGAACAAUUAUAUGGUAUGCUUGAAAGUAGUGUCGAAGCUUCCUGGAGGCCAUUAAGACAACAUAUAGCACCUUCUCCAAUUAUGUAUAGUUUUUCUUUGAUAAACUGAGAACUUCAGAGACAAAGUAUACUAGGGCUUGCUUUUUAGUUUGUCCUUCAAGCUUCUCCUGGACAAGUGCCACACUUACUGUAGAGUGCGAAGCUGCUACGUACAACAGCAGAGGAGCCCCUGGCGCGGGUGGAGUUAGCGUCGUUAGAUCUAUCAGAUACUGUUUCAGCUCUUCGAAGGCUUUCUGCUGAGCUGAUCCCCAUUGAAAGACUUCGGCCGACUUCAGUACCUCAAAGAAUGGUAAAUUUCUCUCUGCUGAUCUAGAUAUAAAUCGAUUCAGAGAUGCCAGUCUUCCUGUCAGCCGUUGAGCCCCCUUCUUUGUGCUUGGCGGCUCCAUCCGAAGAAUAGCUUCGAUUUUAUUUGGAUUAGCUUCGAUCCCUUUUGUUGAAACUAGACAACCAAGGAAUUUCUCCUUCUUUACUCCAAAGACACACUUUUCUGGAUUCAACUUCAGGCCAGCUUGCCUAAAAUUAGCGAAUGUCUCCUGCAGAUCAGCAAUGUGAUGUUCUUGCUUCGUGCUUUUUACUAUGAUAUCAUCAACAUAAGUUAGCACAUUUCUGCCUAUCUGAGAAUGAAGGACUUUCGCUGUCAUUCUACUGAAGCUUCCUCCAGCAUUCUUGAGCCCCUCAGGCAUCCGAAGAUAACAAUAUGUACCACUAGGUGUUAUGAAGCUUGUUUUUGGCUCGUCUUCCUUUUUCAUCCAAAUUUGAUGGUAACCUGAAUAACAAUCUAGUAGAAUCAUGAGCUCUGAUGAAGCUGUUGCAUCUACUAGAGAAUCUAUCCUUGGUAAUGGAAACUCAUUCUUCGGACAAGCCUUGUUGAGAUCAGUAAAAUCAAUGCACAUUCUCCAUUUACCGUUGGCCUUCUUCACCAUAACAGUGUUAGCUAGCCAUUCUGGGUAUUUUACUUCUCUGAUGACUCCAGCGCUAAGAAGUCUUUUCACUUCAUUCUGAGCACCUUCGGCUUUGUCAUCAGACAUUUUCUGAAGCCUCUGCUUUCUGGGUCUGAAGGAUAGAUCGACAUUGAGCGCGUGUUCAAUGACAUCCCUGUUGACACCACAAAGAUCGUUGGCGGACCAUGCGAAGACAUCUUUGUUGUUAAACAGAAACCUUGUUAGGUUUUUCUCCUGUUCCUCAGACAAUUGAGAUCCCAACAACACCUUCUGCUCUGCUAUAUCUUCACAUAAGAGCAUGGGUUUCGGCUGAUCGGCCACAGCAGCCUUCUCCCUUCUGUACUUGUUUUGCUCACAGGCUUCGGCUCCAUCUAUAUUAUGGAUUGCUUUUGAAUCUGUCCAGUUUCCUUUGGCCUUUCUAGCAGCUUCCUGACUACAUGAAUAGCAAUAGACCCUUGAUCCGAAGAUAUCUUCAUGCAAAGAUAUGCUGGAUGAAGAUUUGCUUCAAAAGCAUUGGGUGUCCCACGACCAAUGAUUGCAUUGUAGGGGUACUCCAUGUCGACAAUAUCAAACACAACUUGCUUAGUCCUUGUAUUGUUGACAUAUCUGAAGGUCACUGGCAUCGUGAUCUUGCCGAGCGCUACAAUCUGCCUUCCUCCGAAGCCACAAAGAGGGUGUGUAGCAUCAUGAAUCUUAUCCUCUGGCUCUUGCAUCUGUCUGAAGGCCUUAGCAAAUAUAAUAUCCGCUGCACUGCCUGUAUCAACCAGAACAUUAUGGACCAGAAACCCUUUGAUAACACAAGAAAUAACCAUAGCAUCAUUGUGAGGGUAAUCCUUAAGCUGAAGGUCCUCUUGGGAGAAGGUAAUCAGGAUGUGGGACCAUCUUGACUUGAUGAAGGGUCCUUGCACCCCAACAUGUUGUACCCUUCUCUGUGCCUCCUUCUUCUGCUUCUUGUUGACCGGCUCUGAGCAUGAACCGCCUUUUAUCGGAAGUACCAGCUUCGAAGCCGAAGCAGCUCCAGCUUGGUUGUUGAAAAAAACCAUCAGCUCAAAAAGUGGAAGUGAGUUCACCGGAGGUGGGCGCCAAUGUUGGGGACUUGUUAUCAAAUGCUAUCAAUUAAGAACAAGGCAACAUAAAAUGUUAAAUAUUAAUACCCUUUGUCCGCUGGAGCAUUAUCUCCCCAAGGAUUUAAUGAACUUCGGACGAAGGCCAUGAGCAAAGUUUCACGAAGGUCACACCUUCGUGAUCAGACUUAUAAUACAAUGUAACAUGAAAUAUAAAAUAUAAAACAUUAGAGAAAGAUAUACCAAAAACUGGUAAUAUAAUUCACAUAUUUUAUUAUACAAACCUAAAUAUUAAACAAUAAUAUUUAGGUACAUUUAUACCUUCGUCUUGACAGAAAACAAUAAUUCCAGCGUAACGUGUCCGCGAUUACAAGAUUGCGUGAACAGUACAGGGGUACUGUUCACAUAUUUAUAGGCACAGGGCGCAGCCUGUGUAAAAUUACAUUUAUGCCCUUUACAAUCGACUACAAUGAUGACAUAAAACGCCAUGGAUCUUUAAGUUAUUUCAUCUUUAAGUCGGUUCACCCUUUCGUCUUGAGAUCUGUCACUGUGCCAAAGCUUUAUAGGUGAUAGCUUCGGCGUUGCUUCUGAGAAGAUUUGCUGAAGGUGUUCUCUUGCUUUAAGAUCUUCGGCUACAAAGCAUACCCCCAACAACUAUUAUUUUAGAGACAUUUUUUUGAAAUGAACGACAAGAGAGCUACCGAAAAAUAUAUUAGAAGAGAAAGUAAAAUACAAUUAGCAUGCUCCUAAGGGACAACCACACCCUGAAACAAAAAAAACAAGAAAAAGAAGAAAAAACCACUAAAACAAUAUGGAAAGAAAAUUUAGGAACUCAUAGCUAACUUGAACGGGUCCGCAUCCUCUUUGAUGAUGAAAGCAAUUUGAAGGGGCUGACAGAUUAAUUGUUGAAAAAUUAUUCUAUUUAUCUCCUUCCAAAUAUUCCACCAAAUGAGGCCAUCAAAAUCUCUUCUACUAGACCUCGGGACUGUAGACCUACAUUUUCUCCACCAUUUGAUAAGAGACUCGUCUUGACGAAUAGCUGGUAAAUAGUUUAGGUUGAACUAGCUAGCUAGCUGAUUCCAAACCUGUCCUGAGAAACCACAAUAUUUGCAGAGAUGAGUCGAUGUUUCUAGCGCAAUGUCACAAAGCUUGCAGAUUGGGUCAUGUGGCCAAUUCCUUUUAGCCAAGUUGUUAGCGAUUAAGAUUUUCUUUCGAAGGAGGAUCCAAGCAAAGAUCUUAAACUUUGGCUCUGAUUUAGCUUUCCAUAUCGGUGUAAUAUUAAACCUUUUAGAUCUUCCAGCAAAUUGGAUUCGAUAUGCACUAGAAAUGGAAUAAUCACCAUUGGACGUUUAUUUCCACAUAAUUUCAUCCUCGACGGAUUCAUUUCUAUUGAUUGCUUGAAUUUCCUCUCAUAAGGCAACAAAUUCUCUUACAAGCUGUUGCGUUGUGAUCCCAUGAAUGAAGGUGGGAAACCCAGGAGAGCUUUCUGAAUGUUCAUGUUCUUUCGUCUAGAUUUACUAAAGACAAGAGGAGCUAGGUUUUUUGGUGCUUGUCCAUUUAACCAAUUUAAAUGCCAAACACUACAGGAAUACUGAAGAUUCCCGUCGUCCAAGUUAAUUCCCGUCGGCCUUUGCUCUGGCCGACAGGAAUUAGUUAACUCCCGUCGGCUACUGUACACAGUAGCCGACGAGCCUUAGGUUAACUCCCGUCGGCCCUGACGUAAGCCGACGGGCAUUAGUUAACUCCCGUCGGCCUAUACACUGGCCGACGGGGAUUAUUGCUUUAUGGAGGCCGGCGGACAUCCCGCGUGGCUCAUUCUCCUCUCUCUCCGCUGUCUUUCCAAACCGACACCCCCACCGCCGCCAACCGCCGCCCCUAGCUACCCUGCCGGCCCCCAGCGCCCCCCCCCGCGAUGGGUGUCGCCCCCAAUGCCACUGCCCCGGAGCGCCGCCCGCCCCUAACGCCGCCGCCCCGGAGCGCCGCCCGCCCCCAAAGCCGUCGCCCCGGACCGUCGCCCGGCUCGCCCCCAACGCCGUGUCCCGGAGCGCCGCCUUGCCCGCCCCCAAAGCCGUCGCCCUGUAGCGCCGCCUGGCCUGCCCCCAACGCCGCCGCCACCGAACCCCUCCCGGAGAGCCGCCGCCGCCCCCAACCGCCUCCCCGAGCGCCGCCGCCGCGCCAAAGCGUCGCCGCCGCCCCGGACCGUUGAGGUAUAUAUAUUUGUGAAUUAUUGAAUGUAAAUGCGAGUGUGAUUGUUAAAUAUGUGUAUACAUGUUUAUUUUUGUCGGUUUUUAUGGCCGACGUGAGUUAACUUUCAUGUGAUUAGAGUUAGUUUAAUAUCACAUGUGAUUAGAGUGUGAUUAGAGUUAGUUUAAUAUCACAUGUGUGGCUUGAUGUUAGGUAAGUAUUAAUUCUAUUAUUAUAAUAGAUUUAACUUAUGCUAUUGAAUUGUUGAAUUUGAUGUUAUUUAUUGAUUAGAUUUAACUUAUAAUAUUAGGUUGUAUGAAGGUUUCGAUAUUGAUAAAUUUAAUAUUAUUUAUGUAUAUAUAUAGUUAUUUAUGUAUAUAUAUAGCUUUACUACUUACCUAUAGAUGUAUGUGUGACAUGUAGAAACGUGAUUGUCUCACACACACUCUUUACUCGUACACACAACCGCAAUAAUGGGUGAUAGACGUGAUUGGAUGUAUAAUGGUUUCAAGAAGGGUUGGUGCCACACAAGUGAAUGGUUUACCAAGACGCAAAUGUUUCUGGACCAUGCAACUGCUUUGUCACAAAUAGAUAAUAUUAGGUGUCCAUGCAAUAAAUGUAGAAAUAUGACGAGCCACACCAAGAGGCAGGUCACACUACACCUGUGCUCACAUGGUUUCGUGCCAGGCUAUAAGGUCUGGUAGCUCCACGGUGAAGAUGUUGAACGAGCAAAGCAGCUCUCCAGGAGGGUAUGCUAUUGAAUUAUUAUAAUAGCUCUAACUUAUGAAAUUAUAUGGUUGACACUAAAUUGAUUAUGCAGUAAUCACAAUUUUUGAAUCACUUAUAGAUACUUACUCUUCGACAGAUUCAUUGACUCGUCGUCGGUGAGAUCUCAGAGGAAGGGUUCGUCUUCCCGUAGCUCAUGCUCUCGUCGACCGAACGAGUAGGAGUUGGAGAUUAUGAGGAUGCGUGAAGAGAUAUGACAACAACGCGAAUUUAUGGAGGCUUGCAAUGCACAUACCCAAGCGAUGUAUCAAGUGAGUAUACAUAAUUCGAAAUCUAAAUUAUUAUAUUUCAAUACAACAUCUUCAAUAGUAAAACAUAUGUUUAACAGUUAAUGCAGCAACAGGGCAUGACAACAAAUAUUCCAUCGCCACGUGGAGAUAGGGUACGUUUGAUAACUCUCGAUUAAUUUAUACACUUGUAUACUUUUUGAUAUUUGUAUUAAAAAUGUUGAUAUUUGCUAACUUGCAUAGGUUACGCCUGAAGCGGUGGUAGUGGGUCUGAUCCCGCAGGGACUGGAUUUGUUGACUCCCUCUUCGCGUUCCCUCCUCCUGGUGGCGGAAACGGUCAAAGCUCUAACCACCCAAGUGGUGGUUAUCUCUAAACACUUGAACUCGUGCACACUAUGUUUCUUAACUCGUUGACGUUAUGUUUGUGUAAACACUUGAUCUUAACUCGUAUUUGAAAUGUUUGUGUAAACACUUGAUCUUAAGUUUGUGACGUGUGAAUUUUAUCAAUGCAUGUGUUUGUAAUGUGUAUGUUCUGUGUGCUGAUAUAUAUGUUUUGUGUGCAAUUGUGGAGAAAUAGUGACCUGAUUUGGUGCUUUUGCAGCAUUAUAGGUUAAUCCCCGUUGGCGCAGUUAAUUCCCGUCGGCUAUGGUAAAAUCGACGAGGAUUAAAAAUUAAUCCCCGUUGGCCUAGUUAAUUCCCAUCGGUUGGACCAGGCCGACGAGAAUUAAGGCUUAUCCCCGUCAGCCCACGUGGCCAGCAAAAGUUAAGGCCAAUUCCCGUCGGUUGGACUAGGUCGACGGGAGUUAAGGCUUAUCCCGUCGGCUAGUCCUUGGCCGACGGGAAUUACUUAUUCCCGUCAGCUAACGACGGGAAUAAGUUUAUCCUCGACACCUGAUGGCCAUCGGUUUGAUGCCGACGGAAGUUAGCCAGUUACCGACGGGAAUUAGUUAUUCCCGUCGGUUUAUAGGUUAUUCCCGUCGGUUUUUAGCCGACGGGAAUUAACUGGAUUCCUGUAGUGAAAAGAGGGUUUUGUUGCCAAUACCAGUAGUAACAAUCGUGGAAGCGUGGAAUAAAUCUCUAUCACUUUUGUUGCAAGGGAUCUCCAAGUUUUCCCAGGGUCUCUCGGUUUGCUUCCAUUUAAACCAAUACCAUCUUAGUCUCAGAGCCCUAGCGAAUCGCUCUAGGUCUAGGAUGCCCAGUCCCCCUAAGUCUUUUGGUGAACAGACUGUUGGCCAAUUGACCAAGCAAUAAUGGCCACCAUAAACGUUUUCUGGUUACAUACCUUUACAUAAGAAACUUCUUUGAUAUCGAUCAAUUUUUUUGAUAAACCAUUUUUGAAUAGGGAAAAUAGUGAGGUGAUAAAUAGGUUGCGCCGAAAGAACUGUCUUUAUCAAAGUUUCGCGGCCUGCCGAUGAUAGGAGCUUCCCCUUCCAUCCUUGAAGGCGACUUCCAAUUCUGUCGAUUAGGGGUUGGACAUCGAUGUGCAACAGAAGGCCUAGGUAUAGAAACUUUGCAAUCUUAACAGGGAAGCUUUGCUGGAUUUUAGCUACCGUAUUCUCUGAGCAGCGAAUUGGAAAGAUCUCAAUUUUGUUCAGGUUGACCCUCAGCCCCGAGCAACACCCAAAGAUAUGAAGGAACCUCCUCAGACGUGUGAGCUCCUGCUGACUUGGAUUUGCAAAAAUAGCAGCAGCAUCAGCAUUGAGAGAGCAUCCCAAACACAGUUGUCUUGAUACAAGUUAUAAGUCCAAAGCUUGGAUAAUUUUGCUAACUGUUGGUCAGACUUUACAAUAACUCAAAUUUUGUCUGGUGAACAUAUGCUUAUCAAGGGAGUAUAGUAGUUGAAACAUGGUGACGUGAUACACGUGGUUUUGGUUCUAAGAAAGAUGCUCGACGUGAGAUAUAUAUAAACAUAUCUUCAUGGGCCACCAGCUGUGUCUCCCGCUCUAUAAAUAGCUGGCCUGCUCGCUCGAUCAGCCAUCACCGACUCACACUCACACAGCAAAUACCCCACAAGGCCACUCCAAAGACCUAGUAGUGGAACCGAAGAUGUUCGGGAACAUCGGAAAGAUCCCCAUCAUCGGCGACCUGACGGGCAGCAACAAGAAUGCGCACCUCAAGGGCAACGUGGUGCUCGUGCGCAAGACCGUGCUCGGCUUGGACGUCACCAGCAUCGCCGGCUCCCUCCUCGACGGCAUCGGCGAGUUCCUCGGCCGCGGCGUCACCUGCCAGCUUAUCAGCUCCACCGUCGUCGACCCUAGUGAGCAGAGCACCCCUCCCUUCCUGCCUCCUCCUUGCCUUCUCAGCUCUCUUACAUGCAUCAGUAAUGAAGAGGGAAAAAAUGUCGUUUUCAAGAAAAGAAAAAAAAACAGAAAGCGACAAAAUUAAAUUAUCUACGGAUGGAUGCUUGAGACGAACAAUGAGGAAAACGACGGCAGAUGAAUCCACUUUAAAUCUACUAGCACAGUAAACCGGAUCCAGACAAAGAACGGACCGUGUUUUUUUAGCAUAGCAGUAGUGCAUUUCACACGUUGGUCGUCUGACGGCGACGCUGACCGGCGCGCGCGUGCACCGUGCAGACAACGGCAACCGCGGGAAGUUGGGCGCGGAGGCGAGCCUGGAGCAGUGGCUGCUGAACCCGCCGCCGCUUCUGUCCAGCGAGAACCAGUUCCGCGUCACCUUCGACUGGGAGGUGGAGAAGCAGGGCAUCCCGGGCGCCAUCAUCGUCAAGAACAACCACGCCUCCGAGUUCUUCCUCAAGACCAUCACCCUCAACGACGUCCCCGGCCACGGCACCAUCGUCUUCGUCGCCAACUCAUGGAUCUACCCGCAGUCCAAGUACCGCUACAACCGCGUCUUCUUCUCCAACGACGUGAGUCGUUAGUAGCCCGUCCGUUGUCCAUUGGCAAACCAACCUAGGAGCAGGGUCAUCAGCUGGCAUGAACACGCGCAAUCUCCUUCUCUACGUACACAGACGUACCUCCCCAGCCAGAUGCCGGCGGCGCUGAAGCCCUACCGCGACGACGAGCUCCGGAACCUGAGGGGCGACGACCAGCAGGGCCCGUACCAGGAGCACGACCGCGUCUACCGCUACGACGUCUACAACGACCUGGGCCUGCCUGACAGCGGGAACCCGCGCCCCGUCCUCGGCGGCACCAAGGAGCUCCCCUACCCGCGCCGCUGCCGCACCGGGCGGAAGCCCACCAAGAGCGGUACGUGCGUCGUCCCCGGCCGAUCCAUGCGUCCCCGUGCCACCCCCUCCCUCUCUGCUUUCGUUUCCCCCCUGUCCUAACCAACCAACGUUGGUACGACCGACAUACAGACCCCAACAGCGAGAGCAGGCUCACGCUGGUCGACGGCGACGUCUACGUGCCGCGCGACGAGCGCUUCGGCCACAUCAAGAAGUCGGACUUCUACGGCUACGCCAUCAAGGCGCUGGUGAACGCCGUCAUCCCGGCAAUCCGCACCUACGUCGACCUGUCGCCCGGCGAGUUCGACUCCUUCAAGGACAUCAUGAAGCUGUACGAGGGCGGGAUCCAGCUGCCCAAAAUACCAGCCCUCGAGGACCUGCGGAAGCAGUUCCCACUCGAGCUCGUCAAGGAUGUCCUCCCGGUCGGCGGCGACUACCUCCUCAAGCUCCCCAUGCCGCAGAUCAUCAAAGGUCGGUCGAUCGUCUCGUCUCUUCGUGCAAAUCCGGAAUUUGUCUUUAACUCCUCGGAGUCUGGUUACCGAUGCCGUCUCGACUGUUCUGUUGUGGCUAUGCAGAGGACAAGACAGGUUGGAUGACAGAUGAGGAGUUUGGACGGGAGAUUCUCGCCGGCGUGAACCCCAUGCUCGUCAAGCGUCUCACGGUGAGGGAACACGAUCAGUUCUCAACCUCAGCUCAGCUGUGCACUGAAGUUCCUCGAGUUUAAUUCUGCCCGUGUUUUCAGGAGUUCCCUCCGAGGAGCAGUCUUGACCCGAGCAAGUACGGCGACCACACCAGCACCAUCAGGGAGGCGGACCUCGAGAACAAGCUCGAGGGCCUGACGGUGCAGCAGGCGCUGCACGGCAACCGGCUCUACAUCCUGGACCACCACGACAACUUCAUGCCGUUCCUGGUCAGGGUGAACAGCCUGGAGGGCAACUUCAUCUACGCCACCAGGACCGUGCUGUUCCUGCGCGGCGACGGCACGCUGGUGCCGGUGGCCAUCGAGCUGAGCCUGCCCGAGCUCCGGGACGGCCUGACCACCGCCAAGAGCACCGUGUACACGCCCAAGUCGACCACCGGCGCGGAGGCGUGGGUGUGGCACCUGGCCAAGGCCUACGCCAACGUGAACGACUACUGCUGGCACCAGCUCAUCAGCCACUGGCUCAACACCCACGCCGUGAUGGAGCCGUUCGUGAUCGCCACCAACCGGCAGCUCAGCGUGACGCACCCCGUGCACAAGCUCCUCCUGCCGCACUACCGUGACACCAUGAACAUCA